UUGUUGUGACUGAAAUUCGUCGAUACUGGAUGGUGGAAAUUUGACUCUUUUUUCCCCUUGCCAUGCCUGAAGUCUGAAGUUUCCAUGUCCUAUUGAAAAUGAAAUGAUCAUCAUCUUUUACAUCUAGGAUAACACUAAGCAUACCUAAAGCACUGAAAUUUUUGGUUUGGUCAGAAUAUGGAUUGCAGCACGCCAGCACCAUCAUGGAGGCAGCACCGUUUCAUAUUACAAGUCACUUUAAUUUUUCUACAAAUUAAACUUUUUUAGUUUUAAUCAAAUUUAUAGAAAAAAAAUAGUAAUAAAUCUAAAACACCAAAUUAGUUUCGUUGAAUCUAACGUUGAAUAUAUUUUUAUAAUAUAUUUGUUUUAUAUUGAAAACACUACUAUAAUUUUCCAUAAAUUUUAUCAUACUUCUAAAGCUUAAUUGGGAAAAAAAAUCAAAGCGACUUGUGUUUUUCUUUGGGCUCUCUGGCAAAACAGCAACUGCCAUUGGCUGGCGUGGCGUGUCACCUUGAGCACCUCACAAUCUGCCGAUCCCCAGCAGUGUCCAAGUGUGAGCUUCUUGUGGUUGGAUUGCCAUUUGGCCAUUGCCUCUGGAUCUGCCUCUGCAACAUUGAGAAUAAUGCUUUCCAAUUUCCAUGUAGUAGUAGUAGCAGCAUGUAGUGUGUAUGAGCCAACUGCAAAAACAAAAAAGAAAAAGAAAAAUGGCGCCAAGAUUAACCGCCAAACGGCCUGCUUCCCUCUCCUCUCGCGGCAGAAACGCAGUUCUUCAGCUAUGGUGUGGAUCAGAGAAAUGGAGGAUUCUGCAGAGCCAUCGCCGCCUCCCCGGCGGCGUCCGGUGCAGCUCCGGCUCGCCGGACAGCGGCGGCGGCGGCGCCCCGCCGCUCGUCAGGGCGGCGGUCAGCGCCGUCACCGAGCUACUCAGGGUCCUGACUCCCAAGAACCCCAGGCAUGCAAAGUGCUCGAGUUCAUCUGAUGUUGCUGUUCACCAUUUGGUUUUUGAGAAUUCUUCUCUAAUUUGCUGAUGAUGCAAGCAUCUGGGAUUCAAUUUGAGGGUGCAGAGUUGUUGAUGAUGAUCUUCAGAAGGGAGAUGAAGGAGGAGGAGGAGCAGAGUUGGAUUCGCCGCGCAGCGUGGAUGAUGUGAUUGCUGUUCUUGAAGCCGAUUACCAGCGAGCAUAUUUCCUCACUGGUAUGUAGUAUGAGUUUUCUCUGUCUGUUGAUGCUGCCAUGUCAUAGAGAACAUAAGAUAAAUUGAAGAGUUGGAAAUUGCACAUUUAAUUUCACUUUUUAGUACUGAUGAUGGUUACAUAGAACUUAAAAUUUAGGUUAAUCGACUGCCAUAUAUAUAGUACACAUGCCAAAUAGUUUCAGAAUCUGAAGUUAUAAUGCACUGAAACAUCGGAUGUUUUCUUAUCAGGGAACUUUACUCCGGACAUAUAUACCGAAGAUUGCUUGUUUGAGGACCCGACAAUAAAGUUCCGAGGUUUGCGAUAAUUUUCUUUGCUAUUUGACCUCACAAAUGCGCAAUGCAAGCCCCGUCAAGCAAUGUUUAAUUUGAUUCGCUCCAAUUUCAAAGAAAUACUAUGAAUUUUUGUUAUGCUAAAUGCACUGUUGUUAUUUGGUAGGAAGGUCUAGAUAUUCCCAGAACCUAGAUCUGCUUGUACCGUUCUUCGACAGCCCUUCACUUGAGCUUGAAAACAUUGAAAAGGUAACACUGUUUGCUGAAAUUGUCAAGUGACCAGUGAUGCAUCUGCAAUGCAUGUGUUGUUGUCUUUUCUUUCUUUUCCAUUCCAUUUUGCUAAAAUUGAUGUAGCUACCAACUUACCAAAUGUCAAUUUCCAUCUCCAGAUUGCCCUUCUGUUCUGAACUGUAAGGAAUGCCAUUAUAUUGUGCUAGUAAACAUGCAAGCUAUUUUUAUUGCAGAUGUGCCUUUACUGAUUAGCUUCUAGUUUAGUUAUACUGGCACAGUGUGAUUUGUCAAAGUUUUGUCUAAGCUAUACCCAUUUUGCAACUUCCUGAUGCUCUUUGCAAAUCAAGCAGGGGUUGAGGGUUGAAACAAAGUUCAUCAUGGCAACAUGGACACUAAGGUGAUACUGUAAUAUUAAAUCUUGUUUCGUUAAUUAUUAGGUGGGGUAAAACUAGUCAUCUUUUGCAAGUUCAGAGUAACUGAACUAAAAUCUCUAUGAACCCAGAAGGAUUUAGCAGAAACUUGUAUUAAAUACUGCACACUACUUUGUUUUUUCUUGUGUUCAACUAAUAUGCUUUUCUUACAGGACAUAUUUAAGGCUUCCAUGGAGACCCCUCAUCGCCAUCAGAGGGAAUACAACAUAUGAUUUGGAUGAAGAAUACAAGGUAAGGAGGUGAAAAGAAAAGGAAGCAACCUUCUAAUUUUUUUUCUCUUUCAUUUUAAUUCAAGAGCUAAGAAUAUUUUGGCUGUUACAAUAUGUUCAGGUCACUAGACAUGCUGAGAGCUGGGAUGUCUCUGCAUUGGAGGCGAUUGGGCAGAUAUUCGUGCCGGCUCCGAAACAAACAGAUGACAUCUAAUUAACCAGCUAAAGCAACACAGAGCACUAGUAUACAUGAAUAUGAUGCUGGUGCUUUGCCACGUAGUGCUUCUCAACCGCAAUGCAUAACUGUACAUUUCCUUUUUGUGAUUACACACAAGUAAGUGCACAUAUUAUAUUCUAACUAAGUACGAGUUAGUAUGUUUUUGGUGUGAGUAUGGUUCAUGUAAAGCAGGUGGGCGAAAAAAAAAAGACACCUCGCAAGAAAAAAGAAGCUACUAAAAGAUACACCUAAGGUACGUUUGAAACAUAAGAAUUUCACAUAUCAUAUAAGAUGUUUUAUUUUGUCUUUUAAGUCCAAAUUCUUUAAUUGUGACCAAAUUUGUUGAAAAAAGUAGCAACACAUUCAACACAAAACAGACAAAAUAUCCUAUAAAAAUGUAUUAAUUGUGAAUUUAAUAAAAACUAAUUUGGUGUUGUAUACAUUUUUCCAUCAACUUCUCCAAACUUUUUUAAAAAAUUGAUUUAGGAAAAAUAGAAAACACCUCAAAUAUACAAUAGAGGAGCACAUGAUAUUUUCAUGAAAUUCGAAAAAAAUAUACCCACGGUUCAAAAAGGACUAGAGGCACGAAAACAAAAUACAAGUUCUCUCCAAGGCUCCUUCAAGACAUAAGUUCCACAGGAAUUAAUUCAAUUCCUACAAAGACUCAAAAAUUCAUCAGUUUCAUAGUUCAUAGUAAAUUUCACUUUGGGUUACUUUUUAUUACCAAUAUUUCACUUUAGACCAUAGAUUAACUAAUGUUUUUUUAAUUUGGACUGGAUAAUCUUACCUUUGUUUUAUUUUGAACCACCCUAACUCUUUUCUCAAGUGUAUGAACGACCUCGAAUAUGUCAGCUCCUAUUCAUCAAUAAACCUCUUUAGUUGUAUGUAGACCAUUGCUUUGACAUAGAACAAAGUAGAUGGAUAAAAAAAUUGAGUGCACUUUAAAGUGACAAAAUGGUAAAAUUACCUAGUCCAAAGUGAAAACAUUGGUUGAAGGGUGGCCCAAACUGAAACAUCGGCAAUAAAAAGGUAGUCGAAAAUGAAAUUUACUCUGAUAUUUUUUUAAAUGAAGAUGGGCCGGCCCAUCGGCCCAUCACCGUCGAAUGUUCCACAAGCUUCGCGGCCCAACCCCAACCACCCAAAGCCAAGCAACCGUACGGUCUCCUCUCUCGUCAAACCAAACCCAAGCAAAGCACCCGCCACAUCGGAGAAGAGAGAGAGAGAGAGAGAGCGUGGAAGCUUCUGGAAGGUUCUCGAAGAUGCUGUCCUCCCUGUCGGCGUGGCUGGUGAACCCGCGGCGGAACCCGCUGGCCCGCCUCCACAUGAACGCCGUCGCCUCCCGCCUCCGCAAAUACGGUGAGCUGCCCCCUCCCCCCCUUCGAAUUCCGCCGCUAGGGUUAGGGUUAGGGUUUUGCCGCGGCGAGGGAUCUCUGAUCGGGGGUUCUGGUGUGCGCAGGGCUCCGGUACGACGACCUGUACGACCCCUACCACGACCUCGACAUCAAGGAGGCCCUGGCGCGGCUGCCGCGGGAGGUGGUGGACGCCCGCAACCAGCGCCUCAAGCGCGCCAUGGACCUCUCCAUGAAGCACCAGUACCUCCCCGCCGAUGCCCAGGUUGAACAAGAUUUCGCAAUCAUCCUCGGUAGUUUUGGUUCAGUCCCACAUUCUGUUUGUAUGUAUGUAUGAAUGUGUGCGCGACCUGUGGAAUUAGUAGAAUUGUUUCUUCCAUUUGCGUUGUCAAUGUGGAUACGGUCAAUUGUGGCCGGGGACUUACGGAGACGUGGCUUGUCGAUGUGGCUAGUUCGUUCCUCGAGCUUUUGCUCCGCGAGACCGCGACGCUCCGUGGCUUGGUGACGUAGGAAUUAGAAGGAUGGCAACUGGUAGACAAUUGGUGAAUAGGAAUGGGCGGUGGACACCGAUUUGAUGCUUGUGAUAGGGAAUGGAACUGUUACUAAAUGAUGCUAUGGCACUGUUAGUUUUGUCCUCUCUCUCUGAUACAUUUGCUUGUGUCUCCUUGUUAGGUCUAUUUUGUUGAGAUCGUUUGGUGAAUUUGCUUCAAUUGACCUCUUAUACUUUGUUGUUUUCGGGGUGUACUGAGUUCUUGCUUCCUAUCCUGUGUUCAGAAUAUAGUGAGCUUCCCUUUGAAGCUAUAAGACCUUUAAUUCCUUCUCCACAUUCAUCACAUUCUGUUUUGACAUUCUCCUGUCAAUUACCGUCUGAUCAGUUAUUUAAGAGGACCUAUCUGCAUAUCUCAUAUAUUGUGAUUUGCGACACCAUUAAUUUUCAUUUUUUGGCAGGCGAAGCAGACACCGUUCAGAGGCUAUUUAUCUGAUAUGCUAGCACUGGUAAGUGUCCUUUUUUAUCACCUUACCUUUCUUGUUACUUGAACCAUGGAUUACAACUUGGGAGCUGGCAAUUGGCACUAUACAUACUGGAAUAAAAUGAACUUCGCUCAUCACAAUGUUCUUUUAGGAGCCACUUUACUUGAACAAUUGUUUUCAUUAUACAUGUUUGUGGUACCUGAUACUUUCCAAGUAUUUUGAUUUCAAAGAUCAAACUUUGUAUAUUUUGACCAAUAAUUAGCCAAAGUACAUGUACAACUAUUACUACUGUAUGAAAAUACUAGGUUUGCUGUCUUAAGAUUGGCUUUCAGUACUAUGAAUUCCUGAAUGUUGGUUCCUCAUGCUGAUUUAGUAUCUAAAAAAUUGUGUGCAUAAUUGCAAAGGUUAUUUCUGCUCAAGGCCCCAUUCAAAUGAUUUACUGACGGUUAAUUGCUAUCCACUAAUAGUGUGUCAUUGGCUGUUGGUGAUUGUCCAGAGAAACAGUCUGCUGUUAUCGGUAUAAAUGAUUUGGGUAGUACUCCUUUUAUUACACUUGUUUCCUCUUCUGUUGGUAGUAGAAUAUCAUCGUAUAUGAGCAGAUGUUUCUUCCAAAGAAAUCAAUCCUUGACUACUCUGAUGUGUGGGCCUUAAGAAACAAAACUCAUGUUAAAUUUUGAUAAAAAACCAUCUUUUGCUGGCUACUGUUUGACACAUCAUGCUUUUCAGGUGAAAAAGGAGAGCGCAGAGCGCGAAGCAUUGGGAGCACUCCCCCUGUACCAGAGGACCAUCCCAUGAAGCGUCUACUUCGUAGGCCUGUUUCUAAUUUUCUUGAUGUAUGAAAGUGAAUUCAAUAAAACGCAGUGGACGAUUAUGUACCAUGUAUUAUGCUAAAAUCCUUGUUGUGUAAUGUGUUAUGUGUAUGCUUAUUAUGUGAAGAUACCCACCGUCAGUUCUCCAUAGAUACCUUUUGGUAUGACAACUGACAUAUGGUGUAUGUUUUGUAAUCAAUUUAAAACUCUAUAUAGCUUCACUUGGAGCUGAGUAGGUAAGAAAGUUUUCAUUGUCGCACAGACCCUCUGAGCCGUAUUUUCCUGUUUUACUAUGUUCAUUUCGAGUUUCACUAGGCUUAUCAGUUGUAGCUAAAAUUUGAAUUUUGAAGCUUAAUUUUAUAAUUGAUUUUAAAGUUUUUUUUUCAUCUUAGUUUAUUUUGUAGCAUUGGUUUUUAAAUUGCUAGGAACACAAAAAUAUAUAAAAAGUUAUAUUUAGAAAUUAUUUUUGGUGGUUUCGUUUUUUUUUCUACGGGUGAUAACCUAGUAGAGCAAAUGAUGAUAGGCUAAGCUAUUAACUAGGGUUAAACGUAUUGUGUUGGGAGGGUUUACGGCCCUAUUUAGGAAAGCUUCUAGCUGUAGUUUCUUCCAUGAUAUUCAGCUAUUCAAACUCUGUAGAUUCUGAUUAUAUGUAACCAUAGAAUCUAGAAAAUAAACUAUAAAGCAGAGUUUAUCAUAGAAUCUGGAAAACUGUCUUCUGGCUUCUAGUUUAUUUUCUGGAUUCUACAACUAUAACUUCUUAUAAUAUGGGCGGAAAGCAGAGAUUAUCUUAGAAUCUGGCUACCAACCAGCUACUAUAGAACCUGGAAAACUGUCUUCUGGCUUCUAGUUUAUUUUCUGGAUUCUACAACUAUAACUUCUUAUAAUAUGGGCGAAAAGCAGAGAUUAUCUUAUAAUCUGGGUACCAACCAGCUACUAUAGAACUUGAAAAACUAUCUUCUGGCUUCUAGUUUAUUUUCAGAUUCCACAACUAUAACUUCUUAUAAUAUGGGCGGAAAGUUAAACUGUUUGGGAGUUUUUUUUUUAUUCUAGAGAAGUUGUAGGUAGCAGAAAAUCCCCAAACGAGCCCACAAUCUUGUAAGUUCGGCCUAUGUCUUUCCUAGGAGGAAUAAUUUACCUUACAUCCCUCAUCUAAGAGUUGAGUUUGGAUUUCAUUCCUCAACCACAAAAAAUCACAAAACCAAAUACAAUACCAAAUACAAUGUAUCCCUCGUCUUUAAAACCCGAUGUAAAUCAAAUCCCUCGGUAGUAUUUAAAGCAGUUUUAACUGAUGUGGCACCUACGUGGCAAUUUGACAUGGUCUUUUUGGCUAUGUGGCAUUUUUAUGUGGAACCCAUGUCAUCUUCUCUCCUCCUCUCUCUCCUCUUUUUCUUCAUCUCUCCAUUGACGACUCCUCUCCAACCAAAAGCUGUUGUGGGCGUCAAGCUGCUGUCGCCUCCGCGACCAGCUGGAACUAGGGGUGAAAACGGUACGAAAACUUUUCGGAUUCCAGACCUAUUUUCGAAAACGGAAUCUGUCGGUCGGAAUUUUUUCGGAAUUUUUCGGAAACGGAAACGAAUUCAGAAAUAUUUUCUCAGAAAUGGAAUCGGAAAUGAUAAGGGCAGUUUCCGUCGGAACUCGGAAUCGGUCGGAAACUUUCCGGAAAUUUUCUCGAAAUUACCAGAAAUUUUGUGACUGAAAUAUCCUGGAUUCUCUUUUUAAGCACUAAAUAGUGAAUAUCAUGGUGUUUGGCUGUUAUUUUUUUAAAAAAUAUUUGUUAUGCAAAUCUAAAAUUACAUAAGAAUAUUUUUUUGUCCUACAUUGGGAUUUAUCAACAACAUUACUCUUUUAAAUAUAGAUAAUUUAUUCAAUUGGAUUUAUCAGUUUGAGGGGUUUUUUAUUCCGAUAAGUUUUCGUUACCGUAUUCGCGCCGGUUCGUUUUCGCUCCGUUUUCGGUUUCGAUAAUAUUCGAUUCCGUUUUCGUAUCCGGGGUUUCCGAUUCCGAAAAAACUAUGAAAACGAAAACGACAAAUAUGGUUUCCGUCCAUUUCCGUACCGUUUCCACCCCUAGCUGAAACCCUUCUGCGUCACCGAUGAGGCCGCCUUCCUUUGCACGCGCGUCAUGGACUUGCCUAGAUGACAGGAAGUGGCGGCGAUGGCGUCGCUCGACCCGAUGACUCCUUGGCGGCGACUCCACCCCCUUUCUCCGCUAAGCUUUCCUGCUGCUGCUUCUCUACUAUCGCUGUCUCCUUUCUCCACACCACAACGUUUCCACCUUCCCAUCGGCAUCGAUGAACCAGAGACCAGUAAAUGUAGGAGAAGGGUAGAGAAGAGAGAAAAAUAAUUGGCAUGAACAUGAUUUUUAUUUUAUUUUUAUUAGAGUGCCACGUAAGCACCACGUUAACUAAAACCGGGCUGAAUACUGCCUUAAGACGUUGUUUACGCCGGUUUUAUAAGAUAAGGAAUGUGUUGUAUACGGUUUUGCGGAUGAGGGAUGUGAUUGUAACUCGACCGUAGGAUGAGGGACGUGAAGUGAACUUAUUCCUUUCUAGGAGCAAUUGCGUACUCCUGGGCCAAGGCCAUAUAACGGAUUGGGCUGGGCCUCUGCCUGAAGCACACAUGACGCUGUGCUGCGUUCUUCCUCCCUUUGCCUCUGCUCCUCCUCGUGCUGCUGUUGCUUUGCUUUCUUCUUCUUCUUCUUCUUCUUCCUCUGACGUUUCCCCGCCCCGCCACGGAUCCGAGCUCUUCUCAAAACCCUAGCUCCCCGAACCUUCUCCGCCCCGGCGGCAAUGGAGGACGAGGAGAUGGAGAAGAAGGUGCACCAGUACCUGCAGCGGAAGGGCUUCCGCGUGGCGGGGCUCGCGCUGCUCGAGGACCGCACCCGCCUCUCCGCCACCACCACCACCACCACCACCGCCUCCUCCUCCUCCCACUCCCUCUCCGACGCCGCGCUCUCCAGGUAACGACCUCCCCCUCCCCUCCCGGAUUCUGCUCUUGCGGCCUCUCGCGCUCGGCUCAGCCGCCGGAGUUUCGGAAACCUAGUGGUGGAAUUUGUAGUGUCGUAGUGCAAUUAUUAUUGUUAUAAAUUGAUUUUUUUUUGUUCGAGAUGUUGUUUUCACACUCAACUAGUACUAAGGGACCUCAAUUUGGUCGUGUGGUUUCCCCCACGCAGGAGUAAUUUGUUCCAUUUUUGUAGUAGUAUUACUAGCUUUGCUUGGGUGUUUGGGGAUGGUUUUGUGGAGGAAGCAAUUUGGUAGGAUCAAUUUGAGCGCUUAACUCUCAACCGACAAUUUCUACGGCGAGGAUGAGUGCGGAACCACAUUUCUACGAGGAAUUCUGUCAUGAUUUUCAUAUAUUGUGUUCAACCACAUAUUCUUAAUUACCGCAUGGAUUCUACUGUAGCACUUCUUCUCACUGCAGCAGGGGUAGUUCCGCAUCUAAUUCCUAGCUCAUUGUGUUGUUCUUAUUAUCUUUACCCUCUACAUCAUUUUGAUUGUGUCAUUGCCUGCAAUGACAGGUCAGAAAACGAUCCAGCGAGGUACUAUGAUGGCUAUAGUAAACUAAGAACAUGGGCAUACAGUUAUCUUGAUCACUACAAGGUGUGUUACAUGCGCAGAUUGUAAUUCACUUUCAUAACCUGCCCCUUUUUUUUGUAUUUUACAACCAUAUGUGUUUUAGCUGCUUUGAGGCAUGGAACUGUUAUAUCCAAUCUGUUCAUUUGUUACUGUGUUACAGCCUAUACCAUCUUUUAAGAGUGUUUUCUGUGUUAUUCACAUAGAGCUGAUCACUUGUUUCUCUUGUUAAAAAUGUUCAAGUCUGUUUUGUAUAGCAAGCUUCUAGAGUCACAGUUUGUUGCUUCAGAUGGAGCAUUUACUUGAAGAGUCUUCUUUCGUGUAUUCUCUUCCAUCCAUCCAGUGCUGCCCACCUUCUGGAGAGCAAAAUAGUAUUCCUAUAAACAUCUGUACUUCCUACACAGGCAGAAAGUAUGUUUUGCUUCCUGCGAUUUGUAAUGUACAUAAUUACCAUUGCACCUUUAUUUUGUAUAAUUUUUUUAUAUGUAUUUUAAUGUUCCUAAAUUAAGCUAUAUAAUCUCUUUCUAAAUUUUUAUUUCUAUUGUAGCAUGAAUUACUCCGCAUUCUUUAUCCACUAUUUUUCCACUGCUUCAUGGAUUUAGUGGCAGAGGGACAUACACAGGAAGGUAAUGCUAGUAGGUGGAUAUGAUAAUGAAUCUUCUGUCAGUUUUUUUUUUUUUUUGCUUUCUAUCAGUUUAUUCGGGGCAGUUCUUUCUUUGAUACACUAACUUUGAGCACUGCAGCUUGCUCAUUUUUCCACACAUUUCGUGAAGACCAUGAACACUCGAGGGAUCUCAAGAAGCUGGAAAGCAUCCUUUCUCCUUUACAUUUGGAAGUUAGUGACUCAGCUUUUCCACAUUGCACUACCCUAUUUUGAAUGAAGACUUAUUUUUUGUUUAUUUGAUUCUAUCUCCUCAAAGUUUACAAAUUAUGGCUUAUCCUUCUAAAUAUUGUAAUUUCAGCAAAUGGAAGUGGCUCGAUCUUUAAGGCAGAAUAAAUUCAGAAUUAAGCUAUGUGAGGUUGUAUACCAUUUCCAAAUCCCCUUUCAUUUCAACCCUGUACCAUGUACUAUUUUUUGGGGCAGCAUUUCAUGAUAGCCACUGUAAUUUCUUGAUUGCUGCAAAAUUGCUUUUCUGGAAAUAUAAUCAGCUGUCCCAAUUAAAGUUUCUGUCUUUUUUUAUUGCAGUAUUCAUAUGAAUUGCUUCUCCAGUAUCUCCACAAAACACAAGCUCUUGUGGUGCUUGGAAUAAUCAAUGAACGCAUAGAUUUUCAAGGUAAGUUUCCCCAAUCUGUUAUGACUCAUGAUUAGUGACCUAAAUGUUCAUCCUGCAUUUGCUCCUUGUGAGUUAUCUGAAUCUUCUGUUCCAACUUUCCUUUACAAUAUUGAUAGUAUCCCCUGGGCAGUCUCCAUUAAUCAUUGAUGACUCGGAUGCUGUUGUUCUGAUUGGAACUAGCAAGGACUUGACAAAACAGAUAAAUCAGAAGGAGGUGCAUUGGGGGGUAUGUUCUGUACCAGUCUGGUGGUUUCCCAAUUCUCAUCAUUUAUUUUAUCAAUAGUUAAGGAUACAGCCUAAACGAAUUGAAAUUAUAUAGAUCGAUCAGUUAAUAUUUAAUGGGAUUCUAGCCGUUUUUAUUAUUUGUUCACUAUGCUCAGACAUUUUAUUUUUGUGAUUUAAAUUCUGUAAUGCAGAUACUUGAAGAUUCACUUGAAGAACGUAUGGAGAAGGCAAUUUCAGAUUCUGAUAAAACUGAAAUAGAAAGCAAGGAUGCAGACACAGAAGACAACAAGGCAAGAAACUGUUUUGUAGUAUGCCAGUCUUUUUUUUCAUUUUGCUUCCUAUGCCCUCGGUCAUUGAAACACAAGCUUUCCUUUUUUUUAGUGCGUGCGAUUCUGUUAGCAACUUGUGAUUUUUAUGGUUGCUUUAUUAUAAAAACAGUACUUUCUGAUGUGCACUGGCUGUCAGCUGUAUAUGAUAUCAAUGUUUCAUUGAUUUGUUCCACUAUGUAAUUCUGCAUUCUCCUUUGUUCAGUGCUCCCGUAAAUGCUAGCAGGCAGACUGGUUAGAACCUAGCACCUGGGAAGGCUAGGCAGCUGCAUAGGGGGAACUAUGUUCCUCACUCACCAUUGAUGUUUCUUAGCCUUCUCAUUUCACUCUUUUCUUAUUUUUGCUACAGAAAAGAUCCUCAGAAGGUGGAAAGCAGGGUGGCUCACAUAAAAAGAUCAAAAAGGACAAGUUUGUAGGAACCACAGGGAAAAACAUGAAAUCUGAAACUAGCAUGGUUUCUAUAGCACCACGAGUUAAACCAGAGCUAACGCUUCCAAUGACGUACGUCGUACAAUACAUCUUUAAUCACUUCAAAUUUUCUUUUGAGAAGUCCAAUUUGGUCAUCUAAUUUUGAAUAUUGUCUGGUUUGUGACCUAAGGUUAAAAAGUUCUCCUGAAAUGAUUCAGGAUUUUAGGUUAUGAUAAAAUUAUAACUUCCUCUGCAUCCAUUUCCUGGUCCGUGGUUGGGAAGAAGGCAACCACAUGUUUUUUAAAUUCAUGUGGCCAUUGUUUCAUUUUUCCUGCAGACUGCCCCUUUUGAAACGCAGGAUUAAAAAACUUAGGAAUAUGGAAAACAAAGGAAUUUUGUAGGUUGAUUGGACCGUAGGAAAAACAUAGCAAUGGGCUUGGAUUAUAAGAGUAAAUUGGGUUUCUUAUCUACUUAUACACAUCUUACCCUCACUAAUUGAAUAGACAAGUGGCCAUGAGCUACUAGAUUUGCCUUGAUCCAACGCGAGAUAACAAAAACAUGAGCUUGGAAUGGAUGUUAAAUUUCCUAUGUUUUCCUCUAGAUUUGUAGGAACAGGAAAAUCUCCUGUGAUUUUCCUUUCCUCAUUCCUACAAAUCAAAGGCAUGAACAAUGAUCUUCCCUAUAGGAUUUCAAUUCCUUUGUUUUUUCUCCAAUUCAAAGGGGCCUGCAUAUUCUAUGCACCAACAUAUUGCUUCCUCAUCCACACUGUUCAAAUGAUUUGGUUAUCCCAUGUCCACCUGCCAAUAUGUUAUUGCUUAGAUGUUGUUUAACCGUAGAAUAUUUGAGCUGUUCAAAAGCACUUUUGUAAGACAUUAACAAAACCAAAGAUUAUAUUUCCUUUGCCUUCCAAACUAUCAUCACGACAUGGCCAUUAAGGCUCUGUUCGCAAAAACAGGUUCCCAACCCAAACAGUACGCACAGAAAACGGAGCGGUCCAUUAGCACGUGAUUAAUUAAGUAUUUGCUAUUUUUUUUUCAAAAAUGGAUCAAUAUGAUUUUUUUAAGCAACUUUCGUAUAGAAACUUUUUCUAAAAAAACCACCGUUUAACAGUUUGAAAAGCGUGCGUGUGGAAAACGAGAGUAGGGUGUUGGGAACCAGCUCUUGCAAACAGAGCCUAAGCCCACUGAUAAGAUUUUCUAUAGUGAUGUUUUUUUCUUAUAUUAAGUUGUAAUAAUUUCUUUGUACACAUGUUUACUUUUAUUUGUUGGACAUCUUUGUUGACUCAUCAGCCUUACCUUUAUCUGUAAGAAUCUGAUAGACGUUUACUGAUUAUUUUUUUUCAGGUCUGUUGAAGUUGAGCAGUCAAUUCUUGAGGACUUGCGAAACCGUGCACAAUUGAAUAGCUUGUCAUUGCCAUCUGUUAGCUUCUAUACAUUCCUUAAUACACAUAAUGGGUAAACUUAACUAUGGAUCAAUGCCUGACAAUUUUUAUUUUCAAUUUUUCCUCCUUCAGUUUAAUCAUUAUAUGUGGAACUCAGGUUAAAUUGCUCAUCGAUUUCGCAUGAUGGUUCAUUGGUCGUUGGUGGAUUCGCUGAUUCAUCAGUGAAGGCUAGUCCUUUUAGGUGGCAUCUUCUUAUUAUGUGAUUUCUGUAUUAAUUCGUAAUAGUAAAAAGUGUAAAAUCUCCUUGGUGUUCACUAGGUUUGGGAUAUGUCAAAGAUUGGCCAGCCUUCCAAAGCAUGUUAGUUGUUCUUCACUCCUUAUUUUUGAUUAUUUGUUCUGCUUUGUGUUAUGCUGAAACACUUAUAUAAAUUUGCGUCUGGUUUAUGUGACUAAUUGGCUAUUGCCUUCUUAAAAAUACUAUAAUGGUACAUUCAUUUGUAUCAUUCGAAGUUCCAGUUACAAGUCCUAAGAAGUAUGAUGUUUUUCAGUCAUACUUGCUGGAUGUACUGAUGCACUUGUGUCAUUACAGUAUUUGACUCUGGAACCUGUUCAGAACCUUAUGAUAGUCUUAGAACAUUAAUCCUCCUAGCAUCAAAGUCAAUUAUGCAAUGAUGGUAUUUACUGAUUGAAGAAACUAUAAUUUUCAGCUUGUUCACAAGGCGAGAAUGGACCCUCCCAGAUUGAGCGGGUAUCGACAUCAGAUGAAGCGCGUAAAUCCUGUACAUUAUUCCAAGGUCAUUCUGGACCAGUUUAUUCUGCCAUGUUUAGCCCAAUUGGGGACUUCCUCUUGUCAUCAUCUGCAGACUCAACAAGUAAAGCCUUCUCAUUGUGCUUGUUUUGUAUCAUUCUCUUCCUUGUUACUUUAUUAAUUAGAAUUCACAAUUUAUCUAUAUUUUUUUGACUUGCUACAGUUCGCUUAUGGAACACCAAGUUGAAUGCUAAUCUUGUUUGCUACAAAGGACACAACUACCCUGUUUGGGAUGUCCAAGUAUGUGAUUACCAGUUCUUUUAGUAUAUUAUUAGUGUGGAUACAAAGCUGUUUUCAAUGCCAAAAAGAAAAAAGGAAGCAUGGGUUUCUGUGUGCUCCUUAUGAACUAUUCCUAACUAGUAUUUCAUCGUUAGUACUCUCCAUGAUGGAGUACUAGGUACUUAUAUGUCCUGUGAAAAGCUCACUGUCAAAUUCUUUUGGAUGCAAGUUAUCUGAUUCUGUUAUUGUAGUCCUUGUGCUAUGAUAGUUGUUGACACUGUUCUGUUUUCUUUUGGCAGUUUAGUCCAGUUGGACAUUACUUUGCUAGUGCUUCGCAUGACAGGACUGCUAGAAUCUGGUCCAUGGAUAAAAUCCAGCCUUUGAGAAUAAUGGCUGGGCAUUUAUCUGAUGUUGAUGUAAGUGUACUCAUGGUUUUGGUCAUUUUCUUAUAUGGGAUCACUUAAUGUUGGAAUAUUUCCAUACAUGCUUAUUCUCUAAUUUCCUAUAUUGAUGUCUGCAUUUUUUUAAAAAAAAUACUUUUGCCUGACAGUGUGUGCAAUGGCAUGUCAACUGCAACUACAUUGCCACUGGCUCUAGUGACAAAACAGUAAGACUAUGGGAUGUUCAAACAGGUGAAUGUAUAAGGAUGUUUAUUGGCCAUAGGAGUAUGGUUUUAUCAUUGGCAAUGUCUCCUGAUGGGCGAUACAUGGCCUCUGGAGAUGAAGAUGGAACAAUCAUGAUGUGGGAUAUAUCUUCUGGUCGUUGUGUUUCACCGCUAGUGGGACAUAACUCUUGUGUGUGGUCGCUUGCUUACAGGUAAUCAUCAUUUGAUGCUGGUCGGCUGGUAAAAAUAUAAUAUCUAUCUAGCCGAUUUCUUUAAUAUGCCAAUAGAGUAGUAUUAUGGAACUACGGCACUACGCUAGUUAUAGGCUUAUAGCAUGGCUUGGCAAACUGGCUAGUGCAUAUGUAGCAGGACUGAGUUUUGGAAAAUCAAUUGGUUUAUUUGAAUUGAGUAAGCAUGAUCUAUCUAUAUACAAGAAAUCAGCUCAUCGUUUCUUCCAUCCUCAUCUAGAUGUGUUUAAAUGAUAUCACUCACAAGGGCAUCAGAAACCAGAUCUGGCUGCGUCUGGUUUUUGCCUUUUCAGUUUUAGAGUUGGGCUUUGGGAUUUACACUGUAUCAGUGGAAGCAAAUUGGAGUAUUUUUGUAUAGAACUUAAAUUUGAAAAAAGUGUUAUUAGAGGGGUGAACCUGAGGAGUUCUAAUGGUAGCAAAAACAUCCACAUAGAUGUUUCCAGUUUCAAGGCCAGUUACCAGCUGUUAACUGGUGAAAUUUACGGCCAACAGUUUGUCUUUUUUCUUUGAUAAUCUGCUUUGAAUUUCUUGAAUAAAUCAAUGAGAUUAAUACAGACUUCAAAGUAUUAUCAUUGCGUUGGCAUGUCAAAACCUUGCUGUUAGCAGCAACACACCUUCUUUUGGGGAGAACAAUAGAAACGUGCAUGUUGUUGGUUACAAGUGAUUACAUAUGGAAUGUUUUGUUUAGACUAUCCUGUAAAUGAUCAUUUGUUGUUAUGCUUUGCUUUAUUUAAGCUUGCGAUUUAAGGACUUCUUUACUCGCACAAUGCUUUCCAUGUAUGGUGCGCAUGAUUUGUGUAUAUAAAUGCUCGCUGUUAUUUCUUUCAGAGGGAGUCAUGUUUGCUGUUUUGUGAUGUCUAUAAUCUGCGUUCUGUUGUAGUUUAAGGAAAAGUAUGGUUGAUCUUAGUUAAUACAUUCUGCCAUUAUUUUAGCUGUGAAGGGGCAUUACUUGCAUCUGGAUCAGCCGACUGCACUGUAAAACUAUGGGAUGUCGCCUCCAGCACUAAGACUCUUAAGAUGGAUGAUACGUGAGUUGAUCGAAGUGUUUAUAAAGAUGCUUGUACCAAAUCAUUGCCUUACUCUUGUUGUAAAAUGUCCUUGUACAGCAAAGGUGGUUCAGCUAACCGACUGAGGAUGCUGAAAGCCCUCCCUACAAAAUCAACCCCUGUUUACACUCUGCAGGUGAGAAUUUUUUUCCCUCCUUUAGUCCAUUAUGUUGCCUUAAGUUAUGGUUGUUACCUUAUGCAUUGUAAACAUAACUGCUUUCAUCUUGUUGCAGUUUUCUCGGAGGAAUCUUUUAUUUGCGGCUGGUGCUCCCUCACUUGGCUCCUAAGCUUCUGUAUGUUCUAUAGAGUACAAGUAGCAUUCUUUCAGUUUUUGGUUUUAGUAAGUAGUAAAGUUGAUGUCUACUGGGGUGGCAGGUGUCGUAGCAUCUACAUUUUCCCUUAGUGAUCCCAGUGAACCUAGGGGUAAAUUGUAGCACUGGGGCACUGCAAUUCGUUGCAAUAUGUGUAGUGAUGUAGCAUUAGCCAGUUCAAAAUAUAUGCAAUUUCCCGUAAUGAUACAUCUAACUUUACUCUACGUGUGCCAUACUGUUUCAACCAAUCAUUCUUUCCACUCAAAUUCUACCCUUUGUAUGGAUGGGGUCAAAUCUGAACCGAGGUAUAACCGUGUAACCUCAUUUUCUGGAUAGACCAUGCCCGCGCGAUAACUCCUUCUCACAGAGAAUGAUUAAAGCAGAGUUUCUUAUGUUCGGAUUUCUGCCAAUUUAAAUUUGGUUCUAACUCUCUUGGUACCAAACAGUAAGCUCCAUAGGCACUGAUCCACUGCUCUUACCUGCUAGCUGCUACUGUUGCUCACUGAUUGCUCUACUGAUGGCCAAGCUGGCCACCUUGGCAACAGUCGACCAACAGCCCAUGGCCUAGGUGCUGGGAUGAACAGCCCUGGAUCUUCACUGUUAAAAAAAUUUUAGAGGGUGAGAGGGCAUGAGGCAAACUCAAAUCUGUCAAUCUACCAAUGGUCAUGUAGUGUGGUAUAGUAGAGUGCAGAAGAUUCAUGUAUUUACCUGUGAAAAUGAUGGUGGAUUUCGGCAGAAUUGAAUCGGAGACGUUGCAUGUCUUGUAGUUUCAAUGUUCAAAUGAUUUGGUCUCCCGGCACCUGUGUCCAUGCAAACACACUCCAUAUACCAGUGCCACCGCGUCUCUGUCUCCCAGUGUACAAGGUUAUGGAUCUAUCAGCCUGACAUUUCACUCUCAGCUGCAAACUUAUGAUGGUCCACGCUUUCAGCUUUCUCCCAUCACGCCACUGCUUUCGCCAUCCGUCCAAAACGAGUUUUUUAUUUUUUUGCUUUUUCUUUUUCAAAUAUAAAUAUACCCUGACAGGUGAACUAUUUUUCCUGUGAAGUUCAUGUAAUUGUUUUUUGUUUCUCUCACAGCUUGUCUCAGUGAGAGAAGUGAAUGCCUAGAUCAAUGCUUGGUGGAAGUGGAACUAGAACCUUAGAAACUUUCAACUGUUUGCUAGAAUAUGUGUGUGCACCAUUUAUCCAAAUCCUUGUGUUGGCCAUACUCGCCAGAAAGACUGGACACACCAAACCACAUAAAAGGUAAAUUUGUAUUCAUCUGCAGAGUUUACAAGCAAACAACUGGACUGUCAUUGGGUUUUGGAUCCCUCCUAGCAUGCAUGUGACUUUUUUCUUAGAUAAAUGGAAAGCAAUGCAUGUGACUAUCUGGCUACCUAACACAUAUUUUGCUGGUAUCCUGGUGAAUAUUUGGUAGAAUACUCACCACUUCAUCAGAGGAUGUCACAGGCAUAAAACUACCAUAUUACUAGCAGGUUGCCAUCAAUCAGAUGAGAUCCCUCAUGAAACAAAGUUAAUCCCUUCACAAUUAUACACAGCCCAUCUUGCAGGCUGUAAUCUUUUUUUGAGAGCCUAAUUAGUUGAUCAACAUGAUUGGCAAAAAGGCUCAACUUUUUCAUAUCCAUCUAAAAAAACCAGUUGGCAUUGUGUGGAUGAAAUGUAGCUUUCAACAUCCUGCAUUUCAUAAUUUGCAUUGCCUGCUUAAGAUGGAUUAGAGAGCAAGGAGGGUCAUCCUCCAACCUCCAUGGGACCUAUGUCCCAAAGGUGAGCAGCCUACCUAGUUGGUACAUGGCAGGAUCAGCUUGCAGCCUCAUAAGCUGUGACAGUGUGAGGGUACUGAGGUCCCCUCUACCUCUGUUCACCAUGUAUCAUACACAGUGCCAGCAGCCUUUUUGGAGUCCAGACAUUGCUCCAUUAUUGUGUAUGUCUCCUAGGCUAGAGUACUAGACCCUUGGCAUUUGGCCUCUUCUUCUAAGGACAACUGCCAUGAAUCUCACAUAUAUAGUGACUUGCAUGGCCUUUUUUCAGCUCUGGUGUUGUUAUUAUAGCCAACAUUCAACAUUUUGGUUUAACUGGAUUUGACUGUUAGUUUAACUGAAGAUGAUUUCAGUGCAAAUAUUGCAUUUUUCAAAAUGACAUUGAGGAUAUAGAUGCAUAGGAUGCUGCCACUAUUAGUGUGGAUGGAUAGCUGGAGUGGUGAUGGUGAACCAAACAACCCCUAACAUGGUACGUUCUAUCCACGUACGUUUUGAGUGAUCUUUGCGAGUGCUCCGUGCUAAGAAUAUUGAAAGGAUGAAGCUGAUCUGGUGAUAAUAAGCUGGUCCUUGCACAUCUCCUACCGUCCACCCACUUGUGGUAGGGCAUGCCUCUUAUCAUUUUGUGGACACAAGUGAUUUGGCAACUUGAUCACACUAACUAUUCAGAUCAUGGUGCUUAAUUAGUUUUUUGCAAUAUUCCCCUUGGUGGUUAGGGAGCAAAGAUGACCCUUUUAUAAGUUGUGUGGUUAUUGAUCAAUCCAUGAUGUGAGUAUUGAUGUCUUAAAAGGUUAUUGGAGAAUGAUUGGCAUAUCACAGUGGCAGUAUAGCACUAGCAAGCAGCAGAUGCAUUUGAGUAUUUUGAGUGUCUGAACCAUUCAACCAAAACAAUAAUAUAUAACUCACCUGCCAAUAAAUUUCAAGGUAUUGGAGCAGUCACUGAUCACUGCAUACAUUUACAAUUUUCUGUAACACUAUAUGCAUGCAUCAUCAUGUGAGAAUCUUCACUGUGCAUUCCUGUCAUCCCCAUGAAGUAGGACCAUGGUGCCCUAGGUUUCUUCCAUUUUCAAUUCAUUCCAAGUUUGUGUUGCAGCCUUGCAGGAGCUACCAUUGCUCUCUGAACAACACACAAGAAAGAUGAUGGUAGGAAGAUCAGAAGGGGUCACUUUUUUUGGGCUCGAUGACAUGAGUGGACAAAUCUACCCAAGCUAAGGUUAGUGGGAGCAGCCCAUGUGAUGAUGUGGGGUGCAAUUGGAUCAUUGUCAUCUUACCUUUUUUUUCCCACCCCCUUCUUUUCAUCUUGUGUGGCAAAGUGACAUGGCCUCAUGUGAUGAUGCAUGGGAGAAAAGGAAAUUUUUUUUUAGUAGCAAUGCAAAGUGUGCUCUUUGCUGAAAAUGCAAGAGGAAAGUGGCUUUUGUGCAAAUGGCAUAAAACCUUAAGAUAUGGGGGGUGAAUUUCAUGAGUGCCUUGCAUUAUAGAACCAUAGAUGUGUAGCUAGCCUUUUUGUGGUGCUUUGUUUUGAUAAUUGUGGCAGUGCAGAUGCACAGUGGCAUCAAUCUACCUGUUAGUGCAAUAAUUCAUUUUGGUGAACCAGUGUUAUUAUGGUUUUGUUAGUUGGGAUACGACACCACAUAUGUUAACAACAUGCCUAAUUUUAUUUAUAAUGAAAUAGCAAAUAUCAAUAUUUUUUAAAAGAAAAAGAAAAAUUGAGAGAGCUCUAAGAAAGAUGCCUUUUAAGUUCUGUUGUUACAUGAAAAGUGAACUUGUGUUAUUAUGGUUUUGUUAUUUGAGAUAUGACACCACAUAGUGUUAACAAACAUGCCUAAUUUCCUUUAUUUAUAAUGAAAUAUCAACAGAGAGAAAUAGAGACAAGUCUAAGAAGAAAGAUGCCUUUCAAGUUGUGUUGUUACUUGAAAAGUGAGAAGAUUGCUAUGCCCUUUUUCUUGUGUGAAUGGAUUCCAUCUCUUGAUUGAUAUGGCUAUAUAUGCCUUUUAGGAAGGGAUCCAUGCCGUCCAUCUUCAACAACACGCAAAUGAUCAAGAAAACAUGGCCGAAGUUGCUGCCCAACAAACCCUAGCUAGCGAGUUUCCUUGGAUGAAAGAAUAUUAGCACAUCAUCAUCAGAAAGCGAGCUUUGUCAUAUGCCCUAGCUACAAGACUAUAGGGAUAUGGACGCAUCUCACUUCACUUUACGGGUACCCAUUGUCACACACCAUAUACACAAUAAUAUAGGAUAAGUGAAUUUUAGUUGAUUUUGCUUAACUAGAUGGAUGGUAAGACUUUCUAGCAUUGUCCACAUACAUAUAGAUGUUAAUGAAUCUAAACACAUACAUAUCUCUAGAUUUAUUAAUAUCUAAAUGAAUAUAGGCAAUGCUAGAAAGUCUUACAUUGUAAAAUGGAGGAAGUAUAAACUUAAUUGUAUAUAGUUCAUUAUUAAUCAUAGAAAUUAGGUAAAUGUAGCUAUAUGCUAUUAGUUGGUUUGUCUCUGAACAAUGAAAAUCAGUCCCUUCAUCUCGUUUAUGGUUGAUUAUUAGUUAUAACGCUUAUUAACAAUAAAAAUGUACAUGCGUUAAAACUUGUGUAUGUGUUAUAUAUCUUAGUGAUUUAUAAGCCGAUGUUAAAAAUAAAUUACGCUAAAAUUAUUAAAAUCAAAAGUGUUUGAUGCAGCUAAUAGGCUAAGGGCCUGUUUGGCACGGGUCUAACUGCACCUCCCCUAGAGCCCAGUAAGAUAGUUUCAACUCCAUCUAAAAUAGGAGCAGAGCUAGGUAAAGCGUUCUCAUAAAAUAAACUAGAGAGGUUCAGUUUGGUUUAGACUGCUCCACAAAAUUCCACUCCAAACCUAACUCCUAGAGUUAAAUUUAGAAGUUAAACCUCUACCAAACGGAACCUAAGGCUGCCUUUGAAAGUGGAGGUUGAGAACUCCAAUUGUUUGCAUGCAAAACGGAACGACAAAUAACGUUGAUUAAUUACAUAUUAGCUAAAAUAAACUAGAAAACUGAAUUAAUAUGAAUUUUUAAAGCAACUUUCCUAUAUGAACUUUUUAAAAAAACACAUCAUUUAGCAGCUUGUGAAACGUGUGCACGGAAAAAGAUGAAGUAGAAGUUGGGAAAAGGUGUUGUCGAACAGAACUAAGAUCAAGUUUAAUAAUAUAAUCAACUACUAGUUUCAAAAAUUAACAUAUUAUCUAUAACUAACUUGAUAGCUCACUUAGAGCACCCGCAAUGGUAAAGUAAGGUGCUAUCUAUAAAACAUGUACACCUCAACAAUAGACUAGAUUAAUAGUAAACCACUUCAAUGGUAUGUCUACAUGGGUAUCUAUAGCUCUCUAAUCCAUUGUCUCGUUUUUCUCUAUAGACUAUCUCCAUGUUAGUAGAUAGCUUUGCUCUCUCUCUUCAUUUAAUCUCUUUCAAGUAGGAAAAUAUGCUGACAUGGAUCUCUUGUAGAGAGCUUAUAGAUAACCAUUGUGGGUGCCCUUAUACCAUACUUACUUAUAGAUAUAUACUAUACCAUUAAUGCAUAUCCUAUCUCACAUAGGUUAUUGGAGCUUGUGUUGUAGUUGACUACAAAUCUUUAACCAACUUUUCUCUUUCCUUCAAGUAAACACAAAUAUAGUGUGGUAAUAUGUAGAACAUACUUGCAUCGUCAUAUUGAGUUGAUUUGGUUUGUGGCCUAAAUAGGCCUUACCAAAUUUUGUCUAAUUUUGGUAAGGUAAAGUUGUAUUUGGAUUGAAGUCAAAAUAGCCUAAGUUUACUAUUGAAAUGGUCUAUUUUCUUAGACAUGCUAAAAUUUGGCUUCAAACCAAAUAGACAGUAAAUACUAUUGAAAUUGUCAAAUAUUGGUAAGUCUAAUUUAGGCCUCAAACCAAACCAGUCCAUUAUACUCGCUCGGGUCAAAAGAGGCUAUAGGCAGGGUAGAGUGUCAUUUGGACCUUGAACAUUUUAAAGAACAAAACAUUCAAGUUAAUAUUUUACUCCUGAUGAGAGAGUUGCUGUUACAGAGUGUGAAAAACCUUAGGAUUCCUGAACAUAUUUUACUCCCUGAUGGGUAAAAAGAACAGAGUGAUUAAUUAAUGUCUGAUGCUGGGCCCAUCCAAGACCAAUCAUGGUGGAGCUGCAGUAACUGUUACUCCAAUAUUGACCAAAUGUUUGUGUGUACGUACUGUAGUAGUAGAAUGUAUGACCAGCUAGCUAGUCAGAUUCCAAAGAAAGAUAGUACUAGUAGUAAAAAUAACUGAAAACAGGCGUACUAUAGUAGUAAUACCUAGUACUACUGAGUGAAAGCAGGGGGUGUACUCUUGUACGUGUUUCACGUGCUAUAUGUAAGAGCAGGUACAAUAACAAAUUAUAAAUAAAAAAGAAAAUAAAGAAGAGAGAUGAGCAAUUGGCUAUAGAUUUAUAGCCAGCUACAAUAUGGACUCGAAGACACAAUUUAUAUAUAACAUGUAGGAUCAGAUAUUAAUAGUAUAUUAUAUAUUUGUAGGUAACUAUUAUAUAAAUUGGCUAUAAAUGAUUUGGAGCUAUUAGUUGGCUAUACUACUAUUAAACUUGCUUGGCUAUACUAUUAAACUUGCUCUAAGCAGAAGUGGUGAACAAAAGCCGGGAGUACACCCUCAGUUCCUAAGUAGAGCAAUUUUUGGUUGAAAGAGAUACAGAGUACUUUCCUAAGGAUGAAUUUGGACAUACUCCCUAUCUAAAUUCAUAAUAUUAGGAUAUAUCACAUCUGACAGAGCGUGGGGCUCCUCACCGGGAGACCGCGCAGGCCCCCCUUUGCCGGUUCGGCCGGGGGCUCAGGGUGAAAUCCCAAGCUCUCUCUGUAUGUGGAAAGAUCGCGACCUAUCGAAAGAGCAUGAGACACAGGCGAUGUAUACAGGUUCGGGCCGCUUAGAAGCGUAAUACCCUACUCCUGUGUUUUGGUGGAUCUGUGUAUGAAGGAGCUACAAAGUGUGAGCCAGCCUCUCCCUUGUUCUGGGUUCCGAAUCUGGCCCCCCCCCAAAUCCCCCCUUUUCUAAAUGGGCAAGGUCCUCCUUUUAUAUUUCAAGGGGAUACCACAUGCACCCCCCUCUCUCCCAACUGGACUUUUCUUCUCUUCAUAAAUGGACGGAGAUUUGCAUGGUUGCCCUCCGAAUGACCUUCUGACGGGACGGCCCAUACCUACCUCCACUUCUGCCGAAGGCAGGCGCGUCGUGGGAACGUGGCUGUCUGCUGACGACAUGAUCAGUGUCAGACCGGUCACAAGUCGGUCAUUCUUGUCCACCAUGCGUCAGCUUAGCAACAUGCAUGUUUGCCCUUCUUCACACAACAUAUUGCUUGUAAUGGUUAGGAUGAAGCCUGGCAUAUAUCCGACCGGGGCUAACGUGCCAUCUCUGGGAGGUAACACGCUAGCUCCAGCUGGGGACGAGUGCCUAGAAGCUCUCGUCUUGACGGGAUGGGGCGAAGCGUGCGUCAGACCGCCUGUCGCCACCUAACCCGCGAUCUGACCGGUCUGUGACUGGUCACAGACCGGAUAAACCAGUGCACUGCACUGCAUUUCGUGCGGCGUGACACGUUUAGCCGAGCCGCAAUAAAUGCGGUUAGGUGAGCCCCGCUGUGUUCACCUAACCCAUACACGCGGAGUAGAACCCGCGAGGGGUCGGGGCGCCUCGGCCCUCGGGGGCGAGGCAGGAGUGGUCCGACCCCCCUGGGGGAGACCAAGAGGUGGGCGCACACAUCACCCUCGGGCCCGACGUCCCCCGAGGGUGCCAGGCCACGUGGUGUAAAGUAUCUCUUCCCUCGACAGUCGUCUAAGGUCCCUCUAUCAAAUACUAGUCUACAUUCUCACACGGAUUCUGAUAAUAUAUUGUUAAUGUAAAAUUUAAAAAUAAAAUAAAAUCCAAAAAGAGAAAACACUGAUUUUUACUACUCAUAUCACCAGUUUUUAAUCGGAAUCCUGAGCUAUAUAUCAAACAAUGACUAAGUUCCUUUUAUUUUCUUUACAUAAUUCUCGCCUUCUUUUUAUCCUUAUAGGCUAGGUUAAUUUGUAACACAUUUUGCUACCUUAAUUUAAUUAAGGAACAAAUGGUAUAUCUCCGAUACGCAGCAGGAAGCCACCAAAAUAAAGGCCUAUUUAAUAUUGACUAGCUAACAAGAGUAAGCAUGAGAUAAGUUUAAGACUGCUUAAGUUUAACUCUAGUUCUUUUGUUGAAGUUCUCAACUCAACUUAACUCUUUUGUUUUUCACGUACACACCUUUAAAACUAUUAAACAGUAUGUUUUUUUAAAAAAUAUAUACAAAAGUUGCUUUAAAAAUCAUAUUAAUCCCUUUUUAAAAAAUAAUUGAUACUUAACUAUCGUGAUUUAAUGAGUCGUUUCUUUUUACGUGCGUGAGAGAUGAGUUUUCAACACCGAGCACCGAACUCAGCUUGAAGCUUUAGAUUCUAAGAAACAAUGGAUGAAAAUCUAGCAAGUAAUUAAUUAAUUUAGAGAAGCUAAGAUAACAACUUUUAUCUUUCAGUUUGUUAUCUAAGUAUAGUAUCUUAAAAUUUUAAAAAAAGCUAAAUUAUUUGGAAAACUUUAGUUCUUAAAAAAAUUGUAGAUGCUAAAGUCUUCGUAAACAUGUCCUCAAACUCGGGUGGGGAUGGUCUAGGUAUGCGAUUGAACUAAUUAAACUAUGGUCCAGCUCUGCUAUAUAUCUUAAUUUACUUUGACACGUGAACUUGUCAUGAAAAAUAUAUAAUGCAAACCAAAUAUGUAGUGAAACUUGAAAACUAUCGUUGGAUUAAAAAAAUAACAUUUGAGAUUGAUCCACGUCACGAAAAGAAAAAAAGUUUUCAGGAGUAAAGUUUUUACUCAUGAUGUGGACAAAUCUCAGCCAUUUAUUUUCAGAUCUCACGAUAGUUUCCAUAUUUGUAUUACAUAUGUGGUUUGUAUUACAUAUUUUCCUAAUUUAUCGCUGGCCGGUGAAAAAACAUGUUGAAGUUUGUGUUCUUGUGGCAAACACAUAUCUUAGUUUAUGAUUUGUUUUUUAUAAUCGAUGGUAUUGCUUGGGAAGCUUAAGAUUUUGAGAAAUGAUAGUUAGCUUUUGAGAAUAUUGAGAAGCUCAGAUUCUGACUUCUAGUUUAUUUGGGAUUGUUUUUGACUCUAGAAGAAGCUAUAGAUGUCAGAAGUUCCCUAAACGGACUCCUAAUGCAAAAGAAUGCAUUUCACGAAAGAAAGUUAACUUUCCUCUAUUCAAAGGAAAUGCUUGACAUCGGGAAAAACACAAAGGUGUUCAUAUCCAAAGCAUGAUUGUUGGAUAUUUGUUUGGGAUCAUAUGGCUAUAUGUCAUGUUUAGAGAGCUUGAUAUCUGUAACUACUCGUGGAGUUUUUCACUGACUCAAACAAUCAAAUUCUCGCUUAAAUUAUAUGAAUCAGUAGCUAGCUUUUUCUUAUUCACCUCAAAAUAUAGUUUUAGAGCUUUUAUUCACCAGUUUUGAUGUAUACAACUUUCGAUAGAAUUUUAAUAAGAUCAUGGAUGCAAUCACUGGUUUGUCUCUUAAAAUGUGUGUUAGGGGACGCAUUCACGGGAGUGCGAGUGUAGUGCUACAUAUAUAGUGGUGUGUGUCCGUGUGCCAUGUAAUCGAAUGGCCUGUUUAUAUUGUACCCAAAAUAAACCUUAUAAAAUUUUGACAAUGACAAAAAUUUGGCAAUUUAAUAAUAUAUAUUGCCAAAAUUUUGGUAGGAUUUUUUAUGUAUUUACUAAAGUUUGGCAAGAAACUAAAUGAAUGUGUUUAUUUGACAACUCUAAAAAAAAUGGUAUGGUUUGAAAUGACAUCGAUCUGAAUAGGUCCGAAAAUAAAAAAAAUGUUGUAUGAUUUUAUAAGGUAUAGGAAUACUGCCGUUGUGUUUGUGUAGCGCAACUGUGCAUAGUACAGUGUCUCAUGUUCUCAUGAUCUCGUCCCUUUGCCAUGCCAGACGUACCUGCCCGCCCAGUCACCUCGCCUGCGUAAUCUCUGCAUAUGCAUCGCAAUUCGCAAGAGGCGAGAGGGAGGAUCCAAUGCUGCUGACACGGUGGGUCCCACAUAAACUGACACCGUAGCACAUCAGCACGCUUUCUGAGCUUCUCCCUCUCCGGUCUCACGGUGUCCCCCGCCUUGAGCCUGGUGAAUGACAGGUGGGCCCGUCCUGCGCGUGGGACCAACCGGUCAGGGGGUCGGUGCGGAGCUCUGGGCUUUGCAGCUGCAGGUCGCACGUGUCGCGGGGCUCCAUAGCGGAUUGGAUGUGGGCCCCACUCUCCCCAGCCGCUAAGAGCAUGUACAAUAGCAGACUAUUAGCCAGCUACAAACAUAUUUUAAAGAGAUAAAAUAUGAGAGAGAAUAGCAACGGGGGCUACAGAUCUGUAGCCAGCUGCAGCACGGACUCCAAAGACACAAUGUGUGUAUGACAUGUGGGACCAUGUACUAAUAGUAUAGUAAGCAAUUAUUGUAUGAAUUGGCUAUUAGCUUGGCUAUAUAUGAAUUAGAGCUAGUAGUGGGCUAUACUAUUAAACUUGCUCUAACCACACGCGGGUUUUGGUUAUAGACUUCAUAAUUUUGCACAUCCUUUUACAGAAAAUCUAUCGUACGGUAUUCUGUGGAGACGGAAUAGUAGUACUGCCUUAUCUCCUUUUCCUCUCUCUCUGUAUCUCUUCCCCUCCACUCGCUCUCUCUCUCUGUCUCUUCCCCUCCACUCGAUCUCUCUCUCUCUGACUACCACCCAUGAGCACGGAGGCGGCAACGGCGACGACGGUGGUGGCAACGGCGGCGACGACGAUGACGACGGCGAUGCCGUCACUACUAGCCCCCGCGGAUGACCUAGACGACAGUCGGCGGACCACCACGGGCGACGGCCGCCGUCGAGAAGCCUCCUCAUCAAGCUCCUCAAGCCGCUCCUCCUCUUCAUCAUUCUUGUCGCUGGCUUCCUCGCCGCUGCCGCCCUCCUCCUCCUCGGCUGCGCUGGCGCCUCCUACAGUCGGGGAGCGCUUGGCACAACAUGAGCGACGAGGAGCUGCUCUAGGUGGCGUCAAUGGAGCUACGGGUUCGGCGGUUUGGAGCGAGGCACGACGACGAGCGACGGAAUGGCACAAGGUAGGCACCAGAUCUAUCGCCUCCUCUUCCUCUUCCUCCGCCGCCGCCCAGCUGCUCGACCUCCCCGACCUGCAACUCCUCCUCCUCCUCUUCUCUCUUGAGAUAUCACGCUGAUACCCAGGUACCAAGGCCUGAUACCUAGGUAUCAGCUCGAUACCUAGGGUACCAGGUAUCAGUCGAUACCAGGGUACUAGCUGAUACCAGUGUACUAGGUACCACCUCGAUACCUUACCCAAGGUACUAGGGAGGAUUGGAUAAGGUGGAAUCACAGGAUAGCAUGGACCUCCCCACGAAAUUGACUAUGCGUAUUAAAUCUCUCGGGAUUUUAGUUAUCCUGUGACUGCUAGGAGCAACGGAAUCCCGUGGGGUAGCAACCCUCAUCCUUUUAUUACCGAUGGUGUAAUUUCCCCGUACUGAGCUGGAUCACGAGUCAUCAAAUAUUGGUCAGGAUGCAUGCAUGUUAAAUUAUACGGAGUACUUCUUGUAUCCUAAAAUAAAUAGUAAUAAACGUAACACAACCGAAAUAUAAACCGACUUAAUUGCAUCUAAGCGCGAAAUGUUCAGAAUUAUACCCCUAACCAACAUGUCCGUGUGAGCACGUAAUUUCGGUUGAUCAGACCUCCAACGGAGUAAGGGCAUGUUCAAUGCGUAGCCCGGCGAGUGGCUCUGGCUCACGGUGUCGAUUUUUUCGGUCGGAGCCGUCUCCCAGCAGAGGGCCAUGACCCCUCUGCAGGGGACGCGCCUCCUGUGUUCCUCCGCUCCUUUUUGUCGAGCCACAGGACCGGGCUUCACGUUGGAGACACCGUGGCUAGGGGAGUGGCUCAUGGACACUGCUCUCACCCACGGAUUUUCCCCUUCCACCCCUAGCCCCAGCAGUCUCGUGCUUAAUAGAUGCUUCAUUAGCGACGGCGAAGAGGGAGGCGCAUAGGAGAGAGGCGACGAGGGGUGGUGCGAGAGAGAGAGAGGCGAUGACGAUGACUAGAUCUGGCCACCAGCCAAUGACGGGCAGAGAGGGAGGCGUACGCGGUGGUGCCUCGUUGUCCUCUGCGACGGGAGAGAGAAGGAGAGAGGCGACGAUGGGUGGCAAAAGAGAGAAAGAGGAGAGUGGCGACGGCGACGACCAGAUCCGGCCAUUGCGCGCCGUGGCAGCCGUCCGUCGGCCACCAGCCGGCGAGGGGCGAAGGGCUUCCUCACGCGGCGGCAGCGACCAGAUCUGGCGCAGGCUGUCGGCGCGGCGGUGGUGGCUAGGGAGGGUGAGGAGGGAGGCGACAGCGGUGGCUAGGGAGGGCGAGGAGGGAGGCAGCGGCGAGCGGCGGGGGAGAAAUAGGCGACGCGCUCGAGAGAGGGGGAGAGAUUGGCGAUGCAUGUGCGCGAGAGAGAGGAGAAGUGUCGGUAGGGAAAAAAAGUCGUCGGUGAGCUGGAGGAUAGAGGAGGGUAGUAUAGGAAAAUAUUCACUGUGGGGGAUUUUUGGUUGGAACACCCACUGUGGGCCUGAGUACUUUCACCCAAUUGCCUCAUAUUUUAAAGAGCCUAUCUAGUGUAGCCUUUAUUGAAAGAUGAGUGUCUCUGAGAAUGUCCUCAGUUAGUGAGAACAAUCUAGGGGUGGCUUUGAUUUUACAUGCUCUAAGUGGGCUGCCAAUUCCCUUUUUUUCCUAGUAACUCAUGGUUUGUGUUGCAUAUGGGGAUAGAUUAAAAAACAAUCUAGUUUGUUUACUAAAUAAUAUCCAACAUAGAUUAAUCUGGUUGGUAGCAUUCUACAAACCAGAUUAAUCUAUUUUGGAUAUUUAGUAAACCAUGCUAUUUCAGAUUAAUGCCAUUUCAAACCAUGAUAUUAUUUGGUAAAAAUGAUUAUGUGGCUAUAUUUAGUAAUGACUAUGGAAUUUUGACAAUAUUAUAUUGAGCACAUCCUACUAAAAUUUGGUAAUGUUGUCAAUUUAUCAAAAUUUUGGUAUUACCAAAUUUUGAAAAGUUGUAUUUUGAUAUCAAUCUGAACAUACCUUAAGGUCCUCUUUGAUUCAAAGGAAAUUCAUAAGAAUUUUAAAGGAUUUUAUUUCUAUAGAAAAUUUUCCUAUAUAGCCCUUUGAAUCAAAGGAAUGAAUCCUAUGCAAUCCUAUGAAAUUCCUAUGGAAUGCCUCUUCCUAUGUAAUUAUUGGAGGAAAUUUAGCAUGAGGUAGAACCUCAUGUUAAGAAUUCUUUGAGUCUUUAUAUCUACUCAAAUUCCUGUAUUUUUCCUACGGCUUAAUCAAACGGUCAUUCCUAUGUUUUUCCUGUGUUUUGUAACCCUCUGUUUUACACUUAUAUUUCUGUGAGAAUUCUAUGUUUUUUCUAUUCCUCCGUUUUUUUAUUUCUGUAAUUCAAAGAGGCCUUAACUCAGUUGUUUGUUAGUAGUAGUUGUUUGUGUGGCCACUGUACAAAUUUCAUGUCACUGCGCGCAUAUACCAGACCAAUCAAAUGAGUAAGCACAAAGCAAUCGAUGCGCUAACAUGUACCUACUCCUGUAUUACAUUGCGACAAACAAGAUAUAUAUUGCGAAUCAAAGCCCAUUAAUAUCUUGGUUACUAUUUACUCCCUCCGUCAAAAAAAGACAAACCCGGAUUUCCGUGUCCAACGUUUAACCGUCCGUCUUAUUUAAAAAAAUUAUGAAAAAAAUUAAAAAGACAAGUCACGCAUAAAAUAUUAAUCAUGUUUUAUUAUCUAACAACAAUGAAAAUACGGAUUAUAAAAAAAUUUAUAUAAGACGGACAGUUAAAGUUGGACACGAAAACCCAGGGUUUGCCCUGAUGCCCUGGCACAACGAGCUGAACUUGGUUUUUUUUUUGACGGAGAGAUAGUUAAAAAGACGGCCAAUUUAUUUCACUGGGCCUGGUGAACCGAAUUGGCGUGCUCACACUAGCAUGUUGGUUAGAAAAAUAAUUCUGAAAAUUACAUGCUUGGAUUUGAAAUUACGUGGUUGCAUGUGUGUUUAGAUUAAAAAAAAGUCAUGACCUGGUUUCAAUAACUGAUUAUAAUAAGUACUCCCUCCGUUUUUUAAUAUAUGACGCCAUUGACUUUUUCUUACAUGUUUGACCAUUCGUCUUAUUCAAAAAAUUUACGUAAUUAUAAUUUAUUUUGUUAUGGAUUGUUUUAUCGUUCAUAGUACUUUAAGUGUAAUUUAUAUCUUAUACAUUUGCAUAAAAUUUUUGAAUAACACAAAUGGUCAAACAUGUGAGAAAAAGUCAACGGCGUCAUCUAUUAAAAAACGGAGGUAGUAAUGUUUAUUAGAAAUAAAAAGAUAAUUUACUAGAUGUUUCACGAGUAAAAUUUUUAUUCAUGAUGACGUGGAUAAACCUCAUAGAUCUAAUUUUCCACAUCUAACUACACAUUUCUAUUUAAUAUGUGUGAUUUGCACCGCAUACUUUCCCCGACAAUAGAUCAUCCUGUGCGCGCUUAGAGCAGGUACAAUAAUAGACUAUAUAUCAACUAUAAACACAUAUCGAGGAGAUGGAAGAAGGGAGAGAUGAGCAGCGGGCUAUAGAUUUGUAGUUAGCUACAACACAGACUUCAAGACGUAAUGUGUGUAUAACAGAUAAGACCCGAUAUUAAUAGUGUAGUAUAUUGUAUAUAUUUGUAGAUAACUAUGGUAUGAAUUAGCUAUUAAAUCAACUAUAAUUAGUUGGCUAUAUUAUUAAACUUGAUCUUAAAUAAUUAACGAAAAUCAUCGAGGUAGGCGAGGGCAGUUUGGUCAGAACACACACAAAAAAAAAAGUUAAAGCUCGGAAACGGCAAAAGCUAUGGCGACCGACCGGUCACUUCCCACUCCCCAGUUCCCAGUGAACAGAGCAGGAGCAGCCUCCACUCCUCCUCUGCCACUCCACUCCCCACCACCACUCGCAUCACCAUCCAUCCAUCCAUCUCCAACCCAAGCCGAAUCACACCAAUCGCCAUCGCCAUCGCCAUCGCCGUGCGUGGUCGCCGGUGCCGGCGGCGGAGGGGGAGGGGGACCAAGGGAAAAGAGAGAAGGUGAGCUGAGCUGAGCUGAGGUGAAGUGGUGCUGAGGCGAGUGACUGGGGGGCAAUGGCAGCGGCGUGGGUGCUGGCCGCGGCGGCGGCGUUGGCGCUGUGGGCGGCGGCGGCGGAGGGGGCAAGGUCGCCGGCGGCGAGGGUGCACCGGCACCUCAAGAGGCUCAACAAGCCGGCCGUCAAGAGCAUCGAGGUUGGGUGGCCAGUUCUUGAAAACAUUUGCUUCUUUUUAUUAUUAUUUCUUUUGGGGGUUAUCGCUCAACUUUGUGUUGUUGAUGCAUUGUUACAUUGGGAGUUCAAAAUGUUAGUAUUUUCAUUUCACAUUCUUUUUUUUUUCACUUUUGUUUCUAUGAGUUUUGGUCUAGCAUUGAUUUGCUAAGAUUUUGAGAUGGAUUGAUUUGCAGAGAAGAAAGUUUGCCCCUCUUUUCUGUGCUUCUUUUGGGCUGUUCUUGGUAGUUUUUCUCAUUGCUGCUUUAAAGAAUUUUUCGAAAAAGUUGCAAUCUUUUGGAGGUACAUUUUGGCAACUCAAGCAAAAGAAGGCAGAAAAGACGUGUCCUGCUUUCAGGCUGGCUCUGGCAAAGUUGUAUUAUUCUCCAAUGAAAAAAGGGGUUGAAUGAACAAUUCCUUUUUUUAAAUCUUUCUUUACAUUUCCGAACAAUGAUUUCUGCGUUUUCCAAAAAGUUCAAAACCUGAAGCGUUUGUCUUCUUUUUUUUGGUAUUAUUGUUAUUAUUAUUUGUCAUGAACAAAUGUCCUAUCCGUUUGAAACUGUUUUGCAAACCGAUGCAGAGCCCAGAUGGAGACAUCAUCGACUGCGUGCAUCUCUCUCACCAACCAGCAUUUGAUCAUCCCCUACUCAAGAACCAUACUCUCCAGGUAAAAUGCUUCACUUUGCAAUCAUUUCAAAGUACUCAUCAAACCUGCAUUUACCACAGUACAUCUGUACAUGGUCCAAUAUGUUGCAUUCAACAUUUUUCUAAAAGAAAGCUCUGUCAAAAAUCUUUAUCCUUGCAGAUGAGGCCGGCCUACCACCCUGAAGGCUUGUAUGAUGAUGACAAGAGAAGCGUGGCCUCUGACAAUGCCGGCGAGAAGCCGAUGCUCCAGCUAUGGCAUCAAAAGGGGAGGUGCCCGGAGGGCACCGUCCCGAUCAGGAGAACGAAGAAGGAUGAUCUGCUCAGAGCGAGCUCGUUGCGGCGGUAUGGCAGGAAACGGCAUACCGCCGUGAACCCGCUGUCCAUUGAUCCCAACAUGCUCAAUGAGGGUGGUCACCAAGUAUGUCCGAAUACGAUGUCAUGUUGAGUUGAAAUCAAAAUGGAACAUGGUAAUGGCAUCGGCAUGUUUGGUACUUAACCGAAACUGUUUUCUUGUUGCAAAUUCAGCAUGCCAUAGCGUAUGUGGAGGGGGAUAAGUACUAUGGUGCCAAGGCCACCAUUAAUGUGUGGGAGCCCAAGAUUCAGCAGCCUAACGAGUUCAGCCUGUCCCAGCUCUGGAUCUUGGGGGGUUCAUUUGGUGAGGAUCUCAACAGCAUCGAGGCCGGGUGGCAGGUACUACUGGGAAGAAAACCUGAGCUCAUAUGAGCUUCAUCACAUUCAUAGUUACGCGAAUUGAAUGAUGACCGUUUUCGCGGUCGGCUGUCCCCCUGCCAUGAUGCAUGGAUGCAAUUGCAACCUGUGCUGUGUGUCUGAUCAUUUGCGCUAACCGCCGUCCUUUGAUUCAUCAGGUCAGCCCAGACCUCUAUGGAGAUAAUAACACUAGGCUGUUCACAUACUGGACUGUAAGUUUCACAAACUCAACAAUCCAUAUGCUUAUACUAUUGAUGGUACAUUGUUAUACUAUUAAUGUUCUCUGUACUCUGGCAACAGACAUUCUGUUGUUGAUGCAUUAACUUCGGUGUCCCUUACGUUUGCUUUCGCAUUGGGGUCUUUUUUGUAGAGUGAUGCUUACCAAGCAACAGGGUGCUACAACAUAUUGUGCUCCGGAUUCAUUCAGAUCAACAGCGAGAUCGCCAUGGGCGCGAGCAUCUUCCCCAUCUCGAACAUCGCCGGCUCACAGUAUGAUAUCAGUAUUCUGAUCUGGAAGGUGAGCAAUUCUUAAACUAUUACCAAGGCAUCAUCACAUAAUGACAUGCUUAGUGCCUUGAGAAUUAGCAUAAGAACUAAUGGGGCCAGAGAAUCUUUCCCCACUUGCUCUAAUGCUCCUUCACACACCUGGUUCUUUGAAAACCAUUUUGUCCAAAUCACAUGUACUAGGCAUGCAUAACUAACACUAAUGUGGCAUCUCUAGUGACUAUAUUAUCGAAAAAAAACUCUAAUUAUAUAGUAAUAUUCUAUGUGCUUCAUCUGUGGACAGGACCCAAAGGAAGGAAACUGGUGGAUGCAGUUCGGCAGGGAGUAUGUCCUCGGCUACUGGCCGUCCUUCCUCUUCUCCUACCUCGUCGACAGUGCGUCGAUGGUCGAGUGGGGCGGGGAGGUGGUGAACUCGGAGCCCGACGGCACGCACACGUCGACGCAGAUGGGGAGCGGGCGGUUCCCGGAGGAAGGGUUCGGCAAGGCGAGCUACUUCAAGAACAUCCAGGUGGUGGACAGCAGCAACCAGCUGAAGGCCCCCAAGGGGGUGGGCACCUACACCGAGCAGUCCAAUUGCUACGAUGUUCAGAACGGCAACAAUGGCGACUGGGGCACCUACUUCUACUAUGGCGGCCCGGGGAAGAACUCGAAUUGCCCAUGAAUUUGGUGAUGAAGAAGCUGAUGAUAUAUAUAUAUUUAUAUAUAUAUAUAUAAUAUAUGGUGAAGUGUGCAAGUGUAACCAAGCAUUAAUCAUGUGUGGAAUACAGAUUGAUCUGCAUCUGUUUCUUAAUUUAGCCCUAGGUAGUAUAUGUGUAUCUUUCCUACUGAUUUUCUUUUUCUUCUCUUCAUUAGUUUUUUCUUCUUCUUUUUCUGAUGUGCCAUGUAAAAGUUUCUGAAGAGAAGCAUGGCGUGAGGUGGUGGUGCAGGGGUGAUGAUGACAAUUGAUUUGUGGGUAAUUUGCAAGUCAAACGGCUUGUGAUCAGUACUACAAAUUUAUUAGCUGUUGUGUUAGCUGAUAAAAUGACUUGGUAGUAGACAGUAGUUCUGUAGAAACGUGAGAAAAUUUGACAGAUUCGAAAUACAAAUUCAAAGCAACGAGGAAGGGAGCUGGGCUAGACUGUCAGAAAUCCAAUGUACACGAAGAGAAAAUAAUAAAUUCUUGAGGUGGCCUACCUUCUCGGGGAACAUGUUUGUUCUCAGAAGAGUGUUGGUAGCUGAGAAACUCUGAAUCCAUGGUUCACCUCCAUUUUAUAUCAAACUAGCCAAUAGAUCGUGCGUUGCAAGGAAAAACAAAUUAAGUUUAUAGCUUAUUCAGUCAAUUAAACACAUAUUUAGUCUAAGUAGUACUUUUAUGUUUUUUUAUUGAACAAGUAGUUUCUUUUUUAGAUAAUAGAAAUGUGUUACAUCUCCGAUCUCUGCCCGUAGGCACACAACAAAAAGUCUAGAAGUGAACAGAAAAAAGCUUAAGAAGUACGGAGUAGUUGAUUUCAAAAUUUAGGAAGAGCCAUGUAUAAUAGUAUAGAUUGUGGUAUAAUAACAUAGAUCGUUAGACCCAAAUGUCAGUGAUAAGGGUGGUGUGAUAACGGCCAGCACUACUAGUAACAUUUUAAGUAGCAUAAAUGCAUACCGAUAGAUAUAUGAUGACAUUUUAAUGCAAUAGCUGUAUCAGGGUCUUUGGGAGGAAAAGCAAGAGUGAUGAAUGCCAAAAUUUAUAUGAAGAUGUCAAAUUUUAUAUGACACCGUUGAUUUUUGACGUGAUAUUUGAUCAUUCGUCCUAAUUAAAAAAUAUAUAUAAAUGCUAUUUAUUUCAUUGUGACAUGGUUUCUCAUUAAAUAAAUUUUACUAUAAAUUACACUUAGGCAUAUUUAUACAAAUGUUUUUUAAAAAAGAAUGAUCAAACAUUAUUUUUAAAAGUCAACGACAUCAACUGUUAAAAAUGGAGGGCAGAUCAACAGUGUUAGCAUCAGUGUCAGGCGACACCGACGACUUUCGACAAAACCUAAAUUAUUAUUUUUAGAUCCGCCACUGAAACGGAGGUAGUAUCAAUUACAGAAGAAGAGCGAGAGGAAAAGGAGGGCAAGCAGUGGCGGAUCCAGAAAAUCGAUUCGUUAGUGUCAGAACGUGUCUAUCGGUGUCAUAGUAUGCUAAUUACACUUAGAUCAUGGUGUUAUAGCAUAUGAAUAAGCAGUUUCGCUAUAGGUUUUGCCGAAAGUCGUCGGUGUCGCCUGACACCGGCCCUAUAACUAUAGAUCCGCCCCUGAGGGCAAGUGUGAGGCAAUGGAGGAGACCUAACCGGCGGCUCACCAUCACCGGAGCUGUCUGCCAGUCAGUCUGCCGUGGCCGGCGGUGGCAUGGGGCAUGGCCGAAGCGGAGCCUCCUCUACUUAGGCCAAAAUUUGGUCUGGUCUGAGGCUUCAGCUAGGUCACACCACCAUUCAUUCCUUCAUUCAUCGCUGCCCAAAUUAAGUUUGUAAUUUGCACCCCUAGUCUCUCCAAUUUUACAAUUCUUAACAUUUUAGACAACACAUGGUCUCCAAAAUAUAUCUUUGACUAUAUAUUUCUAUUAUAACAUACUAGUCGCAUACCUGUGCAACGCACAGGUUAUUAUCAAUAUUUUAAACAUUGUUUACUUCUUGGAUUUUAUAUUUGAGGUGCCAGUCACUUUUGUCAUAUAAUAGCCCUAUGGUUCUCAUCACUACCCUAUCACUGAAAACAAAAAUUCCUUUCUAGGAUAAAAUGCUGGAAAUAGGCUACUAUAACAUACAAAAAUUUUCAAAACUACGGAACAUUAACUUAUAACUCAUAACAAUUUUUUUUAAAAAAAAUCAAAAUUACAUAUAAAUAAAGCAAACAACAAAAUGCAGUUAAAAUGAUCUAAAAUCCCACACUGCAUAGUGCAGUUUUGAGGACUAAAAAGUUACAGAUUUUUAGGCGCCUUAAUCACCUUGUUUCUUAUUCAUAAUUAUAUAUGAGUAAAAUAUAUGGCUGGUCCCUAAACUUGUGUGGUGGUGUCACUUAGGUCCGUGAACUUGGUUUAAUGUACCAUCCCGGUCCAAAUGUCCUUUAACUGCGUUUGACCGCAUGCCACGUAGGUAACACUUUUGCUCUCAGCCCCCUCCACAUCACAAUACAUCGCAUAUAUCUUCUUAUAGCUAUAUAUAGUAACACUAGAAUCCAAAAAAAAAAAUCUCAAAUCGUUCUCCCAUCUCAUUCUUCUCCUUUCAUGUAUAGAAAAUGCGGUUCCGAUUAGCAAUUGCUAUUGCUCCAUGCUCCAAAAUAAACUUAUUCUUACACAACGGGCACUUGAUCAACAACACAUUCUUCCCGUGACUUCAAGAUGGGGGUGAGCUUGUAGAAUCCAUGGGGAUGCCUAGCGUGCAAGCCGCAUUGCGCUGCCUCCUAUCGCAAAUCUGGCCGCACUGUGCCACCGCUAAUCCUGCUAUACCCUGUAUUGGCGCUGUCUCCUGCCGCUAAUCUCACUGCCAAGACCGCCACAACCACUACCUUUCGGUCUCCUUCCGCUAACCUCACCGUCGAAACCCUAGAUGAUUUAGGGAUAUUUUUGGGGAUUUGGGUUGAAAUGCAUUUGUCAGGGCAAGUUAUGUGCGAAGAUAUAUGUGAAGGGGGCUGAACACAAAAGUGUUGCUUACGUGGCAUGACACAUUGGCGGUCAAACGUGGUCAAAGGACGAUUGAACGGGGGUGGUACAUUAAACCAAGUUCACGGACUUAAAUGUGCAAUUUUUAAGUUUAUGGAUCUAAGUGACACCACCUCACAAGUUUAAGGACCGGCCAUAUAUUUCGCUCAUUAUAUAUUGUUCUCAUAUUCACAAAUAUCUUGAUCAGAAAUUGCUGACAACCUUCUGUAGAAAAAUUGUCAUUCCUCCUAUUUGGAAAUGUUAAAGCAUUCCUCUUACAACAAAACCCAAUAAAGCAUCAAGCACGUGGAUAUCCCUUCAACAAAACAUAAAUCAUCGAAAGGAUAUCAGACGACUUAACGAAGCAUAAAAGCGGAUUGGAAAUGGACGACUAUUUGAAGAAUGCCUAAAGAUCACAUAUUGAUAAGUCCGCAUUAAGUCGUCAACUUUGGAUCCGACUGGGGAUUUUUGAAGAAUGUUUCAUGAAAAAAUUGGAAAGCAAUGAUGUUGAUGCUUGCUUAUGAAAGGACAUGGGGGGCAACUAAGGUCUUGUUCGUUUCUCCAACAAGAUGGAGAUGAAAUUUUGGUUAUUCGUGGCACGCUUAUUAAACUGCUAAACGGUGUGUUUCGUGCGAAAACUCUCUAUAUGAAAGUUGCUCUAAAAUAUCAGAGUAAUUUAUUUUUCAAGUUUGUAAUAAUUAAAACUCAAGUAAUCACACGUUAUUACCACCUCAUUUUGCGUGAAACACUUAAUCUUUAUCUUCAGGAGAUACCUAAGCAUUGAACAUCAGGACCAUGAAUAUACCUGAUAAACUCCCACCGAAGAACAGAUCCAGAGGUACUUCUCUGUUGCUCUGCGAUAUGGUCAAGAAAGCGCGCAUAGAUCACCAGAUUAUUUACAUCCAUUAUAUAUGACAUGGCAGGCACUAAAAAACAAUUUAUAUUAAUUAUUAUGAUUAAAGAGUCAUAAGCUAGGUAAUCGAUCAAUCAAUGUUGUUUAAGAUGAGAAACAUGUGAAGAAAGAAUUAAAUUUUGAAAAAGGGUUCAAAUCAAAUCUUGCAUCAGUUGAGAAAAUAGCAUGCAAUAGUAGCUGCAUAGGAUUGAUCCAUCGAUUAUGAAACCGGAGGGAGCAACUUCUCUUGACUUUGAGUGAAACCCCCAGCCCAACUUGCAUUUGCGUUGGUGAGUGACCAUGUACAUUUUACACGUUGGGUGGAUGUUGCAUACAAGGAAUUCACUCCACUAGUGUAACUUAAUCAUAUUCAGCACAUAGAAUUUUAUUCCAUGAAUAUCAAACAAUGUGGAUAUUUCUUUUUUUUUUGUGGUCCUGUACUCUUGUUCGUUUCUCCAACAAGGAGGAGAUGAAAUUUUGGAUACUCAUGGCACGUUUUUUAAACUGCUAAAUGGUGUGUUUUGUGCGAAAACUUUCUAUAUGAAAGUUACUCUAAAAUGUUAGAUUAAUCUAUUUUUCAAGUUAGUAAUAAUUAAAACUCAAUUGAUCACAUAUUAUUACCACCUCGUUUUACGUGAAACACUUAAUCUUUAUCUUCACCUUUAUCUUUAGAAGAUUCAAACACCACCUUAACUGUACGGGGAAUUGUGUCCUUGCAAAGUCUAGGUUUGAAGAGCUACUGCAGCAGUGUGUUUUGUAUCUCCAAGUCCAACCGUUUAAUUGGAACAAGUGCAAGUUCUAUCUAUCGACUAUUAGCGCAAUUUGCAAUAUGGUUUUUCAAAUGGUGUCCUGCGCUAUUCCACCGUUGCUAAGGUUUUAUCCUCAUCCGCCAUAGCAAAUGUUUUAUUCUGGUUUUGCGAUAGUUAAGGUUUUAUUCUGCAUCGGUCAUUGAAGAAGCCAUACAUAGUAAGCCAUAAUUGUCUUUUAUCUUUUUUUGGUGUGUUAAUAAAAUUAAACAAUAGGAUCAGAGGCAUUGAUGGUAGGGAAUUUUCCGAACAAAACGAUAUAUAUAUUUACUGGUUUUUUUUCUCUUUCUAUACUUCUUCUAUCUAUAAAUAUCAAACUCGGACCUAAUGUCUCAUACACACAUCAAUUACAAUACAAUCUGGCAUAUAGCACAUAUUAGCUCAUCAGUAAGAAAUGGUGAACCACAGCUGCCAAGGACUUUUGUUACUUCUUCUAGUGUGUUCUGCCAUGCCUGCACUUAUCGAGGGUAACUAAUGAAUCUUCUAUUUUACUUUUGUAGGAAGGGGGCUCUAAUUUGCUUUUCAUUUAUAUGUCGUUUUGAUGGCACCACACUUAAAAUUUCAUCUUGAAUAGAUUAAUCGAAUUUACAUGUACAUUAUUGCAUUUUCAUUCUAUUUUGACAAUAUGUAUGUUCCCUUGAUAAACAGGAGCUGAUGUUAAAGAUUGCAUUCACAAUCCCAUGGACCCUCAUCAAAUAGAUAAGAACUUUUGUUGUGUAAAGGAUAAUGAGUGCUGGAUGUCGAUUCAAGAGUGCCUGGCAAAUUGCCCAUGUGGCAAAAAUUGUUCGACGUAAUCAUAUGCUCAUUAGUUAGAUCUGACAUCUUUAGCUAGAUACUACGUUAAUUAUCUCUACUACAUCCGGUAAUGCUGGCGAGUGCCAAGUAAACCAAAGGUCCGGCAAUGGUGUUGUCAGCGGUUGUGUGUGAGGGCGACCGAUGUUUUCCUUUUUCUCCUUGUUUACCGAUUCAACCUAACUAAGAUGAUGUUUUUGGUAAGGAUGAUAUUUUUUUCUUUUGCAUUUAUUAAUGUAAGGGUGACCAAUGUAACCCCUGAAUUUAUCUAAAAUAAAAUGAAGAAAAAAAUUGAACUCCCAUUUCAAAAUGGUAGUUCAAUUUUUUUUUCUUCAUUUGAUUGUUACCUUUGUUUCUAUGAAUUUUGGUUUAGUGGUGUAGCCGCAUUUGUUAAGAUUUUGAGCUGGAUUGAUUUGACAAGUUGUGCAUUCUCUAAUUCAGAAAAGUUUGCCCCUCUUUUCUGUGCUUCUUUUGGGCUUUCUUGGUAGUUUUUUUUCUUCUUAUAGCUGCUUGAAAGAAUUUUUCGACAAGAGUAAAUUGCAUUCAAGAUACACGAACUUGUAAAAUGAUCGUUUUGGUGCAUGAGCUUGUUUGGUGCGUGCAAAAAAAGGUGAAAAGAACAUUAAAUGGAUAAUCUUAUUGAUUUAAGGGCUGAUUAUGAUACUAUAUAAACAUAUAUUUGAGAAGGUUGCUAUUAGCCAUACACCUCUUCAAUAAAAAUAUAGAAUGGGCUAUAGUGAACGCAGAAAAAUAUAUGAAAAAAUGAGCAAUGAUAUAAGGGUUAGAGAUAUAUGACAUUCAUCAUUUACACGAUGAAGGAAAAAGUAUAGACCAAAAUUAUAAAUAUUAUAUGCUUUAUGCAUACUCAUUACACAUGCACGUCACAUAGUCAACAUCAGCUUUGUAAAAUUAGCAUUGCAAGCUAUUUUGGUCCCCGUUCGCACGAGCUAGACAAGUUCGUGUACCGAAACGAGCAUUUUACAAGUUUAUGUACUAAAUUGCACCCAUCUAACAAGUUUGUGUAACACCAAUGCAAUUUACUCUAUUCAAAAUCUAGGAUAAAGUGGUUGCUGCUCUAAGCAAACGGGCGACCGGUCGCUUUGUAGUCAUGUACAUAUAGAAAAUCCUCAAGAGGAUGGUAGGGGUAUAGAUUUGUAAACUUUAAAACAGAAUUAUACUUUUGUAAAUUUUUCAAAAAGAAUAUAUAAAUAUGAAAAUUCCUGAUUUCUACUUUAAUGGAUCUUGAUCCUACAUAUUUGGGUCCAAUCUGUUCGUGUAGCCUUUUCGGUUUGGCCCGAUUUGGGCUGGGAAUUAUUUAUUUGUUUCAUCCUGCCCAAAAAAUACAAACCAGAUCCAAAUAGACCGAAAAAAAACAGAAGGAAAAAAAAACGAUACCCAGCCCAAAUUGGGCACGGGCCGAAAACUUGGGUUAGUGCAAAUUGACCCAUAUAUAAGUAAAAAGAAUGACAAAAUAGAAAUAAAAAAAAAGAGCGUGCGCGCGCACACAACAAACCCACUUGGGCUUAGGGCACAACGAAGUUACGGAAAAAUACGACAUGUAACCAUAGUAAUAGCAUUGAAGCAUAAUGCAAGGCUAUAAGCUAAGGAAGCAAUUGUAGUAGUGGAUGGAGGGAGGCACAGUUUAACGCCUUACGAGCUGUCUAGCGAAUUUAUUUAUUUAUUGAACUUAGCUGCCUAGCGAAUUUAACCCAUGGUAAGAGAAUAUGUACGCAGAGUUUAACCCCUCUGAACUGAAUAUCGUGCCAAGUUGAGCGAACGCCAAAUAAAUCAGCUUCAGUUGAUGCAGCAGACAGCAGUUCUGAUUGCCAUCUGUCCUUGGCACCAUCUUUGCCACUGUUUGCUGAUAAUGCGAUGAAGAGUAGAUAGUAGUCAGAUGUUGCAGUUAGCGAUAUCUAUUGACUACCACUUCCAAUGGUUGCUGUGUUAUCACCAUGUCACGUAUUGAGCUCAUAUAUUCCCAUGAGUCCUACAACCAAAAUAGAGGGAUCUAAAGAGGUCUUGUGUUCUUCCGGAGCCAGUCGAGAGAAUGGCCACUCAACAAAGGGGAAACCUGAAAGUGAAAAUGAUUGUGGUUAAGCAACGCAAUGGUUCAUAUGAUCUUGGAAUGAUGUAUACGAGGAAUAAUUUUGCUUCCCAAGAAACAGUCGACGAUUCGCAUCCUAGUGAAUACUACCUCCGUCCCGAUAUAAGUGCAGAUGUAGGUUUCCGUGUCCAACAUGUAACUGUCCGUCUUAUUUAAAAAAAUAUUUAUGAUUAGUAUUUUUGUUGCUAUUACAUGAUAAAACAUGAAUUUAUGUGUGACUAAUUUUUUUUAUUUUUUUCAUAAUUUUUUUAAAUAAGACGAACGGUUAAAUGUUGUAUACGGAAACCCACAACUGUACUUAUAUUGGGACGGAGGUAGUACUGAAUAGUGACAUAAUACAUUGGGAAAAAAGCUAGUACAUGACAAUCAAAACCAUGCGCAUGUGCUGCAUGCAACAGUAUGUCCUAAAUAUUGCGCAACAAUUGACAUUUAAAAAUAAAAAAAGUGCUCUUUCUUAUUUAAAUAGCCACACCUAAUGCAGGCUUAGAAACAGAUUUGGAUAUCAAUUGUUCAAAAAAUAAUUUUGCCUCAAUGACAUAUGACUCACCUUUUCCCAGACUUCGUCAUGGUAUUCAUUGAUCCAAUUGAUCUCCGAAGGUGAUAGUAAGGACAAAUCAACAAGCUUGCUCUGAAGUUACCAAAGAAACGAAAAUUAAAUGUACAAGGUGGAUGAUAAUAAAAAGAAGUGUACAUAUAGAACAGCACACAAAGACUCAGGUUACCAGUCCUUAAAAUAAUUCUGUGGUAAGUUAUUAAUUUCAUAGGCCAACGUUAAAUUACUCAGACUUGAUUACUCAUUAGUAAGAAAGUAAUAUGUGGAUCAAUGCCAUUAUUGCAAUAUGUUUCCACAAAAAAUAGUAUCAAAUCGAGUUGAUGGUAUACCUGAAUUGGAACAAAAGUUAAUUUUUCAAAACCAAGGUACGAGACGCCACCAAACGAAUUUGGCAAAUUAACCUCUUUGACCAGAAGAAGAUUCUGCAAUAUUCAAGAAAAAAUAAUGAGAAAUGGCUAUUCAAUGUACUAUCUGCACAAUUGCUCAAUUUAGUCCUAAAAAUUUAGGAGACUGACAUGAGCAAAGAGUGGGGAAACCUACCUCUAUACGAAUGCCAAAGGAAUUGUCUUCGUAAUAACCAGGCUCAUUGCUUACGAUCAUGCCCUUCUGUAAAGCUGUCAAAUUUCCAUAUCGAUAGCUUAUGCUCUGAGGGCCCUCAUGGACAUUUAGUGCAGCUCCAACUCCAUGACCUGUGCCUGGAACAAGAGAAAAAUUGAUCAUCAAUUUACGUAGCAUCACAUGCCAUAACUUCCAGCAUUCAGAGAUUUUUGUGUGCUUAGAAAAUGUACCAUGUCUGUAAUCCAGCCCAAUCUUCCACAGAGAAGAGCGUGCAAGAACAUCUAAUACAAAGCCAGGAGUUCUCUCUGGAAAUACCGCCUGAUCGAGAGCUAUAUGUCCCUGAAACAAUAAAACUUUAUGACUCGAAUAAAGUAUGAAACAAAAAUCAAGUGUUGAGUGAGACAAGUAUCAUAGCACACUGAAGGCAAGACAUACUAAAUAACUGUUACAAUUGAGUAAAAAAUAACUGUUACAGGUCUAAACAAAAUUAAACAUUACCUGCAAAACCCUUGUGAAGCAUUCCUUUUGCCUUGGGGUUGGCUCACCAAAGUGAACAGUCCUUGUUAUGUCAGUAGUUCCAUCAAUAUAUUGAGCACCACUAUCUAACAGAAAGAGAUUGUCGCUUCCGACAGAGCUGCAGCUCUCUGGAGUUGGUCUGUAGUGUAUUAUAGCACCAUUUGCACCAUAACCUGAGUGGAAAAUUUGACUACAUAUUAGAAGUCAAGAACUGCAGACAUCACACGGCAUUUGCAAACAGCAGUAGUCCAAUGUCACAUUAAACAUUCCCAUGAUGCUCAGCAUGAAAAUUGAGAUAAGUCUAAACCAUAACAUGCAUUGUACUCCUACCAUAUAUCAAUACUCGUUUUAAAAGAAACAAGGCAGUUGUGGCACUGAAUCUGCCAGCACACCAACUCUGCAGUACAUUUGUACCAAGUACUUCUUAAGUUUGUUAAUAUUGUUAGUAUCUUAUUCCAUCUCUAAAUUCAUGGAAAGGUUUAUGGUGACAAAAAUUGUCACAUAUAUAGUAUAAAUGCUAAUUUACAAAUAGAGUAAUGCAAAAAGUUGUCUAAGUGUUCCCUUCAACAGAAGUAACAAAAACAUGGUGGGUGAGUUCAAUGAAAAAAAUCACGCAAUUUAUUCAAACAAUAUUAGCACAUGUAGAUCCAUUUUCAUUCGUAGCAACACAUGGACAUUUAGCUAGCAAAACUAAAUAAUGAAAAGGCUUAGAUAAACUGCUUGAGAAUAGUAACAAAGUUCCAGAUCGAUUGGUUCGAGGAACGUGAUAUGCUACUUGCAAGAGGUGUUUACAAGGUGGUACGAAAAUGUCCACGUGUUCCCAGGACAUUCCUGGUCAAGGAGCUGCCUUCGACCCAGAUCAUGACUAACCAUUAAUGUAUGCAUAAUUAUUCCCUAAUAUAUACAAUGAAAAAAUGCAGUAGGCUCAAGCUGAGUGAAACAUGUUACACCCCUCCCUAUCAAAUUACGCUGUAAUAAAGAGGUUUGAGAAAGGCACCAUAAUAAAUACCUAAAGACACUCUACCAACUACAAACAAUCAAUCCAGAUAAUAGAUAGCAAUAACAAACAAAUAUUAACAUUUGAAACUCAAGAUACUGGCCAUGUAAAACAGUUCUCAGGGAUUUUAAUAUUGCAGGGAAAAGUUGAAAUAUACCACUGAUAGUGUCAAAGCUUGUAUCUAUAAAGCCAUCUUGCUUUUGACGAAAUUCAAGAAGCUUUUCAGCAACUUGCACUUCUGUAAGUGGUACACUUUCACGAACUUGCCCUUCUAGCCAGCACCAGAAUUCUGCUAAAGCAGCAGCAUCUCUGUAAAUGUAUUUAUGUGCCAGUAUAGACAAUGCAGUGGUCAGCUGGACCCAAAGGCCACAUUAACAGAAAAAGGAAAAAAAAAAAGAAGAUGCUUCCUUUACAAAAUGAAAAAAAAAAAAAAACACCCAGCCGCUGCACUGGUAAGUGCAGAAAGCCAAACAACAAGAAGAUGAUGAAUGCUGAAAGUGAUGAUGAAUAAAAACCCAUUGCUAAUGAAAAAAAAUAGUAACAAUGGUAGUAGGUUAAGGAUCUCCAUUUUCUGUGGAGAAUGACAUCAUCUAAGUACAUGUCUAUGGAUGGAGCUUUGUAUUUGAUCUCUACUAUGAGUUGCUCACUACAUGAGAAUUUGGCACGUGAUAUCCAUAUCCAUAUUUAGGAUAUCUAUUUGUGCACGAUGAAUAGGUAAGCAGGCACUGUGUUUCCAUUGCAAAUUUUGUGACCUAGUCGUAUAUAGUGGGAAACUGAUAUGAGAUAUAUUAGAAGCAAUAUCAUUUAUUGUACAUCAGUACACUAGUAUCGGAUUUGUCGGAGUAAGGGGAAAGAUUAUUAGACAUUUUUCCAUGAGUGAAAUUGUCAUAUCAUUAGACAUUUUUUACAUGUAUAAAUAAUUAUAGAGCUUACUGGGCAAGUAUAAAGAAAAAGAAUAAUUGAAGUGAACAAUCCGUACAGGGAAAAUCACAUUUAUAUUGUUGCUACAAUGCAAUAACCAGACUAUAUGGUUGCCUCAGGUAUGGUUCUUUCAAUUCCAGGAAAUCAAGGUUCUGUCUUCACUCUUCAGGCAUUUUUCAACUGACGAAAAAACAAAGAAUUCAAAAACAUUUUUUAAAAACGAUACCUUAGGUGUGAACUCUUCAUACCCUCAACUUCUGCUUCAUUCUUAACUGCUUUGGCUAGGGUGGCUGGUGAAACUUUGUAUAGAGCAUUUACAGUUCCAUUCUGAACACCAGAGCUUCCAGUAGCUGGGUCACCUUGAGAUGAUUCUUUUCCAAUUUGUCUCCCUGCUUUUCCUCUCUUUUUCACGUAUCUCUCACAGCUUGAUCUAAACACAUUAACUAUGGCAGCAUUUAUACUUGAAGAAUCCAGCCAAAGCUUUGCACCAUUCUCUGCCAAUCUAGAAAAGGAAAAGGGAAACAAUUUCCAGACUAAGAUAAUCAUGGAGGAGUUUAAGAGGUGAACAUUGACAAUUUAAAUUAGUCUCUUUCAUAUAAUCACAUUUUAAGUUAGAGCUACUAAAAUACAAUUAUAAAAUUUAAUAGAAAUUGGUUCAAGAAUACUGACUGGAACAGCACACAAGUACUGAACCAGACCAAGGACUGGUAAAGUUGGCACAUUAUUAUAAUCAAAUACCAUGGCUAAAUGCCCUUUACAAAUUUUGGGAUCUCAAAAACAUGUUUGGUGUUCAAUCAGUAACAAGCUCAAGUCCUUUUGUGAGGUAUACGUGCAAUAAUGCGACAUAAUCAUUAUGUAUUUCUUUCAAAAUCAUGUACAUGAUUUUAAGUUCACAGAUGAACAUAAAAUCAAUAUGUGACAGGAAGAACAGGAAAUCCUACCACUUCCAGGGCAGAGAAGAAUUUAGAUAAAAGCUGUUGAACACGGAAAUGACGUAAUGGGUCACUGGUUUCAACAGGUUAUCAACUCACAAAAUUUAUGAUCAGAAUUGUAUAUCCGAUUGGCUAAGACUAAUAAGCACGCUCAACUACCAAAUUAAUUAAAGGUGGUUCUUAUCUAAUUCCAAAUAUAAAGGGAGAUGAUAUGACAUCAAUAUCAGAAACAAUAAUUGCUUUUCUGAAGAAUUACCUCUCAACAUCGGACAAAAUCGCUUCAUAUGGUUUUAGUUUUACUCCAGCCUUUUCGAGGUGCUCUAAAACAUCUUCAGAUACUUUGUUGUUAUCCACAAAUAAUGUAGCAGCGGUAUCCUCCACAAUAAGGUAGCUAUAAAAUACAGGUGAAUUUGGAACAUCACUUCCUCUCUGCAUACCAAAAUGUGACAAACUGACUAGCUUAACCAUAAUAAACCAAAGUGCAAGCAUGCUCAACAUAGUAGAAAAAAAAACAAACUCUGAACACGAAUUAUCAAGUGUGAAAAGUGCUAAUAUAUCAUGCCACCUCCCAAUUAUGGAUUAAUGACCUUCAUAAUUUGCACAAUAAGACAAUAGUACAGAAAUGUAUCCGAUAAGCAGAAAACAAGUUUACAACCAUAAAAGCACAAAACAUAAAACAUCCUUCAAAUUAUGAAAAGAAAGUACUAAGUGCUAAGCAGAAAGUUUGGUAAAAACAAACUUUGGUAAAUAUUAAUCUUGAGCUACAGAUAGUUGAGAAUCCAUAAAAAAGGAAUAUAGCAAUAAACAUAGGUGUCAAGUCAUAAGAAACGAUAUAAGUAACUGUGAGAGCCAAAAUAUUAGUACCAUGUUUAACAACCAUGCAACUUCAUCAAGCAACGAAAUGACCACAGCAUUACACCCAUUUUCAGCAAGCUGUGAUCUAACAAAGGACAAUUUUGAUGGCACGUCAACGCCAGCAUAUUUGAUUCCAUGCACUCUAGUUUGUUCUUUUGGGGGCUCUGGCCUUGAUUCUCCCCAUAUUUCAUCAACUAGAUUCAAAUCCUUGAUCAAAACUAACUCAUGGUUCUUCUCGGAAAUAGCAUCUUUUAGUUCUUCAGCUGCAUCAAAUGAGAAAAGAAACUGCAUCCUUCAAACAAAGUAAGAAAUAAAGUAUUAGGACAAGAAUAAAAUGAAACAAAAAUAUCAAAACAUAAACAAUUUUUCAGAAUGCACAUUUAUCUGAAACUUAGUAGGAAGACUAAAUGGAAUAAAGUUCUUGGUCAGAAUGUAACAUUUACAAAGUAAACACAAGAAGGUUUCAAAUGACUGUAAAUUUUACCAACAGUACACAUUCAUAAAACGGUUAACUUCUUGUGAGGGAGAUAUAAAAUUUAGAUAAAAAAAUAAGAUCUCAAAUUUUAAGAUGCAUGUGUGCCACAAAGCAGUUUCAGGAUACGAUUUUGCAAUUUAAUUUAAACAUCAAUCUAUUCUUUACUUCUAACAUCCAUACACUAGUUUGUCAUUUCAUGGGCAUGUAAGAAUUUGAAGUACAAAAACUGCAUGAAAAGAAGCCCAACUAAAAGAAAAGAUAAUUAUUUAUCACAUGAUAAUGGCAUGAGAAAAGGCAUAUUAGCAAAAUAAUCCAUUUUUAGUUUGGUUGAUGAUAAAACAAGAUCUCACCGGGUCAAUGCCAACUCGGCAACCAGAUGGUAACACCUCGUUCAACCAUUCGCUAGUGGUAGGAACACCUUGAUUUCCACUGCGCAUGAGUGUCCAAUCAUGGCUCAGUUCUUUCUCAGCCUACUCAACAGAAGAACAGAUGAAUGAUUAGCCAAUAGCCACAUAAAACCAUGGUUGCUAAGAAAUUAAUUUGCCGUGUGGGAAUUGAGUACCUGGAGAAAGUACCGGCCAUCAGUCCAGAGAGCAGCUUUAUCUUUUGUGACCACAGCCGUACCAGCACUACCAGUGAACCCAGUCAGGUAAGCACGCCUCAUGAAGCAUUCUGCGAUGAACUCGCUCUGAGAAUAAGAUAUUAACAAAAGCAGGUAAGUGGGAGAGGGGCAUGUAGUUUCAUGAGAUCAAGAAUGCAUUGAGGUUUUUCUACUUCCUAGUAUCAUGGAGCAUCAAUAGCUUCACAAACAAACAGUGUAGACACUAUAUAUCAUGUGCUCCCAUGCAUACAUGAAUCCUUGUUUCAGAUAGCUAGCUAACGAUGGUUUACUGAAAGGCCCUGACAUCAAAAUCAGGCCAUAGAACAUGACUACUUGCCAGAUACAAAAAGCAUACAUACGCAUCAGUAGUUGUUUCCACUAAUAUCAACGCACGAUCGAAACAGUCAAUCUGCAACUGCACCAUAAUCACCAUUGCUCACCAUUUCUGCACUACUUUCUGUUGUCUCCAUUAGUGUAUCAUCGAUUCUCCGUACGGAAUGAUCGAAUAAUUGGGAGCAAGGCAGGGUGUACUAAUAGACCUGGUGGGCGUCCUGGGAGGGGACGAUGUAGGCGUCGAUGGCGACGUCGGGCCGCGCGAGGAGGCGGCGGAGCGAGCGGAGCUUCUCGUCCUCACCACCACCAGGAGCAGCGGAGGAGGAGGAUGAUGCGCCGCCCCGGCGCUUGCGGAGCUCCGACGAGGGGAGGGCGACGGCGCGGCCGUCCCCGCCCGCGGCGGCGAGGAAGCAGAGGCGGCGGCGGCGCGGGGGGAGCAGGAGCGGGAGGGCGCGGCGGAGGGGGAGGGCGGCGGGAGGAGCGCCGCGGCGGCCGAGGAUGGCGGCGGCGGCGAGGGACGGGGAGAGGCGCGCGGCUUCGAUCGCCAUUGGAGCGGAAAGUGGGGACGACGACGAUGAUAUGAUAAGGGAGGGAGGGAUUGGAGGCUAGAGAGUAGAGAGAGAACCCCGGCUUGCUUUGUGAUGUGAUGUGGCACAACUGGGCCGCCACUCGUCAUUGACGGGCCGGCCCGGGCUGGACUGGGCCAGGCUUGGGCCCAAACGAUAAGCGGUUGUUGUUAUUAUAACAUCUAUAAAAUAAAUUUGGCAUCUAUAAACUAAACCACGGUAUCCCGUGGGGACGGGAUAGCGCUCAUCGACCCGAGCCCCAUCUAUUUGUCGCUCUCUUUUCAGAUAAUUUUGAGGCCUCGUCAACUCAGCUCCCCACCGACAUGGCCAGCGGCGGCGACGACGACUCUGUCUCCGCGCUCCGACGACGCCCCGCACGAGCUGUUCAUCUUCUCCACGUCUCGUCGGCAGACGACGACUUCGCCUCGGUGCUCCGACGACGCCUUGACGGUGGAGCUGGAGCGGGAGGCGGUGGGUGGGGUCGGGGAGCACGAGCGGCUCGGCAAGCGAUGCGCGCAACGCGUCCACCAGCGACGCCGCCGCCACGAGCGGGGAGGUGUGCCGACGCGAGCUUUCUCGAAGGUGUGGUCCAGGUGCCGCGCUACCGUCGUCUUGCCUCCAUGCUCCACCACGCGUCUGCCUUAUCCUCUCUCUCCUCCUCCUCGUCCUCCAGACUACCAGGUAUCAGGUAUCACGAGUACCUAGGUACCAUACUUGGUACAUGUGAGUAUUAGGCCUGAUACCUUUCGUCAUCGAGAUGGCCGGCGGCAGCGGCGGUGAGGUAUGUAGUGUGGUUAUACAUGACGGCAGUGUAUUGCAGUAGGGAAGGGAACAUGGACAAACUUGAUGUGGGCGACGUCCUCGACGAGCAGCUCGAAGUGGCAGCCGACGCACGUUAGGAAGAGUCGUGUGGCUGCGCAGCUUUGUUGGAAGCUUGCAUGUGGGGGUGAGGUGCGCGACUUCGGGGAUAUAUGCGGCGUUAGGCUGUCGCCCCGAGCAAUGCGAAGGGCAUCCCGUUCCCACGGAAUCCCGUGGGGUAGCAGCCCUCAAGAAAGAAAGAUAAUAGAAAAACUUGGCCAGAUUUUGUUAGGAAAGAACUCACUCUUGUUUUGUUGCGCAGGGCUGGUCCGAUAAACGAUGCAUGGGUGGGUGAUCGACCGACGGCAUGUGGCCGGCCAGGCUGGCGGAGUCCGACUCCCGAAUUCAAUUUGGUGUUUCUUGGGUUUCCUUGCGUGGACUUGAGAUAUCUCGAGUCUUAAUUAGUUUUUAAACCUAAUAUGACGUGGAGAGGGUCUUGUAGCAGACAUGACCAACUCUUUUAUAAGGGAUAUGGCUGGUUCAAUUGACGAACUGAUCUACAAUCAAUGCUAUUAGCCAAUUAAAUCAUUAUUUUAAAAUCACAAAUACCUUUUACCUAGUUUUUAGCCUACUUCGUCCAUCUUCUUGAUUUGCCCUGUAAGCCAUCUGUCUUUGUCGCGAGAAUAUAGAUCCUCCUAUAGGUUUAUCCUAAAAACCUUUCAUUUUGCCCACAAGGCGGAUUUUUAUCUUAGUUUAUCUAAAACAGCUCCAGUAGCCGGUUUUGAUUUCUAAACCCAUCUUGAUCAGGAGUUUUAUCAAGGUCGAGUUGAUUGACGCUUCGUUCAACCCCGUAAGGCUUUAGGUGAAUCCCGAUCAUGUGCGGUGGUGUGACCGAAAAUGGCGUCGAAAAUGGCGUCAACAGAUGGUAAUCUUUAUAUUUCACCAUACUAUUGUUUAUACCCUUAGUGGUUUAAAAACCAAAACUGAAAAAGAAAAUGGUGAAAAUUCAUGCAUAAUAAUUUAAAAUGAAGUUUUAAAAUUUAAACACUCAAAAUAUAGCAUUCCUAGGAGUAAAAAUGUCAAAAUUCAAAAACUGGUUAGGACUCUCUUUGAGAGAGCUGGAGAUUCUAAGUAGUUAGAAUAUGAAAAGGCUGGGAUUACUAGCUUCUGAUUCUAGUUUAUUUGUUAAAUUAUACGGUAACAAAUUCUCAGAAUCUAAGUUAUGGAGUAAGUUAUAACCAAGACCGUUUGGGGAAGAUGGGAGAUUUUAGGAAGUUGGCACAAUCUCCCUCCAAAGGCACCGCAAGCAGCAAGCGCCACGCGUGAGUUCACCAACCUGCUUUUUCACCAAUCUUCAUGCUGAGGGGUUGUUUGGUUCUUAACUAACAUUGUCUUAACUCACAUUAGGCAAGUGUGGCUUGCCAUACUUUUUUGGCCUACAAAUUGUAAGCCACACUUGUGGCAAAGUGAGACAAAGCCUAUGAAAUGUAGGGUAAGGUGUUAAAAAGUGUGGCUUACCACAACUACGGCAAUAAACCAAACACAAGACUAAGGGGAUAUGGUAACCUAAACUGUGGUAUGGCAAGUUAAAGUAUUAAACCAAACAACCCUUUAAGGAAUUGCACUGAUCAGACAGUACUUCCUCCGUCCCAAAAUGCAGAUAGUUUUGAGGUUAGCACAAGUAUUAAGAAAUUAGAUGAGAAUGAUUGAAUGAAAUGCGUGAUUGGUUGAAAAGAGAAAAUAGGUGAAAGAGAAUGGUUGUGGUUGGUUGAGAGGGGGAGGUAGGUGAUGUUAGAAAUAGCUAUAUUUUGAGAUGGAGAUAGUAGGUACUACUAGACAGUCGUUGUCACAAUCCAGAUACACGAGUAAUCAACAAAUCUUGGUAUCAUGUCAGGUCACAGUGCUUUACACCGUGUAUGUAUGUCAGUUGCUUGUAAGGGGGAUAAAGGGUCUGUUGGGGGAGCUUCUAGCUGCUGCAGCUUCUCCCAUAAUCAGAAGCUCCCCAAACAGUACAGCUUUUGGUCCAGAGUCUAAGAAGCUAUAGUUGUAGAAUUUAGAAAAUGAACUAAAAGCUAGAAGCUGACUACCAAUCAGCUGCUUCUCAUAAUUUUAAGCUCCCCCAAACAGGCCCAAAGAGACCAUUACAUGCAUGGACAAAGAUGGUGCUCCCAUUUACAUAAUGAUAAUUACAUUUGAAGUUGUCAACAGGGAGGCUUCUCUUUCUGGUUCAAGAAAGACACCUCUUUUUCUCAUAGACCACACCAAUUCCGUGAUGAUAUACUCUCCAAUUUGCAGCAUUUGACACAAGUUACAUACACACAUACAUGUAUAGCUCGUGAUAGAGGCACUGCUCCCCACAGUUUCUUCUCUACACGUUGCAAUGGCAAAAACAAACAAAAAAGAAUUAACCUAUAUAUAUGUAUAUACCGCUAUACAUAAAGAACGAAUCGAGUGGGUGUUGAAUCCGGUUGACCCUCUAAGACCAUGCACACGGAUAUGCAUAUAUUCCUCUUUCAAAAUAAACGGAAAAUUGCCACAUCAUUCGGUUUAUUAUCGGCUUGAGAUUUCUUUUCUUUGCUCAUCUAUGUGAAGAACUUGGUGGCAUGAUAGACUUGCUGCUGCAGGCUCAACCUCUAACAACCAGCAGCCCUGCGAAAAUUGUCGUAUGGACUUGAUGCCGGCAACCUCAGGAAAUGUUGCUGGGCUUGCUCAUAAGUUGGCUGUGGAUUGGCUUCGUUCAUGUUCAUGUACUGGGGGUAACCAUACAGGUUAUCGUCGACGAACGGAUUCGUGUUCGGCACCCCAACCUGCUCAGAAUCAAAUUAUUGGCCUUAAUUUAUUAUAUAUAUGAAAAUGCAGUAUAUGUAUAUGCUUUUGUCAGUGGAUUGACAUGGUAAAAGAAGAAUGGCAUUUAGAGUUGAAAUUGUUUGCUGUGCGAUUCGAUCUACCUGAGGCGGAUAUGGGUCAUGGAAAAGGGACAAAUCCGUCUGGAACGGCUGAUUGGUUGCCAUGGGAUCCAUUGUCAUAUCCUGCGAGAAGCUCAUGAAGGAGGCCAUUUUCUGAUGUUUCCUGACAGUGAGGGCUUCGCAUUGGCUACUCAUCUCCUUGAAUGGCAUGUCUGUUGAUACAGACACUCGUUCUGUAUGAGGUGCCGGGUCUGUGACAACCUGUGAAAAUGCCAGAGGAUGAAAACAUAAGUCAAAUCGGUUAUCAUGCCAAGUGAAACGAACUUAUAGAUCUAGCAUUCUUUACUUUUCAAACAGGUGUUGUUCUUUAAUUAGGACGUUGAUGAAACAAAUAGGUUAAUUUGACAUAUGGUUAGACAAUAUAGCAUUUCAGGCAUGGAUCAUUUGUUUUCUCCCAAUGAUAGGAACAUUGACUUUGAUGUAUCACAUUGGUGCAGGUCUUGGUUGAAUUUUGCAAAUGGGAAUCCUCGCCAUUCUGCUGAGAUCUUGUAACUUUCAAACUACUACUGUAUACCUGCUGAAAACUUGGUGGGUGUUUUCCUAGGUAUCCUAGAAUGCAGAAUAUCACACACAAUAGUAACUUUAUUCAUGCCAGGUUACCUCAUCAGAAGAGUACAACAAGAACAUAGAAAAUGAGUUUAAGAGAGCAAGGCAUACUGUUUCAAGAAGCUGAUCGAUACUCAGAAGAUCUGUUACAGGCACAGCAUUUGCAGAAGCAGCUGUACUUUCUGAAGCUUCCCCAAAGAUAUCGUGGUCAUUUCCCAGGUCGAUCAGCACAGCCUAUUGAAAAAAAACACAACUUUAGCAUUUUAAGUAGGACACAAAAUAUAUUUGCGAGCCUCAAAAUACCUCUGGAUGGUGAUCAUUAUCAUGAGAUCCUGGUGAUGAGUUAUCACCAGUUGCUUCAAAAAAAUGAGUGCUUGUUGGACACAUGUCAUCGGGAGAGAAAUCGCUUAGCAGUUGAUUCUUCACACUAUUCAACUCCGCCUGCAGAAACAGAGAAGUCAUCAGCGGUUGCACUUUUUAGCGAAUACAGCAGUUUCAUUGAGCUCAUGUUCAAACAAUGAAUUUAGGAGACCAUUGAGAAGAUGAACAUUACCUCUAGCAUAUUUGUUAUGUUGUUCAUGAUUGUGGAGACAAUGCAUUCUCGGGAUUGACUCUCUGAUAGUUCUAUCGCUGAAAGGGACUUCAGUGCGUUAGUAUUAUCCUCUGGUGAUCCGUAGAUUUUCGACGGAUCAUCCACGGAAUCUUUCACAGCCUGAAGCUUGCACUCAUCCACCAAACGGAGGAAUGGAUCACCCUAGACAGAACAGGACACACAUGUCAAAAUAAGGACUAUGCUAUUCAUGAAGUCAAGAUGCCGCAAAAAUGCCUCUAAUAACAAUAAGAUGAUUAAUUGUGGUUUGCUUAUCUCCAGACUAAGGGUUCCUUUCAAAUGCAAGAUAGAGAAAACAGAGGAAUAAGAAAAUCAUAGGAUUUUGACAGGAACGUAAGUACAAAACAAAUGAUCGUUUGAAUAGACCGUAGGAAAAAUAUAGAAAUCAGAUGAGAGAUAGACUCAAAAGGAAGUUUUCUAAGAGGUUAGAGCUCUUGCAAACUUUACUAAAAAAUCUGCAUGCAUUGAACCAUUCCUUAGGAAUUUCAUAGGAUUUAGAAAGCUUCAACCCUACGUUUCAAAGGGCCAAAUAGGAAAAAUUUCCUACAAAAUUCCUACACAGAUCCUUUGAUUCAAAGGGGGGCUAAAUAUAGAUGCAAUUGAAACCCAACUUUGAUAUAUGCAUUACACAAAUUUGGGGAUAUGAUUUUAAAUCGUGGUUUCAAGCCCGCUGUGAUAUUAUUAUCAAUGUACUCUUACCAUACUUACAAAGAAAAGUAUAUAUAGCAUAACAAGGAUAACAUAAAAAAAGGGAUGGAUAAAAAGAUUAAACUAAUGCAACAUAACAAGCUUAAUACUAAAGAGUAAAUUAGGUCCAUCAACUUGAUACUAACAUGUAUUCUUACCACUUCAAAUAGGUAAACAUCUCAGUUUGCAAAAUUGUCUUUGUUUAGGAGGUUACACUAUAGAAGGAAAAAAAAUGCACUGGACAAUAUUUUGAAUAUACAUACUGUUCUCUCAUUCAGCAUUUGUUUACAUAUUGGAAUAAGAGGUAACACGUUGAAAGUUCUUGAAGAGAAAAUGAUCAUAGCUGUAGCAAGAGUAAACAAGGAACGGCGCCGACAUGGUGGUAAUGAAUCUGCAAGACUUACAAAAAGAAAAGUUAGGCAUCCUCAUUCAUUUACAACAUGGGACCAAGUUUUCAUGACGCAUGGAACACUGCAUUUCAAUUUACUAUUAGUGCUACUUCAAGGCAACUUGGCUACCUGGUUCAGUCAGUGAAUAGCCCCUCAGUGAAAAUGCAACCUGAAAACUCUGAGUAAGAGCCUCAAAAACUGAUGCCUGGAAGAGCAAAAGAAGGGAGAAUAAGAAAAUAGGAAAUCAUGAUAGAUAUCCUUAAGCUUGGCAAAAAUUAAUCAAUACUAGCCCCUGAUAGUAGGGUUUAGUUAGGAUGAUCAUCAAUAACGCGUAUGAUAGAUCAUAGAUGUAAUAAUAAGGAGGAUUACCUUGGCUCCAGAGAACAAUAGAAGCAAACUAUAAGUGUGAGCAAUGGCUUCAUAGUUUGCUGGAGUAUUUUCAGGAGAUGUUGCUUGAGCCCAAAUGGAUGAAAGCAAAAGUGUGAUCUGGCGACUGCUCAGCUUCAGCAAAACUGAUUCCUGAGUGCAUUCAAGAUAAUGCAGAAACAAUUAUGUGAUUUUAGUUAAUACAUAUAGAGUUUAAGAACAAGCCAUAUUUGAUUAAGGUACCAUUUCAUCUUCUGGAUGGCUUGAGGAACCAUGGUCUGCCUUUAUAGACAUGGAAGGUGCUCUCAAAGACAUCGAAGUAACUCUGAGAGAUAUGGAAGGGGCUCUCAGGGCUACUGAAGGAGCUCUCAUAGCCAUUGAAGGACCCCUCUUCAUGGAAAAAUUAGGAAUUUUCAUGCUACGUCGGCGACUUUGAGACACAGGUAGGUUCGAACGUUUGGCAUUACUAGACUCUUCACUGAUACUAUGCAAGCCACUGCUAUCACCUUGUGAGUUGUCUGAGUGCUUGUCCUUUUUCAACUUGUCAAAGAUGGCAGCUGAAGAUGAAAACACCGAGACAGCCCUAGAGAGUGUCCUCUGCAUGUCAUGUUUCUUAGCCUGACCUGAUACACUUGCUUGAAUCGAGGGGGCAACGGAAGAGGGGACCAAGACAAUAGCGAAAAUGCGGUGCGCAGCUACUCGAGCUUCAUGAUCAGGGUGGAUCAUCGUUAAGAGCAACUGAUGAAACAGAGCUUCUGGAAACACCUGACAUCAUACACAAGAAGAUAAGUCUUCAAAACAGAAGAAAGUACUGCAGCAAGGAGAUAGUCUUCUAUCUUCUAGUUUUGACAGUAUACCUUAUUCUGAUAGGUAAUAUUUGGAACAGAAGCAAUUAUUUGAGCUGUACGAUAAACAGCAGCUGCAGUUGAUCUAGCUACAACAGGAGUGCUAGCAAUAUUUUCUAGCAUCACGGCCAUCAUGUCCAGAACUGGUCCAGCAUCAGUUACCUGUUCAACAAAAUACCCUUGAUAAACCUUCUGUGCAUUGUGGAUAGAUCUUCUGAAACUAAUCAUAGCAUUGCACAGAACAGAAAACAGGUUGCUGAGGGGCAUCAAUUGAAUCAAUCACAUUUAUAUAAACAAUAUGAUGGUGAUGUAACAGGUAUAGGAAAACAUAGAAGUUCGCAGAGGGAGAGAAAAAGAACAUACCUUCUUUGCCAGCUGUCCUAGACAAUCAUCUAUAGCCUUUCGGAACUUUUCAUUCCAUUUUACUAGCUCCGAAUCUUUGCUGCCGAGAGUAAUAUGAAAUGUCCUUUUCAAAUGCCUGACAAGAUCACUUAUGGCACCUAUAGUUGCUGCUGAAGCCUGAGCGAUGGAUUGUUCUGCUAGGGUGGCUGCUACCUCCACGAUACUAAGCUGCAUCUCCUGUUGCUUCACCAUGGUCUUGUGUUCAAUAUGCUUUAUCAGUAGAGACAACAUUAAGUGCAUGUUUUGUCCUGUAGGAAGUAUUUUAUCAAAAAUAAAUAUCUAGGUUCUUUGCAUAUGAUAAUGUUAGUAUCUGUGUGGAAAAGAUGCAAAUGAAGCACCUGCGUUUUCCACUAACAGUUGCAUGUCCAACAAUACACACAGAGCAAGUCCAUUUUCAGGUGACCAUGAACUGUUGUUGCCGAAGUACCGAAACAAAGACUCCAGGAUACGACGGAAUGUUGUUGCCUCCCUGGAAAGCCUAGCCAUAUUGUGCACACAUAUUCUGGACCAAAACUUAGGAUCCUUUGCUUCCUCCCUGCACAUCACACAAGUAUGUUCAGAAACCACCUACUGAAAAAGAAGAAUUGACAAACCAAAUCAACAGAGUAGAAAGAGAUAAUAUUACACAGUAAGGUUAACUCCACCCUUAACAUUAACUAUGUUCUCCCACAAGGGGACAGCAGAGAUGACAAAGGGGGAAGAGUCCUCCGUUUUGGAGUCCUCUGCUUUGGAGUCCUCCGUUUUGGGGGCUUCUUGCUCCAACUGGUCGCUUGAAUCCUUGGUAACUUGACCAUCAUUUUGCAUCUUCUGAGGUCGGUAGUUUUCAAGUACUACUUGAACCACCUAAGAAUGAAAAUAACAAAGAAAAAACCAUGAUGGAACAUUUGGAACUGUAAUAUGCUUGUGCUAGCAACCUACUACCUGAAAUUAGCCAAAAUGGAGAGCAGAAAGAAAACUGUAUGCAUCACCCAGUUACAUAAUUAUUUCAAUAAUAUUUCUGAUCAUCUUAUGAGCAACAACUAGUUGAUGUUUGGCUAAAUAUGCAUAAAUAAAUAAGAUUUAAAAAACCAUAGUAGCUGGUGUAGGAUUUAGAUAGUCCACCUCAAGGGGACAGUCCUAACUAUUAUGGCAGUCCAAGUCCACAGAUUAUCCAGAUCCAGCUAUCUAAAAGGUUUAAUUACAUAUAUUCCAUUUUUGAGUCGUAUGCAAUUUAAAGUAAGAUGCUAUCUGAUGAUUAUGAAAUACAUAAGCACAAAACUAAGGAAAUGAACUACUAAUCAGAUAUAACUUACAUUAUCGAAUUCCGAUGAAAUAUGUGAGAGCUCUCCCAUGAACCAAAUCUGCACAGCAUAAGAAACUAAAUGAUAUAAUCACUGUCAAAAAUAUUUGGUUCGCUAAGUUAUAAAUGUUUAGAAUAGUUGGUGCAUACAUUUGAAGCGAAAUAAAGUAGACAAAAAAGAGAACAAAGCAUCCAUUUACAUCAUUAUUGUGAAAGAUAAUUUACAGUAAAGCAAUAAAGCACUAUACUGUUGCAGAUUAGUUUUACGAAAAAAAAAAUAUGGUGGGAACAAAAUGUAUCAAUCUAGAAGUUAUGUUGCAAAAUAGUUCCUGGAAGUAAGUUGAUAGUAAUAAUAUAUGUAGUUAGUACUUAAUGCUUAAUGAUUAUGAGCUCCCAUUCGUCACGUAGGAAUGCAAGAAACCUCAGAUGCAAACUAAUGUGUUUUGCAGCAUACGUGUUAGUGUUUGCUUAGAAGUGAAGUGUAAUUUGAAUCUCUUCUGACACAGUAGUUGGACAUUUUUUACCUUCCUAGUCACUUCUUCACCAUUUUUGCAAUCAGUGCUAGACAUGUUAUAUGUGAAGUAUGAUUUGAAUCUCUUCUGGUAACAGUAUUCCCAUACUUUUGUUUUCCUUCCUACUCAUUCGUUCUUCAUUUUAACAAUAGGUUGAAGCAUAUGACGAAAGUUUGAUAUGGCUUAACAGUAAAGUUUACCAUAGCUGAAAGGGCUUGCAGGGCUGCAGCGCGUAGGGCAAUGGUCUGCUCAUCCUCUCCUACUUCUUGAGAUAGCUCACAUAGUCUUGGGACUAGCCCUUCCAAAUUGAACUGAUAUGUACCAUCCACCUAAAAUAGACGGAAAUAAAAGCAUGAACCAGAUACAUCAUGUCUUUCAAAAGAAUUCUGCUGGUGAGGAAUGGUAUCACUGAUCACCAGGCAACGGAAAUACCUGAUUAACUGCAAAGUCAAACAAGGUUUCACAUCCUAUGAUGCGCAUAUCAUCCUGCCUCUUUUGAUCUAAAAGAGUGUGUACAAUACUUAAUAAGCUACUUGCAAAUAGUGGCCUGCAUUGAGCAAACCAAAUGAUAGUAUUAACAUCUGAUGAAUAGAACCAGCAUGUUACAACUCGUUAAAGGAAAAGGGCAAAACAAGGGGAAAAAGAAGACUCUCACAUCUGCUCUUUACAAGAAACCAACAAUCUACGGUAUAUUAGCAUCACCACUUUUGCAAAGCCAUACUGUUCACUUCUCAAUUCCUUGUAGAUCCUUUGCUCCAAGGAAACCGUGAUCUGCUCAUACAUCAAUUUGGAAAAAAAAAUGGAGUCAACUGAGCUUGAAAUUUUCUUGAGAAAAGAUUGAGGUGAAUUUGUGUCAAUCAAUACAUGACUAACAACAACAAGAGCAUGACAGGAACAAUCUGACUAUUGACAGAAACAUUUUUAGCUCCACAAGAAGGUAGAGGGCGUGAACCUUGGGCACUCGGAGAGGGUUCCUCGAGCAAUACUCGCACAACUUCCCGAUCCUUCUCUCAUUCGGUUCUUCAUCCUACAUCAUGAUAACAUACGAGCAGCAACAACAAGUAAAUUAGCUAAGCUGCGGAGCAUCGAUUAGUCCGAUAAUGCGGCUUCCACACAUGAACAGAACAAACAAACAAGACAGAGAUGGGGGAUGCAGCAAGGGGCCCAACCUACCUGCGUUUUGGGGAAGAUCUCAGCAAGGAUCGACUUGUACCUCUUAACAGGCUGCCUUGAUCUUGCCCUCAACCCGGGGCAGAAAUAGCAGAGGCUCCCGCACGCCGGCAGGACCUUCCGAGAUAUCACGCCCAUCCCCUACUACUGUAAGCAGAAUUGAUUUAGCAGAGCAAAAAACAAAAAAAAAAGCUAAUUAGAAUAAUUGCAAACACAACAAUGGCGAUCAAAUCAAGGGAUUCCACCUCCAAUAUGCACUAUCUAGCUACGAAUUUUCUCCAAAGCAAGAUACAUUAAUAAUUGUUGUUGGCAAGUUAAAACCGAGCAGGCGAAAUUCAUAAAUUUUGGGGGGAAUGCCAUUUCUAACGGAAAUCAAAUCAAAACGAAAACAAAAAAAAUUCUAGCGGCGUUCGAUCUCGCUUAGCGGCGGCUGGCUUGGUGCUAGACCUUCUCCUAGGUUGCGUGUUUGUUUGUUUUUCUUUCAUGGUUACAGCCUUCCAUGGCUGCAAUCUUGUAAAAAUUAUUUUUCAUAUUAUAUCAAUAUAAAACUUAGCAAAUGUAUAAUGCAGGCACUUUAAGAAAAGAAAAACAAAAAAAAAUCGAGCGGCAACCUGCAACAACAGAAGCAAUGGUUCGAACCCCAAUCUCUCGACCAAUCAAACAUAAUUUAAUUAAAACGCUAUGGAAGGAGAUCGAUAGAUCGAUCGAUGGAGGAGGGCAAAGGAGGUUACGUUGCUAGGAGAGGCCGCCGCCCGGCGGGCGGGCUGGGCGCCGGGGGGGAAGAAACCGCGGGGACGGCGUACGUGCGUACGGCCGCGCUCUCCUGCCGAUCCGGCCGAUGGAGAGAUGCGGGGCGGGUGGGGAGGAGAGGAGACGCGGGGGUGGGAGGGAGGGAGAGAGGAGGGAGGCUGUGGCACGGCGGGCGCGCAUGGCCUUGGGCGAGGAAUGGGGGGUGGCCGCCAUUGGUGCGGGCGAAGUGGGCGCCGGAACUCGAGGCGCCUGCACCUGCAUGACCUCCGUUGCGCCAGCAAAUGCCAGGUGGGUGCAUGCCGGUGUUUGUACAAUCAUAGUGAUCUCGGAAUACGGCAGGUACUAUAGCCAUCCAAGUACGAGCCACAAGAUGCUACUGGCUCCGUCCUAAUUUGUAUAGCACCUUCUUUUUAAGAAAAAUUAAACCUGAUAACUUUUGACUAAUAAAUAUUAUGUAUAUUAUAUCACUAGAUUUAUAUUUAUGUUUUAAAGUACUUUCACGUGAUACUAAUUUUAUAUUUAUCGGAAACAUAACAUGGGAUAAAUUGAUGGUCAAAGUAUGUCAUUGAAGAAUGUAUAAAAUAUAUAGGCCUUAUAAUUUGGGACGGAGGAAAUACAUAGUAGUACUAAAUGAUGAGGUGGAGGAGAUAAGAAAGAUAAGAGCGAAAUAUUCACUUCUCAGAGCAAGUAUAAUAGCAGGCUAUAAGCGAGCUAUAACCACAUAUCGAGAAGAAAAGAGAAGAGAGAGAGAAGAAAGUGGGCUACAGAUUUGUAGCCAGGUGCAACACAGACUCUAAGUUGUUGUGUGCGUAUGAGAGGUGAGACCGGGUAUUAAUGGUGUAGUAUGUUUUUAUAGGUAACUAUUAUAUGAAUGGAUUAUUAGAUUAGCUAUAGAUAAUUUGGAGCUAACAUUUGGCUAUACUAUUAAACUUGCUCUUAUGCAAGGAGCAACCCCUACACAAACUUUAAUAAAUAUGUGAGAGUGUUAGAGAUAUUGGAGAUUGUGUGGUAGAGGCAACCUAUUACACAUGUUACCUCUUAAUUAAUUUAAUAGUAUAUGUCAUGUAUGAAAUUAGAUGUGGUAGUAACUUCUACCAUGAAGAUAUGUAUAUUGUUCUCCCCACUCAUUCCCCUAUAGAAGGCCACCGAAGCUCCGGAUUGUUGGUACUAGAAUCUAAGAGCAGGUACAAUAACAUGCUAUAAGCUAGAUAUAAGAAUAUUUUGUGAAGAUAAAAAGAUGAGAGAGAGAGAACAGCGGACUAUAGAUUUAUAGCCAGCCGCAGUACGGACUCCAAGACACAAUAUGUGUAUGAUAAGUGUGACCAGAUAUUAAUAGUAAUAUAGUAUAUGUUUAUAGGUAGCUAUUGUAUGAAUUGGCUGUUAAAUCGAUUAUAGAUGACUUGAAGCUAGCCGUUGGCUGUACUAUUAAACUUGCUUAUUCGUACCAUGCAUGAUUAACAACUAAAAAUAGCCUACAUGGGUAACAGAUAGAUAAAUAAACUGUAAGGGAGAAUCCUCUAUAAUAUUUUUUAUAAGGGUUCACAAUUUUAACAAAAACCAGUCGAAUUCCACGAAAAACCGAGGUUUUGACGUAGCCCGAAAGUAGAAGCCGUUUAGAAUUUUGAUGGGUUUCAUCCAAAUUUAAAUUUGAAUUGAUAAAAAGGAAAAAAAAUAAAACCCUAUAAAUAGUAUGAUAUUUAUAGAACCUAUUUGGGUAUAAAUUUUUCAAAAAAUUGGUGUAUUCGGUGUAUUUCUUAAACUUUAUAGUAGGAAAGAAAAAGAAUAACAAUUUAAAAAAAAGGAAAACACUUUCCUGGGCCGAAUUCCAUGCAGUAAGCCCACUUAGUAUUUAGCCCAGAUAAUAGAAUAGAGAGGGGAUGUAGUUCUACACCUGAUUUCGCUCGGAAUUUCGCUAAAGCUGACUGGUUUUUGCGAGCAUACUGGUAAACUUAGGGAAUUUGUAUUCAAAUUUUAGUUUAUGAAAUUUGUUCAAAAUCUACCGGUUUUCAACCUGAUUUUGCGAAAACUAUCAUACCGCCAAAGCCCGGAAUAGAAGGUCAUCUCGGAAUCGUAAACCCUAUGCAGAUACAUGAUAGUCCUAUAGCUUAUAAUUCAGUGAAAAUGCAGCAGUUAUAUGAUCAUGCCAACGCUGAUCAGCUACCUGACCAUGUAAGAUAUAUAUCUAAAGUUCAUACAAAUACUUGUAUCCCUGCAUUUUUUUCGAACGUGCAAAAAUGAUUACAUGUCAGUAUAUUAGAAAAAAAAAUCUUUUAUACUCUUAUACAGCGCAACCGGCCAGACGGCUAUUGCUUGGGGACAAGGAAAAAAAAAGAGAAAGAAACAGAAAGAAAGACUGCUAGAGUAAAAAAGUACGAAAGAGACACGUUGCUCCUAUAGAAAGGAGGGUGCCGGCGGAGCCCCACUACGCUCCCAACAUUAACAUUAACAGUUUUGUAUCCCUGCAUUAACAGUUAGCUGAUCAUCUGAAACAAAUUAAGGAUGAAAGAACCCUGUGCAGAUACAUGAUAGUCCUAAUCCAUCAUCUGUUCUGGAUUUCAUAAAUUGAUUUCACAUAGCCCUGAGAAAAGUUACCGACAAGGGAUUGGAAACACACGCACUCACUAUAUAACUUUGAUUAACAAAAUGUUCUCGUCUAGAUUUACAAAUAGAAAACAAGAUCAUUUAUCACCUAUGGAUGUACAUAAAUAAUUAAAAGCAUCCCUGAAACUUGAUGCAAGGAAACAGUUCCCCUUAUCCACCUAUCUCCCAUUCAGCAAUUUACAGUGUGAACCAAGAAAAUUCUGUUUGAAGAAGCAACUUUAUUUCAUUUUCCCACUUUUGGGAACAUAGCAAGCAACAUUAACCAGCAAUCUCGCCGGAAUUUUAACUGAAUCCUGUGAAACGCAAGUAAUUUCCGUGAAACACAUUCGCAUGCGAUGCAUUUGGGAAGUGAUGGCAUUCAUCCACUUCAACCAAUUGAUUGUUGAAUGGUGAUAUUGACGGUGAAACUCACUUUAUAUUUCAGUUCCCCAUAAUUGUCACAAGUAAGCUAGGAACAAAUCCCUGAUGAUGAGAUCGAUCCUUUUAUGCAUUUGUAACAUGUUCUUGUAAAAUAAAUAGACUUUGAUUUGUGAUGCCGGAGUACUAUGCACAUGCCUAGUAGAGGUCCUAGAGGACAUGUUUUUUUCCCCAAUACUUGUUUUUAUUUUUCUUGCCUAACCUCUAUGCCUUUGUUUAAUAUGCAUGAUCUGCCCAAAAUUAAUGAAAUUUAUAAUGGUUCAUUACUACGAACUGUAAAUACUUGUUUUUUUACUUGCAAAGUACACGAAUCUCUAUCUGUCGUGAAUAUGAAUAUCGUCCAAGAAAAAAAAUUAGUAACAUCCACGACACUAAAUUUGUUUCACUAAAUUUAAUAUUGAAUAUAUUUCGAUAAUAUGUUUGUUUUGGGUUACAAAUAUUACUGUAUUUUUCUACGAAUAUGAUCAAAUUUAAAGAAGUUUAACUAAUAAAAAAAAUCAAACGACUUAUAAUAUGAAUUGGAGGGAGUAUACUACUGCCACUGAGUUAAUCAUAGUUGAACGAUUUACAACUGACAGGGUUUUAAAUGAUGAAGUUGUAGGCCGUCCAAGUUUGCUGAGGAGCAGAGCCAAUGCUUAAUCUGUCAAGAAAACUAUGAUGGGUAACUACCAUUCCCUUGGUAGAAUCACCACAAGCUCUUCGCCUCUUCCUACUAGUCUUAUACUCUAGAUGUAAUCCAUGAAAUCCCAUGAAAGCUUGUACUAACAAUGAUCAGGAUUAAUUAAAACAAUGAAUAAAAAAGUAGUGAGUAAGAGGUAUUAAUUAUUGACUCAUUUGGUUCAUUUGUUUCAUAAGAGAAAUUAUGCUUGAGCCAUUUGAACCUAAAGUCUGGCCAGUCUAUAAAUUUGGUUGAUGUUAAACCUAUUUUGUUUUAAAAUAACUCCGGUUACUGCUCUAUAGAUUUCUACGGAUUUGAUGAUGUACCGUAGUAUAAGGUGAAAUUUGAUUUUGCACGCUCUGUUGCGAAGUGAAAAUGUGUGCUAAAUAAGGUGCAAAAAUAUAUAUUAAAAAAAGUGCACUGUACAUGGCGUAAAAUGCAGUACACUCAUAAAUGUCAGCGAUGGAUGGAAUUCACAACAUCAAUUUCUUUCACGAGGUACAGUGACAGUGCUACAAUUUCACUGCAUCCCCUGUUAAAAAUUGCUGGAGUGAGGGCUCUCAUUAGUCAUUACUAUCCAUUCACAUUAGGAAGACCUUAAUUGCUGGCAUUCGGUAGUGUGAAGUCUCAACACCAUACCUGCAUUUUGUACCCUCUCACUAGAGAGCCACAGUACAACUGGCAGCAGUGAAUGACAAUUGACAGUAUAAAGCUGCAUUUACUAGCAACAGUGGAAGGCAAUGUGCAGCUUAUAAGGUGUAUACAUGGAUCAUCUCUAAAACCACAACUAUCAAAUCAAUUGCUUUUCCCCUCUCACAGCAGCACAUAUUUUUACCACGAUCUUGUGAUCUAGGCAUGGGAUGCAUCAGGAGAAGAUACAUCGGUUGUUCUCUCAUUGGAUGCCGCUCUAGAGUCCAAAGAAGCUUUGGCAUGCAUGCUGCUCUGACGAUCCAGUUAAGUUAGUACCUUGCAUGAUUGAACAUGCUCCAUUGCUAACACAUCAACGAACAUAAGGUGAAGGUGUCUAUCUAUAACCUUUCUGUCCCUUGAGCUCAACAACACCCUUGACCUCAACAAUAUGAAAAAUCUGUGCAUCGUUUGCAUGGGAUGAAUGAUAUCUAAAAGUCUACAUUAACCAACAGCCUCCUGCACAAGAAUGGAGAUGACUGAAUAUCUUGAUCAAGUAAUAUUCCAUCUUGCUUUAAUUAAUAAUGGCUAUAUCGAGAGAAAUAAAAUGAUUUGGAAGCUUAAGAUACCGCUUAAGAUUAAGAUCUUCAUGUGGUACUUACUUAAAGGGGUUGUGUUAACCAAAGACAAUUUAGCAAGACAGAAUUAGAAUGGUAGUUUAAGAUGUUGUUUUUAUAUGAAAAAUGAGAAUAUUCAACAUCUUUUCAUGGAUUGCCAUUAUGCAAGGUUUAUAUGGAGAGCAAUACAAUAUUCUUUUGGUCUAUGCCCUCCUAGUAGUAUAUCAUAUAUUUUUUAUGGUUAGCUUUUGGUGGUGGACAAGAAAAUGAGUAAGCUUAUAUGGAGUAAGCUUAUACUUGUGGGGGUCUCUGCAAUAUGUUGGGCUCUGUGGUUGAGUAGGAAUGAUUUGGUUUUUGACAAAUCACCAUCUAUUACAUAUAUACAUGUAAUUUUCAAGGCAACAAAUUGGCUUCGGUGUUGGGCUCAGCUACAAAGUUAUGAUGAAGAUGACGAGUUUAUGAAGGUUGCAUGCCGUAGGCUUGAGACAAUAGUUAUGCAACUUUUUGCCAAUUAUGGUUGGAGAUUCACAAAUAGAUUUCAAUAAUGUGUUCUCCUUAUCUUAGAUGGAUUAUUUUUUAUUUUAAGUGCGUGUUCUCAAUGUUUUGUUGAACUACACUCUUUUUUGAGUGUAACUUUAUAAUAAUUGGUUGUAACUCGUUUUGAGUAAAGGCUGGGAUAUUCUAUUCCAUUAUCUUAAAAAUAAGUAAUAUUUGCAUGUAUGCAUCUGGGAAGAAAUUAGGGGACAGCCACAUGCCUCCACUUGAACCAACUGAUUACUCAACAUUUUCUCUCUGUACUUGAACCACAUGCCAGUUCCAUCAAUGCCUGGAUUGGAUGGAACUUCUGCAUUUUCUUUUUCUGUACUGAAAGAUAUACUGAUGGUAUUAUGACUUGGGCAGAUAUAGGAGUAGGGCAGCUACUCCUAGGCCCAAAUAUCGAUUGAAAUUACACUUCAAAAUUUGAAAAAGAAAGUAGAAUAUAGAAGACAGGUUUUUGUAGGUUAUACUAGUUCGUCCAUACUCUUAGAGCAAAUUCCUCCAUGACUGCUCCAAGCUCCUACGAACUUACUCCCUCCAUCCCAUUUUAAGCGCUGCUAUGAGUUUUUUUUUUCAACUUUCAUCAUCCGUCUUAUUUGAAUUUUUUUAUGAUUAGUAUUUUAUGCGUGACUUAUGUUUUUCAAUAUUUUCAUUUUUUUAAAUAAGAUGGACAAUUAAAGUUACUCAUGGCCGUGCUUAAAAUGGGACGGAGGGAGUAUAUAUUAGACCCAAGAGUAGAUAACCAGCAAACUCCAGUGAUCCAGACUGCCAUCUAUUUCUUCCCUUACAUAUUCAGUAGUUCAACAGAAAACCUGAGGCUUGAAGUUUUAGUUAAGCAGUGCAUCAGCUUACAGCAAAGGUGAUGUGGCUCCAGGAGAUGUGAAACUGUGAAAAGUAAACAUGAAUACCAUAGUGUAGGAAUGAGAAACAUCGAGAAGGAUUAGAGGAGACUCAGGGCUUAUUCGUUUCAAAGGAAUUGCAAAGGAAAAGCAUAGGGAUAAAAAUGGGUUUUAAACUACCAUUCGUUUCAUAGGAAUGAACCAUAGGAAAACUAUAGGAAAGUUUUCCAUUCCUCCAUUUUUGAAGGAAAAGCAUAGGAAAAAACAAUCCACUCUAACCUAAUAUUUGCAUUCCUUUGGUUGGCUUGCUCAACAACAUAGGAAAAAUUCUUGUAUUUUUUAAUCCAUAGGUCUGCACAUGUAUUCAUAUAGUAUUUCUACGUUUAUUCUAUUUCUACGUUUUGAAAAUGCUGUGAACCAAAUAAGCCCUCAAUGUGGCAAAUAGCAUAGCGUUGGGCAUUAAUAUCCCACAUGUAGAGUUGAGUUUAGAUAGGUUGAGGACCAGCGUAUAAACUUUUUGCAGUAAUGCCAGUUCUAGCUAGUUCAUCUGGGUUAACUUUAAAAAAAAGGGAUGGAUGGGAUUUACUACACCAUUUUAAAGGCACAUAUAUAGUAUAUAUGCUUUGAUUUCACCUACACCCCCUUCCCAGAAAACUAGCAUGAAGGCCACUCAUCAGUCUGUAGGAUCGAAUCACAAGAACUAAGCCAACCAGAGGGGGGUGAAUGGUUGGUAUACCCAAGAACCGAAAACUUUUAGCGGAAAUAAAAGUUACCCUCGAAUUCGACAGAAGUCGGUCUGACCGAGAUUGAUCUGCCAGUCUGACCGAGUGGAUGCCGCCGGUCUGACCGGUAUAGAUCACCCGGUCUGACCGCCGAUGUCGCCUGCUGCGCCUGUUGCCGCCGCCGGUCUGACUGCCGUGCUCCCGCCGGUCUGACCGCCGCUUGCCGCCGGUCUGACCGCCGGUGAGUUGCCAGUUAGACUGCCGAAACCCGGUGAAACAUAAAUCGAAGAACUCUUAAAGUAGAUGACGACUUUAUUGAUUCUCUAUGUGUUCACAAAGUGCAUCAACAUCACUCCUUACAAAAAUUUCGACUAAACUCGAAACCCUAACUAAACUAGCAACUCAAUUGCUCUCCAAAGUGAUACCAAAAAGCGAUACUGGGAAGCCUCACGCUCCCCCUCUAUUUAUACAUGAGGUAGGCAGCCUAAAACCACGAACCAAACUCAUACUAAGAGUCCUAAACACCUUAGGAAACCCUCUAGUACAAGACACAAACUUAACAUAACCAAUCGUACCAAAUUUGGACUCCUUCCAAAUUCGACUCCGCAUCCCAUACACACACAAUACUUCCACCGUAUGCCAUAUGGAAUCUUCACCAACCACGUGCAUCAACUCUAGCCUUAGUAUCCCGCAUGAUAUCUGACCACCACGGACAUCGUUUUACCACCAAGCCGACUCCCGGUCCAUCACCGCAAAUACUCUGCCGAGGCAUCGAGUCACCUACACAUGAAACAAACAAAGAAACCAUAUUCCGAGACCAAGCUAUCCUCAACUUGACUCAUUGUUAGCAAACAACAGUAUUACAUACGUAUAGUAUCCAUCUAGAAGCCAUAACCAUGAAACAAUCAUGGAUAUCCAAAGAACCAAUCCGAAACCGAAACCGACUCAGCGUUAGCCGGUCAGACCGCGGGCCUGGCCGGUCUGACCGCACACAUAGCGCCGGUCUGACCGGCAACCUCCGCCCGGUCGGACCGGACACAUAAAAUAACAGAAUCCGAUCAUCACCUGAAAAUUGAUUAUCUCCAAAACCACUUCGACGAUAAUCUCCAAAUAUCAAAACCAAUAAUCACAGAUGCCAAUUGUUCAUCACAGAAUAAGGAACAAAACACACUUUGAUCUUACACAAUCAUCACUACUCCAUCCAUCCCAUAAUGUAAGGGAUAAUGGGUAGAUGUGACACAUCAUAGUGCAAUGAAUCUGGACUAUGAUGUGUCACAUUCACCCAUUAUUCCUUAUAUUAUGGGACGGAGGGAGUACCAUUCACAUUAGCAUGAACUUAUGGACACUCAGUAGUGAACAAGUCUCUCAUGAACACCACACCUCCAUUUUCUACCCUCUCACUAGAGAGCCACAAGUACAACUAGCAGUAGUGCAUAUUAAAUGGCAUAGCCGCAUUUAAUUACUAACAAAGUGGAAGGCAAUGCAAGCUUAUAAUGAGUACAUGGAUCUCUGAAACCACAAUUACCCAAUCAGUUUCCUUUCCCCUCUUUCUACCACAAUAUCUCAUUAUCUCGGAAUGGGAUGCAUUUGGAGAAGAUAAAAGGGUAGUUCUCCCCAUUCAUGCUGCUCAAGAGGUCGUAGAAGCUCGGGAUUGUUGGUAUAGGGAUCUAAGUGAGCACCAUGCAUGAUUAACAACUAAAAAUAGCCUCCACCGGUAAUAGAUAAACAAACAUGAAGGGAGGACCCUCUAUAAGAUUAUGUCCCUACGUAGCAGUUAUAUACUUAUAUGAUCAUUGAAAUGUUGUUGCCUACCUGAUCAUGUAAGAUAUCUAAAGUUCAGUAUCCUAGAAUUAACAGGAAGCUGAUCAGAUGAAACAAAUCAAAGAAGAAAGAACCUUCUGCACAUACACAUGGUAACCCAUCACAUAUUCUGGAUUAAAUAGAUUAAUUCACGUAGACCUGAGAAAAGUUGCCAACAUGGGACUGGAGAUUGGACAUGCAUGCUCGUUAUAUCACUUUUAUUCACAAGUUCUUAUCUAGAUUUACAAAUAGAAAAAAAAGAUCAUUUUACAAAAUAAUUAUUAGCAUCCCUGAAACUUGAUGCAAGGAAAGGAACUGCUCCUAUCCACCUGUAUGAACCAAUAACUCUGUUUGAAGUACAGUCAUAAUGCUGCAAUUUCACCACGUCCCCUGCCAAUAGAAGUUCUGGAGUGAAGGCUCUCAUUAGUCAUCACUAUCCAUUUACAUUUGGAAGACCAUAAUUAUUGGCACUUGGUGGUGUGGAGUCUCCGUUGAUACUCAAAUUUGGUACUAGUUUGGAUUUAUAGCAACUUGCCAAAUUUGGAAACUAUCGAGUCUUUCCCGCGAAGGCCGGUCUGACUUCCAUUGUUUUUUUUAGGAAAACGACGGCAGGAGCUCUGCUGGAAUUUGAUUAAGAAGGAAAACAGAGUGCAAACAGAUCGGUCUGACUUCCGUUGUGUGGCCGGUCAAACCGGACAAUGAACUGCAGUCAGACCUUAGGUGUCCGCGUGGUCAGACCUUCAACACAAAGUCCGAGUCCAAUUAAGUAUUUCUCGUGUUUCCUUUUUUGAGACUAGGAUUUCUCGAAUCUUAGUUGAUUUCUAAGCCGAAUUGGACAUGAAAAUGACCCUGAGAAACAAGUCCACCCCUCCUACAAAUAUAAGGGGUCAAAACCGAUUGAAACAACAAUAAAUUAAUUAUCAAAAUCAAUUUAUUACCCAAACCCUCUAUAUUCUACAUCUUCCUCCUUCUUGCUACCUAUCCCAAAGUCUAUUCUACUCAAAUUCCCCAAUUGCUUGUCAUCCUCGUCUCUACGGCUUAGAGGACGUCCUAACUGGCCUGCCGGAGUCUAGGACAAACUGGCGCGUGUUCACCCUAACGGGGUCCCUCCUGGGUGUUCUUUUGAGCAUCCACCGCUCCUUGAGGCGGCUCGUCUCCGGGUGUGCCACUGCGGGUUGCACAUAAUGUGCUCAAUGUGUGAAGGCGCGAUUCGACGUCAACAGUCUCUAACACCGUACCUCCAUUUUCUACCCUCUCACUAGAGGGCCACUCCACACCACGUGACAAUACAACCGACUUAGUGAAUGUUAAUUGAAAGUAUAGCUGCAUUCACUAGCAAAGUGGAAGGCAAAAUGUGCAGCUUAUAAGGUGUACAUGGAUCUCUGGAACCACAACUAUAUAUCCAGUCAAGUGCUUAUCCCCUCUCUUUGCAUGACAAAUUUUACCACAAUCUUGUGACCUUGGAAUUGAACGCACUGGGAGAAGAUACAUGCAUGGGUUGUUCCCUCUAUUCUUGCCUCUCUAGAGGCCAACGAAGAUUUGGCUGGCUUGCUGGUCCAAGGAUCCAAGUUAGUACCUUGCAUGGUUGAACAAGAUCCACUUCUAAGAUAUCAAAGAACCUAACGUGAUGGUUGUUGAGUUGUGAUCCAAAUUCAUUUGCACUUAAUAAAAGCCAGCUUCUGCCCUAGUGAAGCGGAGGCUGAAGUUGGCCCAUUGGGUUGUGCACCUGGGGACGCCCGGGGGUGCGGGGGCGGAGGCCCCGCGGUACAGAUCGUAAUACCUUUUAGGGUUCCACCUCAUAUAUAUACCUCUCGUAAGCCGCCGUGCGGCGUUGUAACCUCACCCUCGAUAUAGUAAAGAUUUUUUUGCUGGCUGGCAUCCGUGGUUUUUUCUCUCCUGGUUUGGGAGGGUUUUCCACGUUAAAUCUCAUGUCUUCUGUGAUUGAUCUAUUGUUCUUUAUCGUUUGUUUGCCUAUCGCUUCCUAACAAUGGUGUGUGUCUGUAACUUUUCCGUCCUUGAGCUCAACAACAUGGAAAGUCUGUGCAUCAUUUGCAUGGGAUGAAUGACAUCUAAAAGUCAACAUCAACCAGCAACGUCCUGACAAGAAUGGAGGGACAUAAUUUGUUCUACCGAUGAUUUUAUUAUUCUAGAGGAGGUACCAUACUCUUUUAUAUCAAUUUGCAUUACCUCUUUAGACAUCUCCUGAACAAUUAGAAACAUCACCACUGCACUCCUUCAACCUUUUCACUUGCUGUUUCUACAUGAACAGAUGAAAUUCAUGAAACAGAGGGAGAGUGUUGAUUUAAGGAAAUACAGAUAUCAACAAUGAUAUGUUAUAGCCCGUAUUGGAAUGUAUGCAUGCAUAGGGAAACGGGGUAGCCAAAUGACGAUGAUCUUUACUAGGGAGCAGGGGCAUUUAGUAGACAUGGAAUGUAUUCCACUUAAUAUAAACUUUGGUUCAGAUCGAAGAUUACAAUCAUUUCCAGGAGCAACGACCCCAGAGAAUAGGUGUGCUAGCAAGUAUUUGGCAUGAACAUGUUAACCACAAUGAUGAUGUUGUGCCAUGGGAAUGGAAUGAUACACAUAUGUUGAGGAAAAGAGAGAAACCAAAGAGAAAAACAGCACGAGCAAUUCAGCAUCAGAAGCAGUCGUAGUAUAAACUAGAUAGCACUGGCUACGUUGUAUAUAUAGACAUCCAACUGAGGAGAAACAUGAACACUGUUGCUCACUGCUUAGGUGAAGUAUGAGCCUUAAUUAAUAAUUUUGAGUAAGAAAAUGCUGACAGCAUGUUGAUUAAUUUUGAAGUAUCAAAAUUUUUCGGUAUGUUGGCAUUCAAAAUUCUAAUAUUAUGGUAGACUAGUGGUCCAAUGGAGGGCACCUAUAUACCUAUAUAUACCUUCCACACAUCCAGAUUCCAGCACUAUUUAAUCAAAUACUCAUAUCUAAAGUCACAAGUCCAUCUAUAUCUGAUGGUUAUUCCGACUCUAUCUAGGGUGUAUAUAUACCAAUUUAUUUACAAGCUAGUAGCAACUCACACAAACAUGGAUCAGAUCGAGCUCAAACUACCUAAAGAUGAUGCAGAUCAACUGCCAGUGGCAUCACAAAUAUAGGCGUAGGAUGCAUUUGGGAAGGAGAAAAAGGACGUGAAACAAAGACUGCAUCGAUCACUCGCAAUCCAUAGAGCGUAGUGGCAUUGACUGACCUCACACAACCUUUUAUGCAGUAAGACACCAGAAAGAGUAGCAACGACCUGUAUGUUCAUAGUUGCAAUUUCUCAUAUACUCCAUGGAUUUAUCAGUAACUAGAUUAAAUUGUACCAAGUGAUAUUGUGGCACCAGCUAGCUAGUUUAAUAAAAAUGUUGGAAUAGUUGUAUGAUCAAUGUCAUAAUGAAAAUAAAUUCUAUGAAUUGAAAUUGAAAAAUGUACAAAGAAUAGGUAAAACAAUAGUAAGAAUGCUUGAUGGAAUGAUGGUAUUAUAAUGACUACCAUAUUAUUAUAGCUACCUAUGCUAUUUAAAUUUGAAUAGCAGAGGUAGCUUUUGAAUAGAGGUAGCUGUGUAUUAUGGGAUGGAGGUAGUAGUAAACUUUCAUUAGUACAAUUAUUAGUUACGUCUUCAGUUUCUUAAGGGAGAUUACUACCAUUGGAUGAUAUACCAAGUGUAAUAUUAUAUUAUACUAAUGAAUUUUCAUUAACGAUCUUUAGUAAUUUCAUUGUCAGAUCCAUCAAUGCCUAGACUGGAUGGACCAUAUGCUUUUUUUUUAUUUUUUCUGUACUGAAAUAUUUCGGUAUUAUGACUUGAAAUAUGUCGACAGAAAUGAACUUCACACAAUGCUCCUUACCUCCUACCAACAUAUAUAUAAGAUCCAAGAGUAGAUAACUAGAAAACUACUGUGAUCCAGACUACCAUAUAUUUCUUUCAUGAGCAUCUUUUCUAUCCUUGAGGAGAUACCACGAGGUACUAUGAGGUACGAGGCACCAUAAGGUACCAAUCUAAUCUAACCGUUGGUUUAACAGGGGUAUGAUCGGGCAAACAAAAAUAAGCUCUCCUCUCUUCCUUCUGCUGUAUCAGGUCGUCCAUGCCGGCUGUCUGCGCCGUGCCAUCGUCGCAUCGAGGCCGUCGCGCCGCCGUCACCCAUCAAGAUCGUCGCGCCGCCGUCGCCCAUCGUGGUCGUCGCGCUGCCGUCACAUCGAGGUUGUCGCGCCGCCGCCCAUCGAGGCCAUCGUGCCGCCGUCGCAUCGAGGCCGUCGCGCCGCCGUCGCAUCGAGGUUGUCGCGCCGCCGCCGUCCACCGGGGCCGUCGCGCAUCGAGCCUGCCGCCGCGGUCGCGCGAAGAUGCUUGAGCAGUAGGAAUUCUGAAGGUUGCCGUCGCGCAUCGAGCCCGCCGCCGCCGUCUCCGCCGCCGUCGCGCGAAGUUGGUUGAGCAGUAGGAAUUCUGAAGGAAGCUGAAGGUUGUCCAAUCGAAGAUGCUUGAGCAGUAGGAAUUCUGCAAGAGAUGGCAGUUUCUUCCAAUUUUUACAACCUCCCAAAUCUAGGCUGAUAAGAUUAUUCACUGAGGCUUUUGCAAUCCAGUAUGGGAUUUUAGCACCAACAUAACCUGAAAUCUUUAGGUUCUUCAGAAUAGAAUUUGGCUCAAGGUUAUCAAGAAUGAUUGAACAAUCUUCUCUGCUGUUGGUGCCAUCAUCCUCUGACCAUUCUAGAGAUAAUGAGCCGAGAUGCCGUUUUUCCUCCAGCUUCGCAUUCUUGGCUUCUUCUUCAUUCUCAAUAUUCUCUAGGUCCUUGAUAACUAGUUUACAGAGGCACUUACUGUGUAACCUUUUGCUUGUCGGACCUGAUAGUCUUCUAACAUCUCUCCUAGUUUGAUGUAUCGAAGGUGCUUUAACUUUGCCAGUUUGCCCAUAAAAUCAGAUGUAUGGAACAAUACCGUUUUAAACAGACCAUAAAAUAAAUGCAUGCAAGCAGCCCAUGCUGCAUAGGAAUUUAAUACUGAAUAGAAGGAGAUAAUCAGUUCAUAUCGGUGUUUCUUAGGUAAGAAAGAUCAUCGAUCAACGCUUAUGUUAGUUAACGUUGGUCCUAAUAUGAUCGGUUAAAAGCUGUCAAAUUUUAAUUAAAAAAUUUGGCAGAACCUCGCCAGUACUUGUGAACAUUCACGACAGGUAGUUUAUAAGCAAUCAGUCAUAAAGUCAUAAUCACAUCCAGACACAAAAUAACACAACCAACUCCAAGACUAAACAACACGACAAGUACAGAUCAAUUAUGUACUGAGAUUACAUAGUUUCAAAUUACAUAAUGUUACAUACUGACAGGCCUAAGCCUCAGAUAAGCAUACAAAAGAGAGUUACUGGCCACAUGCAAAUAUUCUUCAAUUUUGAUCAUCUAGGAUCAGCUGUGAGCCUGUGCCACAAUGGAUUGUCUGCAUGCCUUUCCUUUUCUGCUGAACAGAGAGAGAAAAAAACUGCACAAGUCAGAAAUAAAACUUCUCAUGCCUAAACAUAGCUGAAACAUUUUUAUUGAGAGAACAGAAACUAAUCUAGAAUUUGAGAGGCCAGCAUGUCGUUUCUGACAAUGCCAAGAAACGAUGAGACCGUUAAUUAUAUACCUAUAAGACAGUCAGUAAUUAUACCAUGGGCAUUCCGUCGAACGCCUUGAGUGCAAAAUAAACAAGAGAAGUUCUAUUCAACUAAGAUACAAUUUCCAUGCACACACAUGAAUUGACAAAUAGUGUGCAGUUCAUCUGCAAACAUGCAAAUGAAUAGCUAGCAAUUCGUAAUUCAUAUCUAUACACAGGAUAUAUAUUAGCAGCUGGAAAAAUCUUAACUAAUUAAGUGUAGUGCCAAAUUGCUUACCUGUUUUCAGGUCCUAUAAUAGUCCCCUAACUGAAGAUAUGCAAAUGAAAUUCUAACUGAAGAUAUAUCAAGAUUAUAUCUAACCCACAUUUUCCAUUUACUCUUGUGAUAUGAUAAAUACAACUACAAUCCAUAUAUCUCUUCAUGUUUUGUGAGUAUGCGACAUGCAACUAUAAUGCACAUACGUUUAACACAUAAAACAUUUACUAUCAAGAAUUAUUACACAUUCAAUUUGAAAUGUCCCCAUAUAGAAUCGACCCAAUGGUUCAGUCUUGUCUACAGCUGUGGUAUUGGGAUAAUUUUACUGACCUAGUGACCUUAACAGGAAGAGGAAGGGAAAACGUAGAUGAUGAACUCGGCCGUGGAGAGUCUAUGACCAGAGGAAGAAACUCGGUGGGUCAGGGCCUCAUGGGGGCACCGCAACCAUCCUAGGAAGGCGAGGGGGCGGACAAUCGGAUCGCACAGUCCCGGUAGCGCUGAGGAUAUGGUUGGUGAGGAGCAGCAUCACCGAACCGAGGCCAACACAACCCCUUACCCUCCCCCCGGUCCUCCCUGCGGAGCUCGUCGGCAUCUGGCGCCCUUGACCACGGGGGCGGCCGGAUCUGGCGACGAGGUGGCAGGAGUGGAGGCGCUAGGGAUGGGGAGGGGGAGGGUGCCAUAGGAUGCGGAGGAGCGGAGGAGACGGCAGCCAACGGCAUCGGCGUCCGCGCUCGAACGCGAAAGGAGGAGAUGGAAGCCGGCGCCCGGCAGCAUCUGUUCUUAGGCGGUUGUCGGUGAGAGAGAAGGGGAAAUCGGCGUUCGAGAGAGGCGAGGAGCCGGGGAGAUCGCUGGGUUGGGUGUUAUUGCGAAAUUACCACCUUACCCUUCCACCCAUGAAAUGCAUUCGGUACCGCCCUCGGGGAGACGCGGGUACCGAUACCAUCCAGGCCGUUGGAUCGCACGAAAUUGACGGUCAGGAUAUGGUACCUCCUUCCCUCAAGGACCGUAAAAAAUCUCUUAUUCCAUUACAUGCUCGAUCAGUAGUGAAAGAAAUCAGAGGUUAGAAGUUUAUACAGUAGUGCAUCAGCUUACCACAAAGGUGGAAUGGCUCUAGGAGAUGUGAAAAUGUGAAUAGUGAACAUGAAUGCCAUAAUGUAGGAAUGAGGUACAUCGAGGAGGAUUAGAGGAGACUCAAUGUAACAACCCAGCCGAGCAAUAAUAGUCCCACAUGUAGAGUUUAGAUUGGUUGAGCACCAGCACAUAAACCCGUGCGUUCUAACUCUGUAUGGAUUAACUCUUUUACAUAUAGCCAGAAUAGUAGAAGUAUAUAAAUUCCUCGAAAGAGCUGAGGUGUGGGCUUUUCAGAAACUAAGAUAGCAGCACCGACACUAACUUUAGUAGAGAGGUGAAGAGCCUGUAAGUUCUGUCAUUUGUGAUGAAGAAGAAAUGAUCAGAUUCUCUGUGAGCUCACAAAACCAAAAUGAGCAAGUACUUCCGGACAGUAUGCUCAUGCACCUACAGCACUUCAUUUGAACUUGUUCCACACCUUGUUUAAUAGAGUUUCUUAUUCUACUAGAAAGAGAAACCAUUGUAAAACAUCUAUAUUUUCUCACAUAGGAUCCCCCAAGGAAGAGACUAAUAUUAGAACAGAACAAUCAUGAAAGUCUUCCUCUUCAAAAAAUAUAAGGGGAGGGGGGUGUCAUUAGGAUGUGACAAAAUUUGGGGAAAAAAUACGAUGCCAUGAUAACAGAAAAGAGGAAUAAUGUUUUUAUUUUGACGGAAAAAGAGGAAUAAUGUUGGUAAUACAUGAUAAUCAUUUCAGAAAAAAAGGGAAUGUGUGCAAUACAUGUGCAUAUGUGAUUAUCAUUGACCCCUUGAACUAGUCAAAUCUAACACCAACUUUUAUAUAUGAAUUUGAACAUAACCUAUGUCUAGAUUUGUAUACAAAAGUUAAUUUAUUUUGGGAUGGACGAAGUAUAUCAAUAUUGCGAAUGUUUUCAAUCAGAGAAGUGGACAGAUAUGAACAUUUUGGUUUACACAUAAGAACAACUUAUCAUGUCGUGGUCAAUUCAUGUUUGAUGUCUAGGUCUUUUGUCUUCUGGAACAAAUUUUUAUUCCUGGUACGAAAUAGUAUCAAAUAAUUAUAAUCUUGAAACCAUCGAAUCGUGUGAAUAAAAAAAAACCAGAACUGCAGAAACACACAACGGACAUGUCUCAAAUUUCAUAAGUUAUUGAACAGAGGAGUAAAUUAUAAAUAUGAUUGAUGAUUUCUCAAACCAACAGGUGGUGAAUGUAAAAGGUGACCAUAACUCUCAGGGAAAAAAAAGCAUUCACCAACCUACCACUUAUUCAUAUCAGUUAUAAAUAACUAAACACCUGCCUUUCAUUUUUAUCAGUGCCACUUCGUUGUUUUCUUCCUUUCUACAGUUACAAGAACUAAACUUGAAGCAGUUGCCACACAUCAGUUAAAGAGCGAGGAGUAAUCUCUACCACAAAAUGCAUGGGUAUGCAACUGUGAGCUUAAUUCAUUGGUUCACACCCUCAUUUAUCUGAUCUGUUGUAGGGAUGGGAUGCAUUGAGGAAGAUAAGAAAAGGCACAACGAUAAUACCGGGAGUGUUUCAGCAUCGAUCGGUCCUGAUUCCUGACCUUCUUUCAGCAUGAAGUGCGACACUUGCAUCUCACACUAGGACAGAUGUCAUGACCUCAGACCAUGACGGAAUAACUACAGCCGGGAAGAUAGCCGGGCAGCGUCGGCUCCUGGAGAAGGGAUGUAGAUUCAGGCUAAGGAGAAGAACAUUGCUGGGAGAGAGAGAUUAGAUUAAUUGAUAUUCAUUGCUUAAUUGAUAAUAGAUACAAUCCCAUCCUUAUAUAGAUGGUACAAACUUGAUCCCUAAGUAAGAACUUAAUCUUAUCCUAUCUUAUCUCUAACUACUAACUAACUAAUAAUCUUAUCUCUAACUUGAUUGGUUUGGGCUGCCUAUAAACCUUGACCUACGGCCCAAUGCCCAUAACAUUGUGUGAGGUUCAACUCAUGAGCUCGUCAACCAAAGAGGUAGCUAACAUAGCUCACUCUAGGUUAAUGAGAAAGACGAAUUUGGAGCAGCAUAUGUUUCUUUUCCGGUUUCUUUGCAUGGGAAAUGUGAAAGAAGGUUCUGGCUGAUUUUUUUUUAUUGGCAAUGACACAACUGUUCAAAUCACUGAUGAGAUCUAGAUAUCACUAACGGCAAGAAACAUUAAAGAUUUGCCCUUCAAAUCACUGAUGAGACUAGAUAUAUCACUGUUUCAACAUUUAAAGAUCGACAGGGUUUCACAAGAGAGUAAAUAAAUAUUGUGUCGUUAGCCGCUACUAUCCUACAUUGGGUGGUAUAUUUUGGAUCAUGUGUAAUGCCGUGUUACAGGUUUUGGUAAAAAUAAAUAAAUGUUUGACAGCAAUGUGAAAAGGAUUAAAAAAUAUUAGUAAGUUGAAAAAUGUAUAUUAACAUGGAACUUCACAUCGUAGAAAAAAUAUGUUUCCAAAUAUUAAUCUCAUUGUUUUUAAAGUAUCACACUAUUAAUUUAUGGAGUUGAUGUUUGACAAUUCGUCUUAUUAAAAAUAAUUUUAGUACAUAUAUGUAAAAAUAUAAGUUAUAUUUAAGUAACUUUAGUGAUUAAACAAGUUACAACAUUACUUACCUAAUUUUUUAAUAAGAUAAAUAAUCAAAUGUCAUGUCCAAAAGUUAAUAUUAUACAUUUCAAAAUGAAGGUAGUACUAGCUUGUACAAGUGCACACACAUCUAGGUUGGCAAUUAAUAUCCUUAGUGCUGGCCAUGGCCUCUUUAUUUAGGUUUAGGCUUAUUGACUUAACCUUUUAAAUCAGUUUUUUGGCUUAUAUAAUUUAUAAGCUGGUGGAUUUAAAGUCCUAAUUUUAAGAGUGGAGUCAUACUUCUUUCUCUUGUAAGUAAAAAAAAACUUCUUCAACCUAGCUAGCUUUUAGCUUAAUAGUAUAAAAGUGGCUUAUGGUUUUAGGAAAGACAAACAAAAAAUUAUUAUUUAUUUAGGCUUAGAUAUUUUAACUCAUAAACUGACUUGUAAGUCUAAAAAAAGACCAAUGCCAAGAUAUGCUUAGGAUUUAGAACCAACGUGGCCAACAUCCACGUGGUGUUGCAUGCACAUUUCUGCUUUUCAUUGUGGAGGGUUGCCGAUAUAUGAUAUGUCACCCUUCUUGUCAAGCAAACCCAAGUAAGACACUAAUUAAGAAAUCUGGAAUUUUCCCUAAUGACAAAACCAAAAGAAAUAACAAUAUAAUAAUAAUAAUAAUAAUAAUAAUAAUAAUAAUAAUAAUAAUAAUAUACUUUUAGGUAGCACCAGCACACACAGAAUAAAAUAGCGACACAUACCCAUAAAAACUCCCGCUGCAUCUCAUGUUCUAUCCUGAUCCUCAAUCCAACACCACUUUACUAAGCAAAAGUUAUAUGCGCGAAAAUUGUUGUGUUUACGAUACACAAAAUUGCAAAACAAAGUGCUGCUGAAUUCUAUAAGAAUGGGAAGCAUUCAGAAAGCAAGAGUUUUUCCAAGAGAGGCAGUACUGCAGUAGAACAAGAGCAUAGCAGCUUGGCUCCAAGGGUAGACCCAUGGCCGAGCAGCCGAGGACACGGCAGAAUUGUGGCCAUGUCGCAUGAACAGCAUUAUUUGAUGACUCCAUAGGUUAGCCCGCUGUAAUAGUAUUUUCAUGGGCUCUAGAUGACUUCCUCGACGAGCCACUAAAAGAUAACUAGCCUCGUUUCUAGUUCAAACGAAAUGAAGGUGUAUACCGUCUUAGUUAUGAGAGGGCGUGCAUUCUCGUGGUUACAGUGAUAAUCUGAGUAGAUCGGAUAAAAAUAACCAUUCUAAAAAAAAUAAAAAAAGAAGAUGCCGUCUUAGUUCGCCAAGGAGCAGAGACAAUGUUUAAUUAUCAAUAAAAUUGUGAUGUGUGAUUUGGAAAGGGAACUACGUACCAGCCUCUUGGUAGAAUCACCACAAGUUCUCCUUUCUAGUCUUGUAGAUCUGAAAAUAGAAACUAAGGUACUCUUGACGUAAUCCAUCAAAUACUACCAAAGUUUGUAUUAACAGUGACCAGGGUUAAUUGUAACUAUAUAAGGAUGGGAACGGUUGGAAUCGUAACAUCUCUUUGGAAAGGACGCUUGGCCGAUCGAUGAUUUUUAGUAUUUAUCAAUUUAACUUGUUGAUAUCAAAACAAUGCUAAAAGAAAUUAGAGAAAUCAAAUCUCAUGUAUUGCAAAAAAUGGAAACGGUACAACUUACAAGGAAAGAACGCUCGGUCUGUCAGGAAUUUCCAUAGCAAUUUUCAUCGUUAAUUAAAACUAUGAAGUAAAAGGCAUAGUGAUUAAGAGGUAUUGUUGACUCAUUUGGUAUAAUUGUAUCAUAACAGAAAUUAUGCUUGAGCUCUUUGAACCAAAAGUUUGGUGGGUCCAUAAAUUUGGUUGAUGUUACACCUACUUUAAACAAAAAGUGCGCUGGCUGCAAUUGAGAUUUCUAUAGGCAAUUGUUGAUGUACGCUAGAAUAAACUGAAUUUGGCAUACUCUGCUGCAGAGUGAAAUUAAAUCUGCUAAAUAUGGUGCAAAGCAGUGUACAAUGUGUAAAAUGCAGUUUACUCAUCAUAUAUUCAAUAUUUUAACACAAUGGUAUAGGAGUAGUUCCUUAAUUUGUUUUUAUCAAGCGAUGGAUGGAAUUCAAUACAUCCAUUUGAGGUACAGUGAUAGUGCUACAAUUUCACUGCAUACCUUGCCAAAAAAUGCUGGAGUUAUAGCCCACUAUGGUGUAGUAGAAAGCAAUCUGAAUCACUGAUCUCAUUUGAUCGAAGGGUUUGCAUCUAUUUUUACUACCAUCCUAGUUAGCGUUAGUAGAAACAUGGAGAGACAUAUAUUUUCCAAAAUAAUAGGUGCUGAGGGGCAUAAUCGUCAUUAGCAGUAACUAAACAUUUGUUUUCCUACUUUUUUGGCUUUUUUGAUGGAUAUAUGAGUGAUGCCAGCAUAAUGAAUGACCACAAAUCAAUCUAGCCGGAAAAAAAAAGACAAAGUUAGUCAUUUUAAUAUCGAUCUAGCUUCAUUGUAUUAGUAAAUUACUAAUUUACCCUUAAUAUCAAAUAGUUUACAUCAUUUCUACUUGUACUACCAGUAGAGAGUAUUGGAGGAUCGCUUCUGGAGUUAAGGCUCUCAUAUGCCAAAAAUACCUCCAUUUCCAGAUUUCUUACCCUCUCACUGGUGAGCCUCGGUACAAAAAGCAGGAGUGCAUAUUUGGCAGUAUUGACUAACACAGUGCAAGAUAAUGUAAGCUUAUAAGGUGCACAUGGAUCUCAAAAACCACAACUAUCAAAUCAAUUUCUUUUCCCCUCACGCUGCAGGCUGCAGCACAAAUGUUACCACAAUCUCGUGAUCUUAAUUAGAAUGGGAUGCAUUAGGAGAAGAUAUAGGGGUUUUUCUCAACGCAGAAGCUUUGGCUUUCUGCUACGAGGAUCCAAGUGACUAAGUGAGCAUAAUGCAUGGUUGAUCAAACUCACCUGAUGAUAGAUCAACAAACCGAAUGCGGCGGUGUGUAUAGGAUAUCUGUCCGUUGUGCUGAACAAGCUACAGAGAAAUCAGGAAAUGUAUGCAACAUUUGCAUGGGAUGAACAUCAUUUUAAAAUCAGCAAAAAUCUCUACACCCAACAUUUUAACCCCAGCAGCCUCCUCAUAUGAUUUGGAGAAACUAACAGGACUGAUGAAUCCUGGGAGAUGCAGAUAAUUUUUGUGAUCCAGUAAUAUUUGCAUGGAUGCAUUUGGGAGGAAAUUAGGGGAUCAGACAGCCCCAUGAUCAUUCUGCAGGUUAGAUGGAUCCAACUACCAAUCUACCAUGCAUGCUGGGUAUGUUCAUACUUGCAAUUCCUUGCAUUUGCCAUGGAUUAUCAGCAAUGUGAAUAAAUUGUCCAGCAGAUAUUGUUGUACACUAAUCCUAGCUAGUUGAACAAAAAUGUUGGAAUAGUUGUAUGAUCAAUGCUACAGCGAAAGUAAGUUUUACAAAAUUUAAAAAUGUAUGAUAAUUGGUUAAAAAAAUAGUGAAAGUGAUUGAUAUGAUAACAAGUUUGUACUAUCAUAUACUCCCUCCUUUCCAAAAUAUAAGAAUUUCUUGGUUGUUUAGCAAGUACUAUGGUUAGGCCAAAAGAUUACUCUUUAGUUACUUUAAUUGUUAUUUUUUGAAUUUUGAAUGGAUUAGAUUCCCUUUCAAAGCAUUUGGUUGGCUCUGGAUUCAUCCAUUGAAGUUAUUUGAAUAGUGGGAAUCAGUGUAGGGAUCUCCUUACAUCGUGGUACAAAAUUUAAAUCCUAGAAAUCCUUACAUUUUGAAACAGAGAAAGUAUAUAUUAGCUAGAAAUCUUUCAUCAAUAUGGUCAGUAAUAAUGCCUUCGGUUUCAUAAGGCAUAUACAGUGCUCCAAUUAGAUGAUAUACGUACGGAGUGCGCUGUUAUACUAGUGAGCUUUCAUCAACGGCUUUAGUGAUUACAUUGUCAAUUUCAUCGAUGCAUGCUUGGGUUGGUUGGAAAUCUGUCAAUAGAAACUUUGCACAAUGCUCCAAGACUCCAACCAACAUAUAUAUCAUAUAAAGGAGUAGAUCGCUAGCAAACUCCUAUGGUCUAAACCACUAUGUAUUCCUUCCCAUGCAUCAUUAAUAGUGCAACCAGAAGCUAGAGGUGGUAGCACACCAUUGCAUCAGCUUAAAGCACAUGAGGAUAGAAGUUAACGUGAAUGUCGUAGUGUAGGAAUGAGAUGCAUCGAGAAGGAUAAGAGGAGACUCAAUUUAACACCACGGCCUAAUGAGUAUUGAUGGAUUAGUCUCCUCAGAUGCAGUGAUUGCAUAGAUAGCUUGAGACUGCAUAUUAACCAAUGCAUUUUAACUAUACAACUCUUUCCGGUUGAUCCUUUUGUAUAAAGUCAGAAUGAAAGCGCAAGGGUUCAAUGAUCAUCACCAUUUAGUUCAGUGUAAUUCAAAAGAAGACACACAACCACAGAAACACACAAGGGAUGCACCUAAUUUUCAUAAGUUUUGAACAGAGCUGUAAGUUUUAAAUAAUUUUCUAUUUGCAUGAAAACUGCAAACUAAUAUUAUAGCUCUUUUAUAUCAAAGGAACAGGUGCCAUAAGGGUUUCCACUUAUAUGAAUAUAAUGUAGAAGGUGACCACAUGACUCUUUCUUUACAAAAAAUAUGAUAGCUUAUGCCUAGCAAUUAGGGAACGUAUCAUAUGCACACAAGUCUUUUCAUGUAUACACUAUGCAUAGUAACUAGAAAAUAUCAACAAAAAUUCUAUAAAAAUUAUACAUGUACUUUUAAUAGUAUUAAAUUUAUAUCUUAAGUCCCAUCUUCAAAUUUAUUAUAACAGAUUUAUACUCUCAAAACUCAGAAUUCUUAUCUUUUUUUAUGACUAAAAUAUAAUGAAUUUGAGAUUAAGACUUCACAUAAGUGUAUUAUUAUUGGAAGUACUUGUACAAAUUUUUCUAGAUUUUUUUGGUAAAAUUUGUUAGUUGGUGUGCAUAGUAUGUACAUGAAAAGACUUUGUGCACAUGAUAUGUUCCCUAGCAUUUAUAUAUGUAUUGAAAGGGAAGUAGUUACAGGGGGGAAAAAGUUUUUCAUCAGUUAUAAAUAACCAAACACUUCGCUUUGAUUUUUACCACAACCACUUGUUUUCUUCCUUUUUCUACACCUGCAAGCACCAAAGUUGAAGCAGAUACCAUGCAGAAAUUGAACUGUUGAACCAUUACAAAAGAAUGGGAGAGGAAUCAAGACAUAAGGAGUAGAUAAUGUGGAUACAGCUUCAACUGAGCUUCAUUGGGGUUCAAUCUUGUUUUGUUUUGUGAGAAUGGGAUGCAUGGAGGAAAAGAAGACAAACCAGCACCGCAUUACCUGGAGGAUCUUAGGAGAAAUUGGUACGGCAUUUCAAACAGGAACAUCAAGCUCGAACGACAAGUGGUAAGUGAGAUAUACAAUUCUCAGCAUGGCUGGAGGGACAAGUGCAAUGUGCUGGAGGGAUCGAUGAGAGGAGAACAGAAUUGAAGUUGUCAACUGAAAUCAUCACCAAGUUUGGUUGCUGGCUGGUUCUUGUUUUAUUUUCGUUGCUAGCAAAAUGCAUGUACGUUGUUACAGAAUUUAGAAAAUCACAUCGCCACAUUGCAAAAAAAGAAAUCUAUUUUCAGUUUAGAGCCUAAUUUAGAAUUAAAUUAUAUGUUUUUUUUUCAUCUUUUUAUAUCUCAGCUAUAAAAGAUUUGAAAUGGACUCAACUAAAUCAUUAAUGCAUAACUUCCUCCCUUAAAAAGUAUUUGGUUUCGAGAGGGAUGGACAUGUGAGUUCCACGUGUUAUAGUUUGAGGGAGUUGGUGGUGGCAGACCGACCAACUUGAAACUCAAACAAGAUCAUCAUUAGUUUUAUGUGUAGCUGCUCUGAGCCUCCGUUCUCCAUGUCUCUCUUUUUGCUUUUGCCUAGUUGCUUACUUGCUUCCUAUUUACAAAAUGGCUUUCACCACUCUUUCUCAAACUAAAAGAAAGAAAUCAACUAGGAACGGUUGUACUAAGGUUGAACUGUGACAUCCUGGCUCAAUUAGGAUGAGGCAUUUGUGGCCCAUGAGAGCUAUGUGCUCAUGUUUAAUACCACCUCACUAGUUUAGCAAGAAUGGAACCAACUUAUAACGACUUGUUCCUCCAAACAUAUCACUCCCGGAUAAUCCCUUUUACAUGAAGCGAUGGUGAAAGUGUAAAUGGGUAGUAUGUAUAAGUAGGCCCACCCGUCAGAUGGGCUGGCUACGUUGUUCUAGAGGGUGGACUGUUACAAACUGAGCUCAACCACCAAUUAUACCGUUCCCAAUGUGGGACCACCAAAGAGGUAGCUAGCAAAGUACACUACCUAGGCAGCAAGAGAUCACCAGCGGCACAAGAACAGGCCUCUAGCUCAUGGCUUGAAUGUGUGAGAAUCAUAGAUUAUUUAUUUCUAAUCUAUAACAUGAUGGCUUUAGUCUAAAAUGAUCACCCUAAUUCUAAUGCGGAAUUGGAUAAUGGACGGUGUUUUGUUGACAGACAUGGAGAUGUUGUUGAUGCUAUGAAUAGUCGAUAGUUUUAAGUUGGUUAUUUAAUUUGGAUAUAGACUGACAAAUGAUUAUAUUCUUCUAAUUGAUUAAAUUCUACUUUUGGAUGGUUGAUAGGAUUAUUUACAAGUUAUUGGAAGAACUUGCAGCAUGUGGGGUAUAUGGUUAUACUACGUGACAUAUAUUCAUGAGUGGAGUUCAGAGUUUUGGCUUGUCUCCAGGCAUACAUAUACCUAGGCACAAGUCCAGCGCAAAAGCAUACAAGGAAGAUCAUAACAACAUGUUUCCCUUCUCUGGAAAAUUUUGUUGGCAACAGAUGCCUUCUCCUUCUUUCAGCUUCUGCUUCUUUAGUCAGUUUGGAGGAAGCAGCAAAUAGUUGAUGAUAUGAGAAUUCCUUCUACAUCGGCUUAGGUGUAGCAACACGACUUUAUUAUUAUUAUUAUUAUUAUUAUUAUUAUUUUACAAAAAUAUAAAAUAGAUCAGUCCCUCACCACAAGUAGAGCAAGUUGGUGAGUUAUUGUAAAGUUCUACAAAGCUAAUUUAAAAGUUAUUGCAUUAACUUAUUUCAUAUUACAAACAAGAGUGUCAAUGGAACAAUGAAAACCAUAUGACAUACUAUAAUUUUGUUUUUAUUAUUGAAAUUAUAUAAUUCAAAGAGAAUAAAUCCACAUAGCCGUAAAGUUCUACAUGUGGUGCAUUACCAAAAUAUAUAUAGCUUACAAAACAUGACAAGCUUAGUUUGAAAAAUUGCAAUCCUUAUCACAUUGACACAUAAAGUGAGUGAUGAGUCAUAAUAUUAUUUUUCUUGCUACCCAUCAUGUAUAUAUGAUAGCCACAAAGUUACUUUGAUGAUGAUAUCAAAGAACAUUUUUAGGUGCACCUAACAGAAUAUCCAAAUAAUAUGACUCACUUAGAUCAUAAUAGAGCAUCAAGUAAAACUAACACUCUAAAGCAACCGAUGGGAAAGCAUCUAUAAAUAGACAAGCACAAUGAAAAUCCUCAUCAUCCUUCACCACAAUUCAAAUAUUAUAGUUGAAGCAUAGUAGUAGAAUCCAACAACAAUGAAGAUCAUUUUCGUAUUUGCUCUCCUUGCUAUUGUUGCAUGCAAUGCCUCUGCGCGGUUUGAUCCUCUUAGUCAAAGUUAUAGGCAAUAUCAACUACAGUCGCAUCUCCUACUACAGCAACAAGUGCUCAGCCCAUGCAGUGAGUUCGUAAGGCAACAGUAUAGCAUAGUGGCAACCCCCUUCUGGCAACCAGCUACGUUUCAAUUGAUAAACAACCAAGUCAUGCAGCAGCAGUGUUGCCAACAGCUCAGGCUGGUAGCACAACAAUCUCACUACCAGGCCAUUAGUAUUGUUCAAGCGAUUGUGCAACAGCUACAACUGCAGCAAUUUAGUGGUGUCUACUUUGAUCAGACUCAAGCUCAAGCCCAAACUCUGUUGACCUUCAACUUGCCAUCCAUAUGUGGUAUCUACCCUAACUACUAUAGUGCUCCCAGGAGCAUUGCCACUGUUGGUGGUGUCUGGUACUGAAUUGUAACAAUAUAAUAGUUCGUAUGUUAAAAAUAAAGUCAUACAUCAUCAUGUGUGACUGUUGAAACUUAGGGUCAUAUAAAUCUAAAUAAAAUCAUCUUACCUAUUUAAAUAGCAUUCCUCUAUGAGGAUAAAUCCUAUUACAUUAUCGUAGCUAAUUACCAUCACAGGGACUUUACAAUUUUACUAUAUGCAUGCAUUUGAUCCUAAGCUGCUUUGGCUAUUAGAUAUAAAUGAAGUGCAUUAAGCAAGUUCAACCUUUCAUUCCCAAUAGGAACGAACUUGAAGCACAGAUGUCAAUUACUAUACCCCUAACAAUUGAUACACUAUAGCAGCGGUUGUAGCCGCAGCUGGAGGAUUCGCUGUCGAGCAGACCAUAUACCUGAAUUUAAACCAUGUCAAAUAUCCGUAAUGAAUAACAAAUAAUUUUAUAUUGUGCAUAUCCAAUGAAUAAUCAAACAUUUGCCUUUCGACUGUAAUGCUUGCAUGGCCUGCUAUUGUAUUGCUCUGGAAACACAUCUUUAACAGAUGUUGUAUUAUCACAUACAUUACAUUGGAGGAGAAGGAUUUAAGUGAUCAUAUAUAGAACAGAGGAUAUGAUGUUUUAGAAAAAAGAAGAUUAAUAAUGUCAAGAAUACUUUGUGAAACAGUGCAUGAUGCAGGCACAUCACUUGAUACAUUAAAAGCGCUGUAAAAAAUUUAUGCUGGGGAACUAAUGCACUACUACUAGCCUCACUAAUAUCAUCAGUUCGCGGUAUGUAACAAGCUAACAUUCUACACUGCACCACCCCAUCCAUUCUUGCUUUUUUCUAUAGAACACAAGAAGGAACAUCAGUAACUGGAUGCAUGUGUGCACCGCCAGCUGCCACAGUGUUGGCCAUUAUCUCUUUCUUCAAGGCAUUUCUUCCCAUCAACUCCUGCUUGACACAAGCAGGACAAAAAUGUAGCUUUGGUUAAGUCAAGGGGAGUCAGUCCAGCUAUAGAUGAACCAGCGCCCUUAUUAUUGUGAUUACUGCCCUAGCUCACACACCGGAAAUGGACUCAAAUCUUAAAGGCAUGUGAGCUUCUAACGAGCCCACAUUCCAUCUAGGUAACAUGAUAUAUUGUAAGGCUCUAUUUUUUUCAGAUUAUUAAAAUGGAUUAUUUGCUCCAUGCUUUAAAAUAUAUGUUUGCUCCAUAUUCUAAGUCAAGUAUUUUAUUUAGGGUAAUUAUUUUGAUCCUAGAGGAGACAUCCUAGGAUUUCUCUAAACAUCAUGAAAAUAGUUAUAGUAAAGAAAUUUCGUAAUAUUUAUGUGGUGUACAUAUUCCACCCUCACAAAUUAAUUUUCAAGUUAAGCUCAGUAGCAAAUCGACAAGUAAAAAAGGACAGGUCCAGCAUAUAAACGUUCAUGUGCAAUGUACAUACGAAUUUAUUUAUUUUGUUUCUCAAUGUUCAGAUCCAAUUUAAACUUGGUUUUUUCGUUGAGUAGUAAAUUGUCAUUGUACUCUAUAUUGUCAUUUUGUUAGGGAAUCUUUCAUUACUGUGUGCACUGCAUCGAAGAGAAAAAAAGGGCGUGUAAAUGCAUAUCCUCUAUUAAAAUCCGACUUCUAUAUAUUUUGCCCCAUUUUCUCUAUAAUUUCUAGUGGUUAUUGAUUGAGAACAGCUACAAAUUACUUACUAAGCACCUUUCAUGGGCACUAUAUAACUCAUGCAAUUCUUAAGGUUUACGAAUGCGAAUACAAAUAGAAAUUCGCUGUGCCGACCUGUUUUCAAAGAUUAAAAAAUUGAAACAUCAAUCAGAAACCAUUCCAGAAUGGGCCAAAAUUUGGAAAACAAAUUUUGAAUUCCAUGGAGAAAAUUAACUGGCUGGCAAUUGCACAUUUGCACUGCUUUGCCCCUAUAAACAUCUUCGAGUAGCCAUUUCAUUAUUCCCAGUAAAAUAUUAAUACUCCUUAAUCAAGAACUGCCAUAUAGGUCAUUUCUCUUGGUACUUCAGUUCGCUCAUUUAUUUCUCAUAAUUUAAAUUUCAAAGUAAUAAGCGAUAGAUCAGGAUCCAUGAUUUGAACAUGCAACUUUAAAGUAAUGCAGUAAGAUAUAGAUCGGUGUCCAUGACUUGAACAUGCAUGAACAGUAACCCCACUCGUGAGUUAAAAAGAUAGAUCCAUGAUUUAAACAUACAUUCGCAGAUAUUUGAUCAUUAUAUGUUGUAAUUAUAUUCUCAUAAAAAAAACUAAAAAUGCUUCAUAGCAUUUGUAUAUUAUGCCAAUAUUGAGAUAAUUUCGAUAUCUCAUAUGUUUUAGAUUGGAACAGAUCACGAAAGUUUUUCUUCGAAAAGUUAUGGUCAUUAGGACAUGAUGGAUUUGAGGUAACAAAAUAGAUGAGAUUUAUUAAAACCCUUGAAAUAGUCCAACAAUCCAGCGCUAACAUUUAGCACAGUGUAAUUCAAAAGAAGACAACCACAGAAACACACAGGGGAUGUUUUAAACUCCAAUUUUUAUAUAUUUGGCAUUAUUCAAAUUGCAAACAAAUAUGAUGACUCUCUUUCUCAAAGAAACAUAUGCCGUUAGGGUGAUCCCAGCGCUUCACUUAGAAUGGUUUUUCAUAGCAUUAAAUGAUAUGCCACGUAGGAAAAAACAUGAUGUGCCAUUUUAUUAACUUAGGAAAGAGAAGAAAAUUGGGUCUUCUCAAAAUGAUCAUCAUCUAACAAAAUGUCUCUUUGUUUAUUUGUGCAAAGAGUAAAUGUGCAUCGUGCAAUGUCAUGCAUGCUGCCAACCAAGAUUAAUUUCUAUUUAGUUGAACCUGUGCAACAUUUAAAGUGUGAAGUAAUUUUUGUUGGACUUGAAGCGACAAAGCACCUUGGUCGAUUAGGCCAUCCCCAACCCAUGGUGUCCAUGGGUGGUGUCUAGAGCAGUGAGAGAUCAAUAAAUGCAUAUAUGGACACUACCUCCCCAUUGCAUCGUUUAUAUACCAGUUUUCAUAGGCAAAAAAAAAUUAGUAGCUCUUUGCAUGUAACAUUAACAGAGGAGGGUCAGCUGUGGCAAGCAAGCAAGCAGACGCGGGAGGGGAGGCGCGCAGCAGGCAUGGUGACGGGGUAGGGCGCAGCGGAUCGAGAUGCGAGGAUUUUUUUUUGGGGGGGUGGGGUGGGGGGAGAGAAACGAGUCAUCCAACCCAACGCGGAUUUAGCUAGUUUCCAGUGCCUUGGAACAGCCGCCGAAACGGUGUCGCGCAUGCGACCUGGUUUCUAUGUUUUUGCUUCUUUCUCUUCUUUUAUUCCGUUGCCACAUCAACUUUUUGUCUAGUUGGCAGCCUAAUUAAUUCUAUGGAAACCAGGUGACAUGGAGGGUUGGGGACAUGGUGGAAAAAACCGGAACGGGCCGACAGUUCAACCGGAAAAAACCAGAACCCGUUCAGUUCAAAAGAAAGACCGGACAUGCAUAUGACCCGCUUUGAACCGGCAGAACCGGUCGGUUUUUCUAUGAACCGGUCAUUAAACCGUCCCCGGUUAGACCGAACAAGCCACAAUAAUCUUGAAAUGGGCCUUGAUGUGGCCCAAUUGGUCUGCCUAGAGCGUUUUGGUUGGCAAAAAUCAAUCUCCUAUUCUCGGCACGUGUGAUAUACAAUGGUAAGUGAGAUAUACAAUUCUCGGCACGGCUACAUUACAAGGUGUCGCAUUGUGUCAAUGUUUGGUUAAUUUGCUAGAUUCACAUAAUACAUGCCAGGAAGUUCAGAACAAUGUGUUGCCUUUCACCGGAAAACUUUGUUGGAGCAAAUGCCUUCUUCUUUUUUGCUUCUGCUUCUUGAGUCCAUGUGGAGGAAGCAGUAGAUAGCUGAUGAUAUCAGGAUUCCUUCUGUGUCUGUGUAGGUGUAGCAACACCACUAUAAUUUUUAUUUAGCAACACAAUAUCAAUUUGGUCUAUAAAAGUAUGAAUUAAAUCAAUCCCCAACCACAAUUAGAGUAAGUUGGUGAGUUAUUGUAAAGCUCUGCAAAGUUAAUUUAAAAGUUAUUGCAUUAACUUAUUUCGUAUCACAAACAAGUUUUCACAAGAGUAUUAAUGGAACAAUGAAAACCAUUGAACAUACUAUAAUUUUUUUUCUUACUGAAAUUAUAUAAUUCAAAGAGCAUAAACCCACACAGUCGUAAAGUUCCACGUGUAGUGCAUUAUCAAAAUAAUAGCUUACAAAACAUAACAAACUUAGUUUCAAAAGUUGCAAUCCUUAUCACAUUGACACAUAAAGUGAGCGAUGAGUCAUGUCAUUAUUUUUUUGCUCACCAUCAUGUAUAUAUGAUGGGCAUAAAAGUUACUUUGAUGAUGAUAUCAAAGAACAUUUUUAGGUGCACCUAACAGAAUAUCCAAAUAAUAUGACUCACUUAGAUCCUAAUAUAGCAUCAAGCAAAACUAACACUCUAAAGCAACCGAUAGGGAAACAUCUAUAAAUAGACAAGCAUAAUGAAAACCCUCCUCAUCCUUCACACAAUUCAAACAUUAUAGUUGAAGCAUAGUAGUAGAAUCCUACAAAAAUGAAGAUCAUUUUCGUAUUUGCUCUCCUUGCUAUUGUUGCAUGCAACGCUUCUGCACGGUUUGAUGCUCUUAGUCAAAGUUAUAGACAAUAUCAACUACAAUCGCAUCUCCUGCUACAGCAACAAGUGCUCAGCCCAUGCAGUGAGUUCGUAAGGCAACAGCAUAGCAUAGUGGCAACCCCCUUCUGGCAACCAGCUACGUUUCAAUUGAUAAACAACCAAGUCAUGCAGCAACAGUGUUGCCAACAGCUCAGGCUGGUAGCGCAACAAUCUCACUACCAGGCCAUUAGUAGCGUUCAGGCGAUUGUGCAGCAACUACAGCUGCAGCAGGUCGGUGUUGUCUACUUUGAUCAGACUCAAGCUCAAGCUCAAGCUUUGCUGGCCUUAAACUUGCCAUCCAUAUGUGGUAUCUAUCCUAACUACUACAUUGCUCCGAGGAGCAUUCCCACCGUUGGUGGUGUCUGGUACUGAAUUGUAAUAGUAUAAUGGUUCAAAUGUUAAAAAUAAAGUCAUGCAUCAUCAUGCGUGACAGUUGAAACUUGAUGUCAUAUAAAUCUAAAUAAAAUCACCUAUUUAAAUAGCAUUCAUGUAUGAGGUUGCAUUAUCAUAGCUAAUUACCAUCACAAAGAACUUUACAAUUACUAUGUGCAUGCAUUUGAUCCUAAGCUACUUUGGCUAUUAGAUACAAAUGGAGUGUAUUAAGCAAGUCCAACUUUUCAUUCUAAUAGGAACAAACUUGAAGCACAUAUGUCAAUUACUAUAUCCCCAACAAUUGAUACACUAUAGCAGUGGUUGCAAUGGCAGCUGCAGGAAUUGCUAGUGAACCCAACAGCCCAUAUAACUGAAUUGAAGCCAUGUCAGACAUCCGUAAUGAACAACAAAUAAUUCCAAAUAGUGCAUAACCAAUAAAUACUUAAAGAUUUGUCUUUCAACACUAAUGUUUGCAUUUCAUGCAAUUGUAUUGCUCUGGAAGCACCUUUUAACAGGUUGUAUCAUCACAUGCAUUACAUUGGAGGAUAAGGAUAUAAGAGAUCAUAUAUAGAAUAGAGGAUAUGGUGUUUUAGAAAAAGAAGAUGAAGAAUAUACAUUGUGAAACAGUGCAUGAUAUAGGCACAUCACUUAAUACAUUAAAAGCACUGCCAGAAAUCUAUGUUGGUGAACAAAUGCUCACUGGUUGUCUCACUUAUAUCACCAUUCACCAAGUUCACCGUAUGUAACAAGCACUUGGCCCCAUGGUUCCCCUUACCGUUUUUGACGCGGUUACCACAUGGUUACCGCAAAAAACCGUGUGGUAACCGUGAGACAUACCGUGGUUUCAAAAACUAAAAAGGUUACCGCGUGUGAUAGCCGCGCAGUUUUGUAAACCCUGCUUGGCCCUACACCACCCCAGCCAUUAAUUCUUGUCCUUCUCUGUACAACGCAACGAGGAAAUACAUCAUGGGCAUAGGGAAUAAUUAGCAAGUUUAGCAAAAAUGAAUGGCACAAUUGUAUAGCAUGAGUGAUGAUGCAAUGAGGAAACAUAAGAACAUCAGCCAGGUGUUUCUCCC
rnacentral:lncRNA from 1 species